UUUUCCGAGACAAGGCAACAUAUAACUGGUUCUUCAACCCCUAAGAAAGAGGGAGCACCAAUCUUCAAAGCUGGGGGCUUCAACCCCAGGAAAAGAGGGAGCACCAUUUUUUUUUUUUAGACAAGGCAACACAUAAGUGGUUCUUCAACCCCUAAGAAAGAGGGAGCACCAAUCUUCAAAGCUGGUGCUUCAACCCCAAGAAACGAGGGAGCACCAAUCUUCAUUAUAUCAUGUAAAUGCAUUCUCUACGAAGUAGAUACAAAGUAGAGAUAUCUCAGAUUUAUCAUAUCAUGUAAAUGUGUUCUCCAUUAAGCAGACUAAGACACUAAUCCAGAUUAUAAUACAGACUGAUAAUCAAAUCGCAAAAUCAUAUCAAGUAAAUGUGUUCUCUGUUAAGCACACCUUAGGAGAGAGGAUCCAUGAGCAAUGCUCCUCCAAGUGAGUCUGGAAGGAUGAGAGUAAUCUGCAUCACCGAUGUUACUGCCAGUGAAGUAUUUAGCAUAUGUCUAAUCUUUCCUUAUGUGGCAACAAUGACUUAUUUGUUCAAACCCCGUAUGGGCAAAAUCACUGAACAGGGGCACCAACCGUAUUAGCACACACCCAAAGCAACAUUUCUCAACCUAUAAGAUAAACCAAUGCAUCUCAACCCGACUUAUUGCAGAACAAUGCAUCUCCUUCCCUAUCUUAAUGGCUACAAUGUGGGGCUACAAUGUGGGAAAAAGCACUAGAGCCCAACAGUAAACCGACAAGGCAACAAUUUCAUUAGUCUCCCCCAACAAUGCUUUAAAUAUCAGAGGCAACAGUCAAGGACCGAUUCCCACAAGUCUUUUCAAAUAUUUCAUAUACCCUCAUUUCGAAAAUGCAUUCUCUAUGCAAAGUAGCGACACCUCAAAUUCAUCAUAUCAUGUAAAUGUGUUCUCCAUUAAGCGGACUAAGACACUAAUCCAGAUUCAUCAUAUCAUGUAAAUGUGUUCUCCAUUUAUCAAAUCACAAACAUAUCAAGUAAAUGUGUUCUCUAUUAAGCACACCUCAGGAGAGAGGAUCCAUGAGCAAUGCUCCUCCAAGUGCUUGAGAGUCUAGAGGGAUGAGAGUAAUCUGCAUCACUGAUGUUACUGCCGGUAAAGUAUUUAUCAUAUGUCUAAAGAGGCAACAACCGUAUCAGCACAAACCCACAAAGCAACAUUUCUCAACCUAUAAGAUAAACCAACGAGGCAGAGAUGGCUUUUUUGCAGUCUUUUUAGGAUAAACGGACGAGGCAACAAUGGCUUGUAAAUUUGCAAUCUUUACAAGAUAAACCGACAGAGGCAGCAGUGAAUUUUUUGCAAUCUUUACAUGAUAAACCGAUAAGGCAGCAAUAGCUAGUGAGCAAUCUUUAUAGGCAACAAUGAAUUUUUGCAAUCUUUACAUGAUAAACCGACAAGGCAGCAAUAGCUAGUGAGCAAUCUUUAUAAGAUAAACCGACAAGGCAACAAGGGCUUGCAAAUUUGCAAUCUUUACAAGAUCAACCAACAGAGGCAGCAAUGAACUUUUUGCAAUCUUUACGAGAUAAACUGACAAGGCAGCAAUAAUUAAGGGACUGAUGAAAGAAGAAACCCCUCAGAAAUCGGAGCAGGACAGCAUAAAACCCUAGUCAAAAAUGGUUCCUCAACCUCAAGAAAAGAGGGAGCACCAAUAGUUUGACAUGAGAUUUCACGCAUGUCUCACUCAGAUUCUUACUGGUUUCUUCUUCAUCAUACCCAAGGGACCAAUCGAGAUCACAUCACAGGUAACAAUUGUCACUAAUCUUUUCAAAUCUUUCAUGUACCCUCAUUUCACAGCAAACCGGGGCAACACCACAGAAUCAAGGCAACAGAAACACAAAUCCAUAAAAAAAUUACGAAUCAAGAAACAGGAGAAGUAUGAGAAUUACCAGAAAUGGAAAUAGGUGUCUCAUCUAUCUCCCUUGUGUUUCCGAGGCCAAAAAUCCAGGCAAAACAAAAGAAAUACAAAUCAAACCGAAGAAAAGCAAUAAUUUGAUUGUAAUUUCAUGGACCCAGAUAUCAAUCAACCUUACCGGAAAUGGAANNNNNNNNNNNNNNNNNNNNUCUCUCUCUCUCUCUCUCUCUCUCUCUCUCUCGUCUCUCUCUCUCUCUCUCUCUCUCUCUCUCUCUCUCUCUCUACAACACCCAGAGAAAUCCCCCAAACUUGGUUUGAAAUUCGAACCAAGCUAGGGUUUUUAGGAAAAGAGGGAGCACCAAGGGAGUGAUGAAAGAAGAAACCCCUCAGAAUUCAGAGCAAGACAACAUGAAACUCUAGUCAAAAAUGGUUCCUCAACCUCAAGAAAAGAGGGAGCACCAAUAGUUUGACAUGAGAUUUCACGCAUGUCUUACUCAGAUUCUUACUGGUUUCUUCUUCAUCAUACCCAAGGGACUAAUCGAGAUCAGAAAGGCAAAACCCACACCACCGAAACCCGCCGCCGCGAAGAGAGAGAGAGAGAAAGGAAAGGGGAAGGCGUACCUUGCGGGGGAACAGCGAACCACGGCGGAGCGGGCGGUAGAGAUCUCACUCAGACCACAAAACUCAGAGAGAGAGAGAGAGAAGAGAGAGACUCGUAGAUAUUUGUUUGUGGUUGUAAUGGGUUUUCUUCCCUCUUAAGACUCCUCUUGUCCUGUUACAAAAAAAAAAAAAAAAAAAACUACAUUCAGCUAAUUACACGGCGACACCUGUCUCCCUGGUUUUUUUGUCUGGUUUGAUUACGACAAACCUGGUCUGCUUAACCCUACCUUAACCCUGGUUUGAUUACCACAAUUUACAGGUUUCAAAUAGAUUACCACUAAGAUAAAGCCACCCUUUACACAUUUUCAAAAAAAAUAAAUAAUAAACCAACCUUUUAAAUUUCAUUUACUGUGAAUUAUUAUAUAUGUAAAACUCACUACUCAACUAGUAACAGUGUUACUUCAAACAAAGCUGGAAAACAUUUUCAACAUAAAAGUGAGAAAUGUUGCUCGACUAAAACAAGGAGAGCAGGCUUACCUGUUAAUCCUUUUACACGAUGAAUACUCUCUCAGGUGCUGCUUCUCUUCCUGUCCCAUGGCCCUUCUAUACACCGAAGGGUGUCUGGUCUCUUCUAAACGCCGAUAUUGUGGUUAUGUCCUGAAGAUAAACUGGAAAUCUCAUUUUUCUCAAUACCCCUUGUAGCACCAGCAGAGGUUCAGGAACAUGUUGAUGACUGAAAUUUGCCAAAGGCUGCUUCUGAUUGUAGCAUCUCCAACCAUUUUCUCUGCGCGCCAAAUAAACAAGUACACACGUUGAACAUAAAUUGAUAGAAAUUGUUCAACAAUGUAUUUUUAUAGCCUUACACAUAUGUUAAUAAAUCUCAUAUACCUGUUAUGCCUAGGGGACAUGCUUCGGAAAAUUACUCGGGUCUUGCGAGGGUCUAAGUUUAAAUCAACCCAUUUAGCCCAUGUAGUGAGUCCUUUCUGGUAUGCAACCAUUGGAUUCAUACUUGUAAACAGAGAUUUGCCCUCCAUGUAGAAUCCCACCUGAAAUUAGUCAUGUCAUUGCAAUUCGAUCAAAUUUAAGGUCCUGCAUAAUACUAGUAUACUACCAGUACUUACUCAACACACUUGACCAAAUACAUACAGUACUUGAUUUCUCAAUAGCCAACUUUUCCAAACAAAACCAGAAGAAUGAAACUAGCUAACUAAUCAAAGAAAUCAAUGAACGGUAUGCAUUUGAUAAACUAAUUUUGAGUAUUGUCUUACGACGAUGUUUUGUCAGAGUGAGUCCACCAGUGAGCUGAAUCAAAAACAAGGACAUCAACUCCUCUCCAGUAGCUUGAUGUCUCAUAUAUCUGUUAUUUUAGUUUUAAUUACUCGUAACAUUCAUCUGAGAUAAGUGACCAUUUUUCUCCACUGUUUAUAGCUUAACUUGAUAGAUAGUUUAGAAAUCCAUAAAGCUGAAAAUCCUAAUUCAGUGGUUUACAUAUGAUUAUUCCUUUCUUAAUUCUUGUUAACAGCCCACAUCCAUCACAAGCAAAAGGGUGUUCAUUAUAUCAUACAAGCCACAUGAACACAAUUCUCAACCGCAUGAAUCAAAACGCACAAACCAAACCGCAAAAGAACCCAAUAUAAAGAACAAGGUGAGUGCAAUUCAAGUAUGAAAACCCAUUCGUAUAUCCAAACGACAACCCUUCUUGAUGCAAGAAUUGAAGUGUAAGUUGUCAAACAUACCUUGUGGUGCUUCAGAAGUUAGCCGAAGCAAAAUGCAAAAGAGAAAAGCUGCAAUUUGAUCCCUUCAGAACUGGACGCUUGAAUCCCUUUGAGAUUUGAGUCUCUUUUGCGCUUGUAUAAUCCCAAAAUCAGAACCAGAAGACAUGGGGCUUGAAUCCCUUUGAGAUGUUGAGUCUGACAUUGAAGAACGGAAGAACGCUAAAGGACUUCUGUACUUGGUUUUGUUCUGAUUACGGGUCUGGCCAAUGAUGAAUAUAUGGGCUCGGGCUUUAAACAAAACUGUAUUUAAGGCUCUGAUCUUCUCAAGCAUCAACUAGUGUUAGUUUUCAAACAAAGGUGGAAAGCAUUUUCAGUUAUUUACUGCAGAAUAUUUUUGGAAUUCGUCUCUGAGGGUAUUUACAUACAUGUUUAAUACCGUAAACAGAUUUACAGGAUAUGUUAACAAAUCUUCGCUUACUGUAACAUUAAAAGAUCCUAUUUCCAUUAUACCCUAAAACUGGACUACAAUCACCAUCUUUCAUUAGCAAACUUAAUCCAUUGUAAAUUUCAUUUCUCAACUGAUUUGUGGUGUCCCCGACCAAAAGAGAGGGAGAAUCUAUCACCCACGUCAACCCAAGACAGUCUGGAGCCUUUCUUACACCCAAGUCCCUCAUGUAAGUCCUCAUUCUAGCUAGGCUGUUCCAACUGACCAGCAGCAGCAUACAUGUUAGCAAUUAACAUGUAGUACCCAAAGUUCUCAGGUCUCAUCUGCAACCCAUUCCCCUAUGGCUGGUAGUGGAGGCAUGCAUGGAGAUGAUGUUGACGAUACGAUUUCCAUUGUCAGAUACCAUCAUAGGCAUGGGAAGAUUGAGCAAUUCUGAUAAGCCUCAACAGUUCAACUUCCCCCUAUUUACUGGUUUUAACAGAAAAUAAUUGAAAGCAUCAUAGAAGGAAGCAAUAAGAGGGGAAUAAGGAUAGGGAUAGCAUACCACCACAUUGUCACAUUUCAAUUAUUUAUAGAGACAUUCAUACAGCAAGCUUGGAAGGAAAUAGUGUAGCUUACAAACAAGCACAAGGGUGCUUCAGAAGUUUACAGUGCAUGACACAACAUUCGCCAAUCAUAGGCAUAUCAAUGAGUACCUGCUUAAACCAACUAUUACAAUAUUAAACAGGAAAAUACUCUAUGCAGCAGCCACAGCUUCUGCAGGCUUUGCUUCAGGUUCUGCUGGUGCUUCUGCCUCCCAGUAGGCAGUCUUUUUGCCAGUUUUGGAAACAGUUUGAAGAACUGUCUCGGCUGGCACGUUGCCUUUGACUGUCACCUUUUGUGCAUCAAAAUCAAUGUCAUAUGAUUCCACACCUGAAUAUGAUAAGAAAGAACAUUUCUCAGCAUUCCCCAUCAUACCAAUACGUUAUAAAAUCAAGUCGGUAUCUAAUAAAGAUGGUUACUAAAGAUGGUUUGACAAGGCAAGAUAAAUUAGACUUUUACAAGGAAGCAGCUCAGUAAUGAUAACCAUAUUAAGAACAUAUUACACAGUUUCAAAUGCUUGGCCAGUUGUUAUUUCCAACAUUCUAUUGACAUAUGCAUUUCAAUUUGCCCCUUAUGCAUUAUAUAGACGGAAAAUUGCAAUAUCAACAUAAGUAAAACCAUCGUUGUGUAUGUGCCUAGACCUUCACAGACAUAAAAUACACAAAGCACUCCAAAAGCAUUUCUUAUUGUUGAAACGCUGAUCAUGAUUUCAAGAAACAUCACACAGUUUCCAGAAGCAAUAACAGAAACAAAGAAACAAGUUAAACGCAAAAGAAGAACAACAAACCUUCGAGCUUGCCAAGUACCCUUUUGACAGCACCAACACAGCCUUGGCACGACAUACCAACCUUGAGGACUGUAGUCUGCACAGAAAACGAAAGAAAGAAUUCAAUUUACCCAUAUCUCGGUAAAACCGAACAACUACAUGUACCUACUGCAGUAUAUCAAAACUCUCAUGCAUAUCGGCAUUCUCAUGAUGAUUACAAACUCUCAAAGCACAAGUCAACACGUAAUUGGUUUUUUUUUUUUUUUUCUUGUCCAUUUCUGCAGUUGCCUUGGAGAAAUCACCAAAACAACAAUCUGAGAUCAUACUAGAGUAUUCAGCUUGUAAAACAAAACAGAACCCAUAAUUGUUCCCUAGAGACCAUCAAAAUGAACAUAUUUCUUCACUCAAACAAACGAAAGAGAUCCUCUAGCUAAAAAGCUACAUAGCAAAAGCCUAUUUGAAAGUAAAUGCUCAAAGAAAAAGAAUCAAAUCAUCCGAAAGAAAAAUAGGAAUCAAUUAAACCCGAGCGGGCCACCAGAAAUCAAACAGAACAAUGUUUCAAUCAAAGGCGGAUACAUGAAAUCAAAAGGAAGAAGAAAACCCAGAUAGAGAAAGGAAGGAGAGGAAAGAUGGAUGAGGGUACCUGAGAGGCCAUCUUUGACUCUACGUGGAUCGGAAGAGCUGAGAAAAUUGAUAAUGCACCACCGAAAAUCACUCCGUGUUUUUAUAAUGCGAAACAGACACUAUUGGCGGUGGGUUAUUGGACUCGGGCCUCCGGUAGUUGACCCGGUUUUCUUUUUUCUUUUUUCUUUUUCUUUUUUUUGGGUUACAUUCUUUUUUCUUUCUUUUUAAUUUGACGUGACGUAACGUAAAAGGUAUAAAAAAGGUAUGGUUGUUAUUGUAUCGUUUUUGGGGCCUUCAAAAGUAAAAGCUUGGUUUUGGUUCAUUACUAAUACAAAUCUAUUUUCAUUUUUGGUCUUUCAUAUCUAAUCUCUUUGACAAAUAAAAAGUUUAUAAAAAAUAAAAAUAUAUAAAAACAUACAAAUAAAUGUGAGGCAUAAUAUUUGCAUGUACUUAAACGGGGUCUACCUUGACAACGUAAGAUCAAUGAGCAACUACAAAUUAUGACAUUAAGUUAAAAUUUGCCUUCAGAAUAUUGUCAUUAUGUUCUUAUUACGAGGCUAAGUAACUCUGAUUCUUGAAUUUUCUUGGAGUACGUACACUCUUCUGAAAUGAAUUAAAAAAAAAAUGAUUGAACAACCUAAAGUAGAAAACAGAAAGAAGAAAUAAGUUGGUUGAACCAACUGAUGGAACAAUAAAGAAAAUAAUGAAGUUGCAGUACAGACUACAAAGUACAUGUAAUUUAGUUGUAGUACAAAGUACAAAGUAUUGGUGCUUGAAUUAGUAAUAUGAUCUUCCCUUUUUUUCUUUUUCUUUUUUGGUGAAGAAAUAGUAUGAUCAACUACCCAAUGUCUUGGAAUCCAAUAUGGGCUGGCACAGUAUAGUAAGGCUUAGGGUAGGACCGGAUCGGGGCUUAAAUAUGUAAGUUUUUACCCAUUUUUAAAGCUCAUUUCGUUAUGGCUAAUACGGCCGGCUUUUUUAAUAGGGCUAAAUACAGUUGAAUAUGACAUUAUUUUGUUUAACAAAAUAAAUUCAUUAGUUAUAAUUUUUUCUCAAAAAUUACCUCAAGGGAUAUAUGUGAUACAAAACCUUAUUUUUAGUCAUAUUUAACAUACAUAUACAUUAUAUUUAACUUAAGACAUGUAGAAUUAUUAAUCUAAGUAGUUAUAUUCAUAUAUCUCAUUAACUAUCUCUCUAGAUCACCAAAAACAAAUUGUUAGUUAACAAAGCAAAACAAAAUUUAAAGAAAUAAAGCUUACAAAAUAAAUUAUAAAAAAGAGGACUAGUUGUAUUGUAUAAAAAAUAAGAAACAUAUUAAAAACAAUAGAAAAAUAAGAAAUUAUUAGGGCCUAAAGGACGGGCUCUAGGGCCGGACCGGCUUUGGCCCUAAAGGGCUCAAUAGGGUAGGGUCGUAGGUUAGGGUCGGGUUUCAUUUUCUUAACCAUUGCCCUACCCUAAUUAAAAAAGGCUAGGGUUGGCCCUCCCUAAGCUUUGGCCCUAUAGGGUAGGGUGGGUUUUAGGGCGGGCUACGGCCGAAAGGCCAAAUGAUGAGGCCAACUGUAUAAUGAUUGAGGUAACAUACUUUUUGGCCUUACUAGUUACCUUUACUUUUUAAGGAUUAAAAUAUCGACGAUCACGAAAAUAUCGAUGGUUUGAAGAAAAAAAAAUCUCAAUAGAUAUAUCGAGAAAUUAUCGAAUAUUGAUAUAAAUUUUAUCAAAAUUUUAUAUAAAAAUUGUCUAUUCGACCAAAAAUAGACUAAAUAUAAAAUAUUGGAAGGAAAGAUAUGAAGAUUAAUAUCGGUGUUUGUAAAAAACGGAAAUUUUGAGAAAAGAUCAAGGAUAUUGUGGAGAUUUUAGACUAGCCAUGAAAUUCUCUCGUACAAGGAGUAACAAAAAUCUUGGUGAAGGGUGAUGAUCUAAAUGUAUUGAAUGACAUUGAUGUUCAUGGCUGGGAAUAUACCGAAAUUGGAAGAGUUCUUGAUGCAAUCAGAAUCAUGAAGAGAGAGCUGUCACAGACUUUUAUCCCAUGUCGGUGGAGAGAGAAUAUGUAUUGGCAUUUUCUAGCUUCAGAUUCUAUAUAUCAAUGAGAUAUUUAUUAAAACAAAAAACAAAAAAAGAAUCUUAACACCACCGAAGUCUAAAUCUUAAAAUUUGAUGUCCAUGCAAGUUGAUUUUUUUAUUUAUUUGUUAUCAACUUCGUGCACAUCAAAAUCCAAUCCUACUCACUCAGUCUACUAGUCCAAUCCAAUGAUAUAGAGAUUCAUGAUUAACUAACAAACGGUUAUAGGAUAUUUACUUUGUGUGUGUCUUGGUAAGAGUGAUAAGUUUUCAAGUUAGAAUAAGAUUACAUUUCCUUCUACAUACUUAAAAGAUAUUGUAUAAUUCCAUAUAUAAAAAGGCUCUUACCAUUUAUUUAAACUAAAACUUUGUUGUUUAUGUGUACAAUAUUACCAUACUCAAUUGCGAAACAGAAAGCCUCUAUAUUGCAAUAUUGAUUUCGGUUGAGCACCAUUAGUAGUAAUGAGUUGAAAAAUCCUGCAUGUUAUGUUUCUUUGUUUUGAGUCUGAAUAAGUAGCUGAGCUUCUUAUUCAUACUGAGCUCUACACUCUUCAUGUUUUUUUUGGCCAUUUAGUAUUUCUAGCAUAAGCUCAACUAUAUUCAUAUACUGUAUACGCUUUGUAUAUUACUGAUCACAUAUAUACAAUACUUUAAAAAAAAAACAUAUUCAAUACAUUUUGUUUACUUCAAAGUUUAGAGAUUUUGCAUAUUAUAGCGGGCGGAUCCGUGACAUACAAGAUUAUAAUCAAAAUUAUAAUCAGAAUAUCAACCAUUAGAUCUAAUAACAACUAACGGUUGAGAGUAGUCAAAAAAACUAAAAACAAUUUCUUUUCUUUUCUUUUUUCUUUAAAUCAAUUAAUGAAAUCUAUCUAUUAAAUACAUAAUGAAAAUUGAUGAUUACCUACUAUCAUUUUGGAAUACAAUUAACAUGAAGGUAAUGGUUUCCAUUUGAUUUGAAACUCAUUUACUAGAAAGUACCAUCACCAUCUACCUCUUCUUCUUCAAAGAAAAAAAAAAUUAUCCAGAUAAUGUAUGCCAUAACACGUUGGAAAACUUAUGAUCAUAUUAUGUAUGGAAGUACUCAUAUUAUCUUGUGCUAGGACCAACCAGAAGCUUUUGAUAAAUAAAAUAAAAUAAAAAAUAAAAAAANNNNNNNNNNNNNNNNNNNNNNNNNNNNNNNNNNNNNNNNNNNNNNNNNNNNNNNNNNNNNNNNNNNNNNNNNNNNNNNNNNNNNNNNNNNNNNNNNNNNNNNNNNNNNNNNNNNNNNNNNNNNNNNNNNNNNNNNNNNNNNNNNNNNNNNNNNNNNNNNNNNNNNNNNNNNNNNNNNNNNNNNNNNNNNNNNNNNNNNNNNNNNNNNNNNNNNNNNNNNNNNNNNNNNNNNNNNNNNNNNNNNNNNNNNNNNNNNNNNNNNNNNNNNNNNNNNNNNNNNNNNNNNNNNNNNNNNNNNNNNNNNNNNNNNNNNNNNNNNNNNNNNNNNNNNNNNNNNNNNNNNNNNNNNNNNNNNNNNNNNNNNNNNNNNNNNNNNNNNNNNNNNNNNNNNNAAAAGUCAUUGGCAAAGAAAACAUAUUCAUUUGUAUUUGUGGGUAUUCAUACAAUAAAAUUUAUGCAGUUAUCAUAUGAUUCAUAUUUCUGUUUUUUAAAAGUUCGGUUUUGAAAAAAAAAAAACCCAAAAUAAAACUUUUGGGUGCUAUUUCUAGUACAAAUACUAUUUGAUGAUAUCAUCAAUAUUAUUAUUAUAACCAAACUCGAGUACAUGUCCAAAUUAUUCUGUCAAACAUGUUGAAAGCGAGAAACAUAUUUUAGUUGUCGUCAAUAGAAUAUAGAACUGCUAUUACAAUUGUAGAAGCAGUAACAAGAAUAAUCGAUUCCCCCACGGAUGGCAAUGCAUUGAGCUCCUACAUCAUGGUGUUUUGUGAAGCACUUGUCUCGACAAUCUUGUAAGGUACACCCACUAGGAUACAACUUCUCUUGGCAUCUCUUUUGUGCAUUUGCUUGUGGGAGCAUCCAACUUUCAAAAGCAACUGAAAAUUUUGAAAGAUGACAACAAAAUAUUUAUAUAAACAUUUGAUCUAUAUAUAGGCUUAAAUGUCUAUAGGCAUUACAGGCUAACAGCCUAAAGUGAGAGAACAUAUACCAAAGAACAUGAAACAUAAUGACACAAAGGAGAAGUUGGCAAACCUGAGAAAGCCAGAAAAAUAAGGAACAACUGGAAAUAAGAAAACUUUGACAUCUCUUACACAAAAAGGAAUAAUUAAUAUGUAAUCUCAAAGUUUUGUAGAAUGAUGAAUCACAAAACUCCAUUGAGAAGGAAUAUAUAGCCGGCCAAUAUAAAUCUAACGGUCAAAAACAAAACUAUUGAAACUUUAAAGUAGAUAUCUCAAUCGUUAGAUCUAGAUGCAUGGAGUAAUAGGCAAGAUACGGCCAAUAUGAGGAAUCAGUAAUCAUAAAUAUAAUAAGUCAAUCCACAUCUGUAUAUAUUUUUCUUUUAAUGUUCUCAUAUAUAGUAGUUAUUUAUUUAUAACCAUAAUAUUAUAAUGCAUCAUGAAUAAAUCAAUUAACUACUAUGUUUAAACAUAUAAUCUUUCUCUUUAGAGAGGAAUUGAUAUUAUUUGCAGUCAAAGUCAUGUAAACCGCCACGUGUACUAAAACUUAUACAAAAGUUACAUGACCAAAAAAAUAACCUUCGACUAAACUUAUUAAACCUUUAAGUGACGCUCUUUGAACAGUAAGUCUAACAUAUGUAUAUAUUUUAUUUUAAUAUUCUCAUAUAUAGUAGUUAUUUAUAACCAUAAUGCAUCAUGGACAAGUCAAUUAACUACUAUGUUUAAACAUGUAAUCUUUCUCUUUGAGAGGAAUUGAUAUUAUUUGCAGUCAAAGUCAUGUAAACGGCCAACAUGUACUAAAACUUAUACAGAAAGUUACAUGACCAAAAAAAUAACCUUUGGCUAAACUUAUUAAACCUUUAAGUGACGCUUGUUGAACAGUAAGUCUAAUAUAUGUAUAUAUUUUUAUGUUAAUAUUCUCAUAUAUAGUAGUUAUUUAUAACCAUAUAAUUUUUUUUGAACCAAGGCAGAAACAUUGAGUAGGGGCAAGAAAUCUUUACUUUCCAAGAACAAUAGCAUUGAACAGAAUCAUUGAAUUUUGUCAUUCAUUUGGUCAGAAUCAUUGAAUUUAUAACCAUAUAAUAUUAUCAUACAUCAUGGACAAGUCAAUUAACUACUAUGUUUAAACAUGUAAUCUUUCUCUUUAAGAGAAAUUGAUAUUAAGGUAAAAUAUUGUAUAAUCCUUGUGGUUUGAAGUCAACAUCUGUUUAGUCCUUAUGGUUUUAUUUUAAUCUGAAUAGUUCUUAAAGUCAUGAUUUUUCAUCCAAAUAGUCUUUAUGGCAUUUAACUGAGAAAAUUGUUGGAAUGACUAUUUGGAUAAAAAAUCAUGACUUUAAGGACUAUUCAGAUUAAAAUAAAACCAUAAAGACCAUUUGGAUGAAAAAUUAUGCCUUUAAGGACUAUUCAGAUUAAAAUAAAACCACAAAAACUAAACAGAUGUCGACUUCAAAACAGAAGGACUAAACAAAUUUCAAUUCUUGAUAUUAUUUGCAGUCAAAGUCAUGCAAACGGCCACGUGUACUAAAACUUAUACAGAAAGUUACAAGACCAAAAAAAUAACCUUCGGCUAAACUUAUCAAACCUUUAAGUGAUUCUCUUUGAACAGUCAGCCUAACCCUAAUUAGGAAUAAUCUCGCUUUCUUAAAAAAAAAAAAAAGAACUAGGAACAUCUUAAAUUAUUUUACGUUAAUUACUCAUUCAAAAGGCUUCAGUCGAUAAUGUCUCAAAUUUUGAACCCUAAGGCCAUCUCCAAAUAUGAAAGGCUAAAAAGUGCCCAGGGCUACAUUUUAACCCCUUAAAUAUGAUUGUUUAUUCAAUUAAUCAGAUUAUGACAGUCUCCUCUCCUCACCUUGCACAUGCCCUCUUUACAUUUUACAAAUUUCGAUUUCUCUCUUCAUGGCACCAUACAAGGCAAAGCUCACCAAGGUCACCAACGGGGUUAAGUUGAGCUCUCUAAGCCAUUUUGACCCGACCCCACAUGUUUAGCCCUUUAGAAUUACUUAUUGGAGAUUAUAAAGUUCAGAUAUAUGUUGUCAAGAUUAGUUUGUCCCACCGGUGGGAGAUGACACAAGCAAGUACUUUCACCUUCCCCUUAAAGUGAGAGACCAUAUAACAAAAAAGGUGAAAAUUUUGACAUCUCUUGCAUAAAAGGAAACAGUUAAUUAUGUACUCUCACUCAAAGUUUUGUCGAACGGUGAAUCACAAAACUCUAUUGAAAAAGAACAUAUAGGCAGCCAGUAUAAAUCUAACUGUCAAAAAUAAAACUUUUGAAACUUUAAAUUAGACAUCUCCACCGUUAGAUCUAAAUCCAAGGAUGACUAAGUAUGUGUACACCAUUGUAUAGAUCUAAUCACAUAUUAGAAGUAUUAACACAAACAUGUAAGCUUUUUCCCUUUUAUUCUUCUCCAAUUUGCUUCACUGUACCUAAUUAAAAACGCUAAAAAAUUCAAUAAGAUUACAUUUGGUUCUGAACAAUAACUAGCAAAAUAUAAAGUGUUGUAAAACGAACAAUAUAAAACGGAGCAUCUUAAAAAGUUUAUCAAACAAACAUACCGCGGCUUCUCUCUAACUCUCUCUUCAGGUUAGGGUUUUUUUUUAGCUGUGCGGCGCUUUUCUGAUUCCGUGGCAGCAACAACCAUGAUGAGAAAAAAAAUCUGUCGCAGCCUCGGCUGCAUUCGUGACGUCAAGUCUCAUCUCAAUGCUUUCUCUGCGCAACCAAGAUAAACCGGUGGAUCUGGGCAAUCUCUGGUGUCCAAAGAAUGGCUUCAUAAUCCAAAGAUUUUACCUUGUUGGACGACUAAAUUCCUCUCAAACUGUCGUCUUUGAAGCUUUUAGAAGUGCAGUAUGCUCCAUGUGGAGACUUUCAACUCCGGUGGAAGUUCAGGCAAGGGGUGUUAGGUUUUUGUUUACCUUUUCCUUACCUCAGAGAGAGAUGUCAAUCAGGUGAAGAGAGGAGAACCUUGGGCAUAUCAACGUGCCAUGAUUCUUCUUAACAACUAUGAUGACUUUUAUGAAAUUAUGGUUGUUCAUCUGGACUUGGUUUGGAUAUGGGUGGAAAUCCAAAAUUACCGGUAGAGUUAUCUGCUGCUGCAACGGUGAGAUUGGUGGCGGAGACUAUUGGAAUGGUGCUGCAAGUUGAUAAUGGAAGGAUCCAGCGUGUUACUCUCCCUCUGAAUCAACCGGUGAGGUUGGAGCACCGGAUUUGGGUUUCCCUAGUGGACGUCCUCUUAGUGAAUUACAUGUAUGAACAGUUACUGGAAAAGGUGUCGGCCUUGCGCUAUGAUUAAUCACAAAGGAGAUCUGUGCCCUAAAGAGAAUGAGGAGGUCCUGAAAGCAACUACAGCUCCAAUCACGGCGGCAGCAGCACCGCCGCCCAUGGUUUUUGGGAUAAUACCCCUUAAACCUAAUUGUCCUUUCUCUGCCAUCACUAUAUUUCCUCAUUUCCUCAGGAUUAAUUACAAAACACCACCUAAACUAUGAUGCUAUUUUCAUUUUCAUACCUAACUAUCAAAAACUUACAUUUUCAUACCCAAAUUUCAUUCCGUUAGCAUUUUGAUACCCUAACCACUAACAACGUUAAAUUUUGAGGGCAUUUUGUCAUUUAAAUAAAUAUAUCAUUUUUUACAUUUACUUUAACAAAAUAAUUUAUUUUUUGAGGUCAUCAAAUACAAAUAAAACAAUUUACUUUCGCAAAAAUAUUUUAAAAAAAACUCUAAAAUUAAAUAUUUAUUUUUGCAACAAUAAUGAUAAAAGUUAGUAGAACUCUUGUAUGUAUAUAUAUUUUUGGAGUUACAUGUUAAGCAAAACAAAAUAAAUUAAAUUAAAAUAUAUAAAUAAAAUAAAUUAUUUCGAGAAAAUAUCGAAUAUCAAUGAAAAUUUUAUCAAAUUUUAUCCAUUGUUGCAAAAAUAAAUAUUUAAUUUUGGAAUUUUUUUUCUUCAAUAUUUUUGCUAAAGUAAAUUGUUUUAUUUGUAUUUGAUAACCACAAAAAAUAAAUAAUUUUGUUAAAGUAAAUGUAAAAAAUGAUAUAUUUAUUGAAAUGAUGAAAAUGUCCUCAAAAUUUAAUGGUGUUGGUGGUCAGGGUAUUAAAAUGAUGAAAAUGCAAGGUUUUGAUAGUUAGAUAUGAAAAUGAAAAUAACAUCAUAAUUCGGGUGGUGUUUUGUAAUUAAUCCAUUUCAGAUCCUCAUUGUUUCCAAAUGAGAAGCGACCUAUUCAAAUCAGAGAGGUCCCAGCUUUCCCCUCCCUAACCAAAAAAACUGGGAUGAGGUGUGAAAGGGAGGAACCGACCAAGAGUAAGGGUGCUCGCCAUGCAUUGGCCCUUGUCCCUCUGCCUCUGAACCCUGAGGAGAUAGGUUUUACUGUCUCAGAUGGAGGUUCCCUAGGAAUCAAGAAGACUGGAAAGUCACCGAAGAAGCAUGGAUGCCCAUGCCAUGAGGAAGCCGUAACAAGAUGAUGCCGAAAUUGGGGGACAUCUCGAACUCAAUAGAGUCAUGAUCAGCGACAUCCGCUAAAGGGGAGAGAUGCCCCAAUGAAGAGGCUGAGGAGUAGUAGUCUCCUAGCUUGACUAGGAAAGACCCUUACAUGUGCCCUAAAUGUUCACCCUACCUCCCACUUCGAUGAAAGGUACACCAUGAGGCCUCUAAUCGGGGAAGGAAGUUGAAUUUUUGGGGUAUGGGAGGUGAUAAUCAUAUCCGCUAUUUUUUUAUGUAGUUUUGAGGUUGAUUUUUUCAAUUCUUAGAUGUAGUUUUGAUUCAAGUUUCGAACUUUGUUGGCUUGAGUGAUUUUCGAACUCUCUGUUUGACCGUUUCCGGUCAUAAUGAUCUAUCAUCAAUGGGAUAAAUCCUUUUCACCUAAAAAAGUAUAGAACAAAUUCUUUGAUAUCCAAAAAGAUUCGAUUGUUCCAGAACAGAAUAUUGAUCUCUCAUAGAUUCUUAGAAAGUGUAUGAUAUGCAUGUAUAACAAACAGUAAUGAAGAUAGAUCAUAGAUACGUGGCUAAACCGAUCGUAAUAUCUGAUGUAUGAGAAUAUUGACCUAAACCAAUCGUAAUAUCUAUAUAUGUAGGAUAUGCAUGCACAUCAAAUGCAUGGCCAGCUUAAUUAUAUUCUUGGUCCAAUUUUUCAUAUAAAGAAGUAAGCAUAAUAUGCUUGGCCACAAUCAAAAUCUACAACCUUCCAAUUUGACCAAGUUGAGCAACUACUAAUUAUACGAUUCAAGUUGGAGAACUUUAUUUUUGAACGAAUAUUUCUAACUGCAUAGUAAUUAGCUAUAGCUAGAUACACUCAAAACAACUUUCCGACCUAGCUCAUAAAAAAUUACUGCAGGAUAAUUAAUUUUUGUUAAUUUUCCUGAUAUAAUGUACGUAUCAUCGAUAUGUUUGCAUCUUCAGAGUCUAGAUAUUUGCAUUGAUUAAGACGUGAGCAUGUAACUAGUAGUUUCAGAAAUUCAGGACUCCUAAGACUCUAAGACGGGCCUGAAUAAGAACCUGCAGUAUAAAGAUGAAAGGAUAUUUGAGUAGUGCGGCUAGAAUAUUUGUAUGACGUAUGACAAGUUGAAGUUUCCUCUGUUUAUAAGCCCUUGCAUGCAGCUUCUAGCUAGUCAUUCACCAUACUAGAGAUCAAAAACUUGCUGCGAAAUGUCAAGGUCUUCAUCAUCAAGUCUCAGUUUGCAGGUCUCCGAACCAGCUCCGCCCCGAAUUCUUCGAUUGGAGCGGAAGCCUACUUUCGGGAAGAGAUUGGAAACUAUCGAGGAGGAGAUGAACGAGCAGGGAGGUCAUAGCUACAAUCGCAGCGAGAAGAAACCUGCAUUUGGAUCUACAAAUAAGGCCGAUUUCACCAAACAAAGUCCUGCUGUGGUGGCUCGCUGAUGAUCAAACUAGUAACACGUACUGCAAGAAUAUAUAUACGACGUACCACAAGUGUUUAGUUAAGGAGCUAUAAGCAGUUGUCUCAAAGGUUAGCGUCAAACAUAAUAAAAAUUGUUGCUCUUAAUUAGAUCAUAUAUCAUGGAUAUGUUGUGGUUAAUUAUGUUAUGUGCAUGCCUAGAAACAACAAUAUGGGUUAGCUCUUGAAGUAUAUACCAGAAAAGUAUAUCUAUAUUUAUAUUGGAGUAUUGGACCAUGGUCUGAAUAUGCAUUAAGUUGGAAGAUUUGUGAGAUUCAAAUGAGGAAACAAAGAAAGAGCAGGGAGGUUGGCAAUCACUCUGUCCAAACGCUCAUAAAUAACAUCAUCUUCGUGUUGCUUAAAUUUACACCAAGUUAAAAGCAUUGCCCGUAGAGGGUAGGUAAACUAAAUUAGCUCUAUUUGAAACGCCCCUAAAUUGGACCAUAAUAAUUUAAUGCAACCGAAUUGGGGAGAAUAUUUAGCUAUACAGAAUUCUCAGUACCAACAUGACCAGACCAUAUUCCAUCAGUCUAAACACAUUCAGCAGAGGCCCAGCACACUUUUUAAUAACUCACCUUUCAAAUAAAAAUGACUGCAUUCAAGGGAAACAAAAUCUCCGUUGUUGAUAUGAAUAAACUUGUAGCAAUCACAAAACUCUAGUACCAUAAUCUAAGUGAAACAAAAUACAAGAACAAAAAUCAGGUCAUCCUUUGAGCAGCCUCUCUCGCGAGGAGCCUUUCCUUGGCCUUCGUUUUGGCCUGGGAUUUGGAACCCAUGAUGCCACCACCCCACUUUUUCCUGUAUUCCUCAUACUUGUCAUUAAAGUUGGCCUGCAUUGCAAUUAAAAGACCAUAAGUUUUAGGCUAACAAUACGGCACACUAGAAUAACUUAACAGAUUGUCAUCAAAUCUUUCAUCCUAUUCUAACUCACAUUUAUUGCUUCUAAGACCUUGCUGAAAUCCAUCCUAUCUUGAUUCUUGAUCGUUGUCAGGCACAAUACCGAAGCAGUUUUUUUAUGGACAAUCUAACAGUGAAAUACAAAAAGUUAAAUUCAAGGUCUUGCAAACAGAGCAAUAUAAAAGAAAAGGUAUAAGCGUAAUUACUGCUCCCAAGCGUGCUUUGCCCUUCACAAUGCAGUAGGGGAUUUGCAUCUUCCUGCACAGGGCAGGGAGCCAGACAACCAACUCUAUUGGAUCAACAUCAUGAGCAAUAACUACAAGUUGAGCCUUAUUCUGCAAGUAAAAGGAAUGUUACUAAAAAGUGAAACCUCAAAAGCCAGGAACAACAUAUAUAAAUGGCAGAGAACAAUACCUGCUCAAUGAGGUAGGUGACAUGGUUGAGACCAUAUUUCACAACAAUUGGCUUCUUGUUUUCAACAGUUAUUCCUUGAGUUUCUUGUUGUGCCCUUGUCAAGAGACGCUCCUUCUUCUCUGCCUUGUCCUCAGGCCGAUACUUCAAAAGCAUCUUGAACAGGCUUGUAGCUACAAUCACAGACAACAGCAUAAGAGAUCAUUUUCUCAUAAAAGUCAAAACAGCAGCAAAAUUGCUCCUUCUCCGAAAGAAAUAGAAGACAACAACAUUACAUUCCUCAAACAACAAUAACAUGUAAAACAGCAAUACAGACAGUUGAAACCAAUUCAAAAAUAAGCAACCAAUCAUCCCACACUUGCAUUGUCUAGGAAAGGACUUCUAUUUCAUCGCAACAAUGCGUGUACACUACAAACCAUCCAGAGAAAACCCCAAAAUAUUGGGAUUGCAAAAUCGUGACACGGAGACAGACAGAACAUAAGUUCAUUCUCCAACAUAUACCCAGAACACAAGCACCAACAAAUUUGAGAGUCCUAACUAUAAAUGAUAUUCGACAUGAAUCUAAUAUAAAGUGAACAGUCAUCGAUAGAAAACGUCGUACCGAUGUUCUUGUCGAGGGUCUUGGUGAACUGGUUCAAAGCAGGAGGAACCUUAAGCCUCUGCUGAAGGAUUCUCUUCUUCCUCUGAAUCUGAACAGCCUUGGGCCAUUUAACGAAUCGGGUCAGAUCCCUCUUGGGAGGCAACGCCCCUCCGAUCCCGAAUUGCUUCGGCCGCUUCUCGAACAGUGGGUUCACCACCUUCUCCGGCUUCUUCUUCGAGGCGGCAACGGGAGCUUUUACACCCUUUUUGGGACCCUGCAACGAUUAACCAACAACUAAGUGAUAUGUAUGAUCAGAAUACGGCAACAGCGGAGGAGAAGAGUCCUGCUCACCAUUUGCACCGGCUACUUCAGUUUUGCUCUGGAAACCCUACAUGAAAACCUCCGUCGGGUAUAUAUAUCAACGAACACGGCUGGCUGGGCCUUCGUUUCUUACGAGCUGGGCCUUCGUUUGUAAGGUUUAAAGCUUCAAUUCUCGAUUGAAACUGUUCAAACCUAAAAAACAACACAUGCAGAAUUCUAUCAAGAAGUGUAGUGUCUUGUGUGCACGGCCGUGAAUGUCCUCGGCCACGUGCAGUGCAUGUGAUGGAAAGAAGGCGUUGAACAUAAGGAAGGGCGUUAGUCAAGUAGCGUUAAAAACAAAACCAAAAAACCUCCAGACGCAGUAAAACAAGAUUUACUGGAACUUAAAAUGCUCUAAGGUGUCUCUCACCCGCAGCAAUACCGGAACUCCAAUCAAUCACUCUGAUCUCUCUUUUAAUCUCGUUUUCUAAGGAGCCAAAGAGCAAGGAGAGAUGUGGAAGCACAUAGCGAGGCAUAGUGUGGCGAAUUCAUUCAGUGGCUCUUCCUUCUCCUCCGAGAUAGUCGGGCUCACCGGCCACACUCUCGGUCAACAUCACUCAGGAGUGCCGCCGCGGACCUACGACGUUUUGUACCGCUGGGGCUAGGGUUCUCAACAAGCACUCCACGCUUGGCUGCCAUAUCGUCCAAGCCCUGAGUAAGAGUUUUGAUUGAAUAAUGUGUUGAAUUGAAAUGGAGGCUUGGGCUUUAUUGUGCUGCUUUUGGAUAUAAUAAUGUGUUUGAUUUUGUGUAUGAGAAUUGCCAUUCAAUUUCACGAUUUGGUUAUCGUUUUUAAUUGCUUUGCUCUACUAAGAGAUACUUUGUUCAGUUUCAUCAUCCGAUUGCGUUUCUAUGUUUCAUUGUUUGUUUUAGCAUCCGUUGUAAUCACUGUGAUUUUAAUUAUAAUGCUUUUGUACUGUUUAACAUACCAAAUGUAGGCAAAAUGUGGGGGUGUUUGUAGAAUUUAGGAUCAUAAAUGCAAGUUCUGGUGCUUUGUGAGGCAAUCAAUUGCCCCUUUAGUAAUGCUAGGUUUUUUGUGUGCAAUCCUUUAGGUGGAUAAUGGCAAUCAGUUUGUUUUGCUUUAAUUGGGACUCUAUAUUGUUAUUUGUUGAACUUUAUGUCAUUCGAGAAGUAGGAGACUUGUUUGUUAACUUAAUUACCUGAUUAACUAAAAGUGAUCAACAUUAGGUUUAGCUGAUAAGGACUUAAGUGAAUCUUGGACUCUAAUAGAUGAGUUGAAGAUUAAUCCUCUAUGCACCUAUAUAUAUCAGAUAGCAGAUUAUCUUCUACUAUGUGAAUUGGUAUUGCUGUGAGGCUUGUCGAUCGAGUGAUGCUUCAUCGUUUGAAUACUUGCUGCUGAUUGUUUCUGCUUAGCUGUCUGAAGAAAUGGCUGGACAAAAUGCUAAUAUAAACUAUCUUACAUUUGCAGUCUCAUUAGAUAACUAUAGUUCUUCAUUUAAAUGGAUUUUUUAUUACUGUUUCAUGAUUAUUGUAAAUUUAUGCUAAGAUAAGCAUAGAACUAAAGAAGAGUUCCUACAAGUGGUUGAUCACUUUGAAAUGUCGGAUAAAGAGAAAGUAAUGCAACGAGUAUUUACUUCUGCAGCUUUGUGAUUGAAUGCAUUUUUAGUUUUUAUCUCCUUUAUUUGAAGAGUGUCUACUCAAUAGUUCCCUUUGAGUGAAUAAAAUUUGGCAUAACUAAUGAAGUAAUAGUCCAAACCCCGUAUGAAUUAACAUUUUGCCAAAACAAUGUGUCAGCACUGGUCUAGGAAACCUACAAAAGAGUGCUUCUUUUGUAAUUAUUACAUUGGAUUAAUGAUCUGUGUGUCUAGAAGACAAGUGUAUAUAGAAGUAGUGCUCAAGUUUGAAUGAUAACUAGUUCUUGUAAGGCAAUGAUGUUAUAUCUAAGCUCACCUUCAUGUAUGUCCUAAUAUCCGGAUCAAGAACAAUAAAUGAGUUUGUAUCUUGACAAACAUAUAUGUCACAUUUAUAUAUAUCAUAGUAUAGAGACAUUUUUACAUGAUGAUUUAAGACCUGUACAUUUCAGGUUAGAGUUACAAUAUCUACCACAUGAGCUUCUGUUGUGACAUUAACGAUGUCAAAUUUAAUGUUUUUUUCAUUUUAACACAUUUCAUUCAAUUAAAUCCUAGAAUGCCUACUAAUGUUGUUUAAUUUUGUUACUUUGUUAUGUGGACAACAACACAUUAUACAACAAUAAUGUGGAGAAAACGUAUUUUAGGUAAUCACACCGUUCGAUAGUCUCACGAGGAGAUAAAACGGCUAUGCUAAAAAAUUUACCUAUUUUCGUCAGUGAUUGAGCAUUAGUCAACUCAGUCAACCUAAGUUCCUACACACCUAUCAAGAAAAAACCAAACUGAAAAUAAAAGGAAACUCAAAUCGAACGGUUUUAUAACGAAGUACGCGGCAUUAUGAGUAUCAGAGUAUGAGAGUUUUCAGGACGUAUUUCGGACACCCAAGCUAUUUAUUACAUUUUUCUAAAGUAUACGGUGAUUGUUUAAGGACGUCGAGGAUAUUUUCUAGUUUGUCAUGAUCACGAACCUCAAAUUUACGAACCUAGUUGUGAAGUGGGUCUCGCGAGUGGUCCGUGACAUUUUUCGGUGAAUUUUUUCGACACCGGAGCUAUUUUCUAUGAAUUUUUAAAGUUCUGAAAUGGUGGAAAAAAAGUAAAACUUUAAUGACAUGGACAUAUGCGUGGGCCUCAAUGCGCCAUGUGGGCCAAAUCUCACUAUUAAGUUUUUUUAUUUUAUUUGAAAAUCAGAAAAUUCUUUUAUGCACGAUGUGUAUUUACAUGACGUAAUCUUAACCGUUCAUAACAAUUCAUAUGUUUGACCAUCUUGUUUCUAUAUUAUUUCUUCUAAUCUUGACCAUCUAUGUAUGUAUGUAAAGAUGCACGUCGUGUACUGAAGAUGUUAUCUUGAAAAUCUUGCGAAAAUGGUAAUAAAUAGCUCGGGUGUUAAAAAAAUUCCAUCAAAAUUAGUGCGUACUCAGGGUGAUGCUAUAAUAUCCCAGAAUUUCGAAUUUCUAUUUUUAAAAGAAAAAUUAAUUUUCGAGCUAAUUCUAUUUCGAUUUCCAUUAUUUUUUCAAAUCCUUAGUAGCUUUCGAAAAAUAUUCAAAUUUUUAUUUUUUUAAUUUUGUCUUUCGAACCCAUAAGAUUAAAUUAGAUGUCGUUACGAGUUUGUGAGAUCUUUUAGAGUAUUAUUUGGACAUCAAAGUUAUUUUUAAUGAUUUUUAGAUGUUGGUAUUAUCCAAAAAUUUAAUUAAAAAUAGAAUUUGUGGCGGUUUGGUCAAAGUCGGUUUGAUGGUGUAUAUACAUAGAGGAAGAGAGAAGGGAUUGAUCAGUUUAGACACAGACCGGGUCUCUGCCGACCCGAACGCCAGCGACGGGUCGACCCGGCUGCCGCUCCGUCCUCCGGCAACGGCGAGGAGAGAGACUGGUGGCGACGGAUUCGUCUCGGCCUCGUGAUCAUCCCUGUGAUCUCGGAUAUGUCAGAGGAGCUCCAGGGAGAGAGAUUCGAAGUGGAGAAGAAGAGGCUGGGUUGCCGGCCAACUUUGGAUUCCGGCCACGACGACGAGCAAGGCUGGUACUGGUAGCUUCGUCUCGGUCUCGUUAACGUCCCUAUGCCUUCAUCUUGCAGAGAUGAGGUCUGGUGAGUGAGAAUCGAGCAGAGGAAGGUCUUCCAGUUUUCCGGCGAGUUCCCAAGGUUUCCGGCGAGCUUUGGUUUCGUCUCAGGGAUCAAAUUCGGUCUAAUUCCUGAGUUCUACAUGCUUCUAUAAUUGAAAUUGAGUUUUGUUGAGUUUGGAGGAAUUUGGGAUUUUGGCAGUGGAGGACCACCGUGGGUGGCCACUGUGUACAGCGGCGACGAUGGUUCUAGGAGUUGAUUUCCAGCUUUAUUAGUAUGUUGAAUUGGUAUGUGUGAUUUCAGAUACUUGAAGUCGAUUUUCGUGGAGUUUUGAUGAAGUUGGGAUUUUGGCAGUGAGUUUAGUUUGUUGUUCAUGGUGAUGGAAUUGUGUUUAGCUACUUAGUUUCAGCCUUGAUAUGAAGAUUUGAGCAUGAUAUUGAUUAUGUGAUGCAUUGGAAUUGCAGAGAUGGAAGAGUUGGUUGAUUAGAACAGAAUUCAUGUUGUCAUGUCUCAAUUCCAUAAAUGGAGGAAGUAGAAGAAAGAUGUUAAGUUGGAUAAUGGAAGUGUCCGUAGGUGUAUUUGUUCAUUAUGAAUAAGUUUGUGUGCCUAAAACAAUAUUGUGGAAUGGUGAAAAGGAACAAACAUUUGGUUGAUAAGGCGAGAUGGGUGUCCAUAGUAGAUUUGGAGUCGACUUGGUAGUAAAGGGGCAAUUUGUAUACGAUGACGACAUUGAGCAAAAUACAAAUUAGAAUGUGAAGAUAAAUGAAAUGAGUACGUACGACGUGUGAUUUGGUAAUUGUCGGAGAAGGUGAGCGGAAUUGGAAAUAAGGAUUUUGGGUGUCCUUAGUAAUUAUGAGGACUCGGAUCGAUGUCCAUAUUGAAGCGACUUAUUGGCUUCCUUGGAAUAAGGCGAUACGAGGAUCGAAUGCGAGUAGUUGGAUUGUAAGAGCAGAAGGAUAAGGAUUUCAGAAGCGUGUUGCUAAGUUACUAAUUUUAGUUGACGUCAGAACUAACGUUUAGAUUUCAGGUAGGGUCUCUAUCGGGGAACUUUUCUUUAAUUUGAUAAUUAGAGUAAUAAUUGAAAUGUGAGAAUUGUGUGCCAUUGAGUGAUUAACUCUUGGUUGUUAUUGUUUUUGUUAAAGUAUGUGUAAUCGUUGAUUUUAUAUGAAAUUGAUGUUAUUGCUUUUCAUUAAAAGCAUGUGUUGAAUGUCAUAUUACGUGCAUUGAUAUUCGAUUGUAUACAUGAUGCAUUAUGAGGAAUAGUGAGAAAUUAUGAGAAUGGAGAUUCUGGAGAAGAGAAUGAGAUUAUUACAACAGAUUCAUUUUGUGUAGUUGAGUUUCCUCAUGUGUUGUCCUCGGGAUCUAUGAUUAGCCCACACGUGCACAAAUGUAGGGAAAGUAUGCCCUUUCGACGUAUGAGUCGAUAAAAUGAUCUUCUCGGGUUGCGGAUUGGGAGACCAUGAGUAUAACAAGAAAACUAACAAAAGAGGUACAUGUGGUGAGAUAUUACUGAUUGUUAGAUCAUAUAUUCGAGACAUAUGAGACCCCCAGUUGGUAAAAUACACGGUAUGGGACGUAUAGGCUCACCUGUCUUUGAUGUAUGGAUUGAUCACCCAGUAAUCGAGGAAGUCAUUCAUUAGCAUACAUGUAUCAAAUUGUCGUUAUAUAUUUAAGGUAUUGUUUAAUUAUUUGAUAACUUGUUUGUGCGACCUAGUUAAGUAUAACUUAAAAAAGGUUAGGCCCUACUGAGCGUCAGCUCACCCCUAUGAGUCUUGUUCAGGUUUGUACGAGAACACGUGUUUCUAGAAGACUAACUGUGACGUUAGCUUUCGUGUACAAGUGGCGAGAAGUACAGAAGAUUAGAAGUGAGAAAGAUCGCAAGGCCUGCCUGUUAUUUUGUUUUUGUAAUUGUUUUUGUUAUUGUAAACGUUUUAUUUUCUUUUAUUUCUGAAAAAGUAUUUGAAAUUGUUUUAGUUUCUUUUACUUUUCCCGCUCACGCUUUGGGUUCGGCAUCAGGUGCUUGGAAACCACCGACACCGGGUCCGGGGUGUGACAGAUGCGCUCUUUCUACCCAUGUAAAAAUUUUGAGAAAAGGAUAUAUGCGUGACGAGGCUGCCUUUAGGGAGGAAGAAGGGUGCAUGGGGUUGACCGGUUUGACCGACAUCGAAACGACGGCGGACGGGAUCUAUAUCUUUACCAAGAGCCUAUUACGACUGCCCAAAUGCUUAUUACUCCUCCGUAAUCACAUUGACGAUGUCAAAUUUAACGUUUUUUCAAUUUAGUACGUUUUAUUCAAUAAAAUCCUAGUAAGCCUACUAGUUGACCGAGUGGAUCGAGACUCAAAGGUUAUCAAAAAUUUGUAAAUUUUUGUCUAUAGCCUUAUUUAAAUACACUGAUCACAUCAGACGGUCAAGAUUUAAUUUUUUUAAGUGUAGUCAAUGGAACCACAACGUGUCUACUACAGUGGUAUAACUUGUAUAAUAGGUUUUAUGCAAGUGUACACCUUUAUGAAACAACUAUAUCUUGCAGACAUAAUUUUGAAAAAUCGUCCGUAGGAUGUGAUAGGUAUAGUGAAAUACGGCUAUGGUAGAAAUAUCACAUAUUUUUGAUAACGUUUUGACUCUGAUCAAGGUGGCUAACCCUAUUUACACUAAUUCUUCUCUAUAAGGAGCCCUAUCGUUGGGAGGUUAAAUCCAAAUUUUUAGAUAGGCUACUACAUCUCAUCUACAUGAGUGUGUGUGUGCGAAAGAAUAGACAAAAAUAAGUUAAGAAGGAGUGGGUAAUAGCGUUUUCGUGUAAUAAGUGACGUUGGUUUAAGGUUGAUCGAGUAGAUCCGAACUCAAAACGUUAUCGAUAAUUGGUGAAUAAGUCACAUCUCAUCUAUGUGAGAGUGUGUGCGAAACAAUCAAGAUAAAUAAGUCAGAAAAGAGUGUAGGUAAUAUUUAGAGUGUGAUAAGUGACGUUGAUUCGGGUUGACCAAAUUUUUAGAUGGGUUGUUACAUCUCAUCUACGUGAGUGUGUAAUCACAUUUUCUGAUUCACAAAUGAGAUAAGAUAAUAUUCUGGGCACUGGUUCGGCAUGAAUAACUUAGUAAACUUACUGGUGUCUAUAGUUUGAGACAUGCACAUAUAUCUGAUCAGUAGUACACAUGGAAUUCCAAACACACAAAAUUUCAAGUCAAACGGAAUCAUAAAUCCUAAUGAAAUGCAAAAUGGCAAGUUAAGUGUAGCCGCGUUGGAUGGAAAAUAAAAGAAGUCGACGCAUUUUAGGUAGUGGCAAUGAAAUAAAUAGAAAAAAGAAAACAUAACGAAAUUGCCUCAUCCCCGUUUUGAACCCAAAAAAUCAAAAGAAACCAAACCACACCCUCACUCACUCACACUCUCUCUCUCUCUCUCCCUCCUUUCGUCCUCCUCUCCUUUUUCUCUCACCAAACCCUAACGAAGACUUUCUUUUUUCCUUCUCUUUCUCUUUCUUCAUCCGAUGCUCUAGUCUCAUCAAUCGUCUCCUAGAUCCGAUUUACAAAGGUACCUUUUCCGUCUUCAUUUUCUAAUUCUUGUAAUUGGAGCCGAUUGAUCUAUGUUUCUUCUUGUUUUUCGCUUCUCCGAAUCUCAAAUUUUUCUUUAUUUCUAUGUGCUUUCAAGCUUUUUUUCGUCACAGUUUUUCCAAUUUUUUUUUCUUAUAAACCCAACUAUAUAUGGUUUCUAUGUGGAGCUCCAUGGGAUACCCUCCCUUAACGGGGGGAGGAAUCGAGUACUAAUGUGGAACGGGGAUGUGGAUCUCUAAUCUAAGAUUGGGAAUGGAACGGGGAUGAGAUUGUGAUCUUCAUCCCUAAACCCACUCAAUAAAUAUACAUAUAUUUAAUGUAAAUAAAUAAUAUAUAUUAAUUANNNNNNNNNNNNNNNNNNNNNNNNNNNNNNNNNNNNNNNNNNNNNNNNNNNNNNNNNNNNNNNNNNNNNNNNNNNNNNNNNNNNNNNNNNNNNNNNNNNNNNNNNNNNNNNNNNNNNNNNNNNNNNNNNNNNNNNNNNNNNNNNNNNNNNNNNNNNNNNNNNNNNNNNNNNNNNNNNNNNNNNNNNNNNNNNNNNNNNNNNNNNNNNNNNNNNNNNNNNNNNNNNNNNNNNNNNNNNNNNNNNNNNNNNNNNNNNNNNNNNNNNNNNNNNNNNNNNNNNNNNNNNNNNNNNNNNNNNNNNNNNNNNNNNNNNNNNNNNNNNNNNNNNNNNNNNNNNNNNNNNNNNNNNNNNNNNNNNNNNNNNNNNNNNNNNNNNNNNNNNNNNNNNNNNNNNNNNNNNNNNNNNNNNNNNNNNNNNNNNNNNNNNNNNNNNNNNNNNNNNNNNNNNNNNNNNNNNNNNNNNNNNNNNNNNNNNNNNNNNNNNNNNNNNNNNNNNNNNNNNNNNNNNNNNNNNNNNNNNNNNNNNNNNNNNNNNNNNNNNNNNNNNNNNNNNNNNNNNNNNNNNNNNNNNNNNNNNNNNNNNNNNNNNNNNNNNNNNNNNNNNNNNNNNNNNNNNNNNNNNNNNNNNNNNNNNNNNNNNNNNNNNNNNNNNNNNNNNNNNNNNNNNNNNNNNNNNNNNNNNNNNNNNNNNNNNNNNNNNNNNNNNNNNNNNNNNNNNNNNNNNNNNNNNNNNNNNNNNNNNNNNNNNNNNNNNNNNNNNNNNNNNNNNNNNNNNNNNNNNNNNNNNNNNNNNNNNNNNNNNNNNNNNNNNNNNNNNNNNNNNNNNNNNNNNNNNNNNNNNAAAAGAUCAGAUUAUAUGGGCCGGCUGGUCUGGAGGCCAAUAAAAAGGAGAUCUGGUGUGGGUAGCAGCAUCUAAGGCGAGUCUCCACUUUCUUGUUCAAGAGGAAAGUAGAGAGAGAGCGAGAGCAUCGCCGCAAGCGGCCGAGAGCAUCAAAGGCAAGAGUCCACUUUCUUGUUCGAGAGGAAAGGAGAUAUGGUGUGGGUUAUAAAGCAGCAUCAAAGGCAAGAGUCCACUUUCUUGUUCGAGAGGAAAGGAGAGAAAGAGAGCAUCGUCCAACACCGACCAACACCGCAAGAUCCGACGCAAGCGGCAGCGGCAUGAGCCCACCAAACCUCCGCCCCCAAAGGAUUCCAACAAGAAAGACGAGGAUUUGGUAUGCAAUUCCAUCUCUUAGGGUUUUGACAAAUUUGUUUUGCCGUAGACCAUCUUUUAUUUUAGGGAUUUGUUCAUCUCUUGUUUUUCGGUUUAUCCAAGUUUGUAUUAUCUAAAAUCGAAAAAUCUGAUAUAUCUGAGGAUUCAGGCUGUAUUGGUUAAGUAAAUGCAAUGGGUUCGGCUUUUGAGUUGGUUACAAAUGAUUGUCGGUUUCGCUGAAUUUGUAUCUGUGUUAUGUGCAGUCCGAUGAAGAUUUGGCCUCAAGCAGCAAUUAGAAUUGUACGUGGAGAGGGUUCAAGAUUCUGAUCCUGAGAGUAUGAGGUAUGUUCUAUGACCUCUCUUUAUUUACAGCCCACGAUUUGUAUGUGCUAUAUUUUCUCUUGGGUUGCAAUUUACUUGACCUCACUUUAUUUGAUACGGAAGCUUCAUGUUUUGGCCAGUAUUCACCCCUACAGCUGCAUCUUACUACCUAGACUAAUAUUAACUCGUCAGCAAAAAUAUUUGCUUAUAUGGAUUGUGUGGCUUGACAUGACAUCAAAUUUCAUCUUGUAGGCAGGAAAUUCGUACCUCAACUAGUUCCAUGAUACCAAUGCCCCCCGCAUUACGGAACUCUAAAAGCAUACUAUGAAACAAUGACCGAUUCAGAUUUGAAGGUAUGCUUUAACUAUCGGUGCCUUGUCGACUUCCAUAAUAAUAAGAUUUUUUUCUUGUUUAAAUAAUAUACUGUGUAUUGCAUGCAGAACUACCUUGCGGAUAUAUUGUCGGUUUUGGAACUGACCAUGUCUGCUGAAGGAGAACGGGUAUGUCUAUUAUUUGAAGUUUGGUGUGUCUGCAUUAUACUUUUGUAGAUUGCAUAACUAUUUGAACUUGUCAUAUAUAACAGCUGUGUAAUGAUGUCUUUAUAUGUCCACUUCUUUCAGGAAAGCUUAAAGUUUAGAUAGUUGGGUUCAGACGGUGAUAUUGGUUCAUGGGGACAUGAAUAUGUCAGGUUAGAAUCUUUUAAUUUCCAACAGAAUGAUAUGCAUUUUGUGGUAUGUGAGUUUCAUCAUUUUAGUCCUUGCAUAUUUGUUAAGGUCCCUUAGGUAUAUGACUAUAUAUAUCCUCACUAGUGUGACUAUCUUGUAAUCAGGAACUUAGCUGGAGAAAUUGCUCAAGAAUAUGCCAAGCGACAGGUGUGUAUUUUUAUCCUUUGGACAUGUUGUAUUAGCUUUAUUUGUUGGAAAAUUUAAUUGAGGUCGCAAGACAACUUAAUCUCGAUCAUUCUUCAUUUCUGUACAUUGAAAUUAGUACACCCGUAGAAAAUAUUAUUUUGCAAUUUCUUUCAAUGCUUGUAUCAUGUAUCACUUAAUGUUGCAAUUGUUGUUGUAACAUGUGUUAGUUAAUCAAGAUAAGAAACUCUUAUAAUUCAUGCUAUAUGUAUGUUAACUCUUGAGUAUUGGUGCUAAAUUGCUGUUUCAGUUGCAGAGUGAUGAGACCCCGUUUGAUGAUUUAAUGGAGUUAGUACAACAAAUAGUUGCUUUUCACAUGAGGGUAAGAUCAUAAACAAGUUUGUAUUUUUCCUGUCUAAACAUUUUUUAAUCAAAUGCUUCUGAAAUUAGGUUGUGAAUAUGAAUUCAGGUUGUGCUUGUCUGUUCAAUUGUGUUUUAUCUUGUAUUAGCUGAUUCAUUGCAAUCAAAAAUUUGACUCAGGAUGAUGUGCCAAAAAUAGUUAACUGGAGCCCAGUUAGUCACACAGCUUCAGUGAAUCCCAGAAUAAUAGUUUACACGUUAAAGUUAAAUCAAACUCUGCUCUGUAUCAUGCAUUUUUAGACAAUCUAUAGAGUUGGAAAUUAAUAUAAUUUAAUAACACAUCUCUGUUAGUGUUUCUUAGGAAAAUGUAUUCAAAAUGUAUAUAUAUUGGCUCUAAUCAAUUCUUAAAUGCAAUGCAGCACAAUGCCGAACCGGAAGCUGUUGACCUUGUAAUGGAGGUAAAACCAAAUAUUAAGUUGACAACAUUCUUUGCCAGAGAAGCCCUUUCUUUUUGGGACUGGUACUGAUAGCUUGUACAAAUGUCCAAUGCCAGGUUGAAGACCUUGAUCUGUUAGUCGAGCAUGUUGACAAGACAAAUUUUAAGAGUACUUGUCUCUACCUCAUCAGUUUGGUAAGGUGUGGCAUGAAUCUACCAAGUUUGCUUUUCCAGUUUUAGUUGGAUAAUUCUGUAUCAGUUGCUCCACCAACUUAUUGAAGUAAUUGUUUGAUAUAUGAUAAUGUUCUGAAAGGUGUCAUUGUGAUUUGUUAAUGAGUCGCUUUGUUGACGUUUAAUUUGUAUCUCGUCGUACUGUAGAUUGGUUCCUGGACCAGAUGAUAUGUUAGUUUUGGAUAUUGCAUUCAUGAUAAAUCUGAAAUUUGAAGAAUAUCCAAAUGCACUUCUGAUUGCCCUUUUCCUUGACAAUAAGGAGGUUUGUGCUUUUCAAAAAAAAUGGCAUGUGUUUUGUUAAUUGACUAGGGAAGUUGACAGAAGAUUAUACAAGUUAUAUGAUUUGGUGCUAACAAUUUUGAGUAUGUUCGCAGUAUGUAAAGCAAGUCUUUACAUCUUGUGAUGAUCUGCUGCGUAAAAAGCAAUUCUGUUACAUCCUCGCCCAACAUGUAAGUCAUGGAAUAUAUAUUUGUAAAGAGGUUCUUCAAAUCUCUCUCUCUCUCUCUCUCUCUCUCUCUCUCUCUCUCUCUCUUUGCAUAUGAAUGCAUUAGGUGCUCUAGAAAAUUAUACACUGGCUGAAAGGUGUGAAUUUGACAUUAGUAUCUUAUAGUGUGUUUCUGAUGCUUGUUUUCCCGUUGGCCUUUACAGGGUAGUAAUUUUGAGCUUAAUGAUGAGAUGGUGUCAGAAGAUGAAGAAAGAGAAGCAAUGCAGGACAUUAUUAAUAACGCUAAACUCAGUGAAGGUUAUCUUACCCUUGCUCGUGAUAUUGAGGUCAUGGAGGUCAAAACUCCAGAAAAUAUCUACAAGUUUUGAACGUUUCAUUUCAUGUCAUAGAUCUGACACUUGGUGCACAUUUCAAAAUUUGCUGUUGUGAUGAUAUACCAUCAUAAGAUUUUAAGGAUUACUGCAUUUAAUGUGUAAAAAGCUAUGCUGCUCUGAGUGUUUUUUUGUUGGUUACUUGCGUCCCUAUCAACUUUUGGUAUUUUUUAGUCACUCGAUUGAACUAGGGAGUAAAAUAGUGUUCUUUCACUCAUCUAAUUUAAGUAACUCAAAAUCUACCGAUGAGGUAUCUAUAUUCAAUUUUCAUGCUCAUUACUACCCACUUUCCAUAUGAUACUGCUACUAUUUAGGGGCCUCAACAAUUGUAACAUUUUGUAGUUUCCCUAUGCAUGGUUAAUCAAACAUGUCUAACUUCAACUACACCAUUUGAGGAUGCUUCAUCAUCAUGUGGUAUAAUUUGAACUUCAUUUUUGUCAUAUUGUGCUGACAUCUUCUUAGGCGUUUCAAAAAAGAAGUUUUAUAAUAUGGAGAAGAAGCUUCUAACCUAAAAGGGAGGACAUCAGUUGAUAGAAGAAAAUUCAAUUCAGAACUGCGUUUUAACUUUGCUAAGUCAACAAUUUGGUAUAAUGACAACUGUAAAGUUGUAUGAACUUGGGCUCUGUUUGUGUUAGCCUUUUGUUGCUUAUGUAGCUGCUUCCCUUCUAUAGUAAAAUUAUUCUGAAGAUGAUCACCUGAAUAUAUGAAUGACUUUGUAAUUUACUUGAAAGUUCACUUACAUGGGAUUUUAUUGAAGAAAUGUCGAUUUUAUUUAAGAUCACAUUAGCAAUGUGUUUAUUUUUAUUUUAUUUUUAAACAAAACCAAUUUACACAACCAUGAAACCCGCAGCAAAGCGUGGGCUCAGUAGCUAGCAUGAUUGAUGCACUUGACUAUAUGAAUAGCUGCCUACUGACAUGAUACUUAUUAUCAACAUGGAUUUUUCAACUUGGUCAUGCUCUUCAAGUUCAUUAUUGCUGUAUCAGUUUUGCAAUUUAUUCCUUUCUUUUGUACAGGGCAAUGCUGCUGGGAAGGUGAUGACUGCUUCUUUACUUUUGUUUUAGCAUUGUAAAGGUUAAAAAACCUAUUAGAGUUUGCUGUUAAAUGUGCUUAAAAUUCUUUUUGGUGAUUAAUGUGCAGCUCUGGAGCCUAGUGGAAAGACAAUCGCGUUUAGAUCCUAUAAAUCUGGUAAGGAAUUCGUCUUUCACACUGAAUUUUGUUUUCACUUUUAGAUCAGCAAUCCUUUCUUUAAACCAAAAUUAAUUCGAGCAUCUGUUUUGUGGAUUAUCUUGCGGUAAAGAGAUGAACUGAAGAAUGAGUACAAGUUUGACCGUUGGAGUACGAGUCGAAUGUUUCCUUAACUUUGAUAAGUAUUUCGCUUCCUUUUUACUUUAACUGUUUGGUUUGUUGUUCUGCAUGUGUUUUGGAAUUGGAUUUUAGAUUGAAGGUGGUGCUCUGUGUGUGUGAGGCUGUAAGGGGGUUAUAUUUUUUCAGGUGUGCUUACUUCUCCUAAGUUUGUUAUUUCGUUUUUUAUAUUAUGAAUCUGAAUUUUGAUCUUCUGUUGAUAUCCGAACUGUUUCUGAUCUAAUUACUUGCCCUAUUGUUAUUUUCCUCGUUCAAACGCCGGACUACUUGGAUGAAGGAGCUUACGCCAUCCAAGAAGCUCAACUUUUUCAUCUGGAACAGGUAGCCGGCUUAUCUCUACAAUGUUGUUGUCUAUUUACUUCAAAUUCCUCGAUAAUUAUGUUUUUGAUUAAUAGCACAUUUUGGUUUUUAUGUAGUUCUAGAUUCAGGCUUGCACAUGUUGGGGCCAUUGAGAUCGAUCAGCAAAAUAAGAAUGCGAACUGUUAAAGUGAAAGAGAGAAUAGUAUUUGGGUUUGUGCAUGUUUUGUAUGCUUUUUAUUUUUGGAUCUGUUUCGAGAUUCUAAUAUUGCUCUUUGUCCAGCGUUUAAUUUGUUCCCAUAACUGUGCUAUGUGAUUCAAAUAGAGUUCAAGCCGCUUUGGCCUUUGAUGUUGGUAAAAAAAAAAAAAUAUUCCCACCCUUGAAGACCAUUUUGUUCUUAUUUGUCCUUACUUUGAGCAGCUCUAAUGUCUCAGUAUUUCUUAUCAUGUUCUUUUGGUUCUAUCCAUAUUUUUUUUUCCAUUUUCGGUGUAGAGCCGAUGAGAUAUCAGUGAAAAUCUAUGGAGUUUGGUUGAUUUUGGGUGGGAUCCAAUUUGUUAGUUUCUCAAGUAUAUUCUUGAUGUUAUGCUUGAUUUUAUUGGCUUUUGCGUGCAUUUUAAUUUUUAUUAUGUUUUCAUUUGAAUUUUUUUUGGUGGCAUGAAACUUGGUGUUUGAAUGCAAAGAGUGCAAUAUAAAUUUUCCCCAAGAUGGAUUCGUGGGAGUAUAGAUUUGGGAAGUUCCCAAUCUUCCUCUGCUCGGAUUGAAUAGAUAAGUCGAGUCCUUUUGAAUUUUCAAAUUUUUUCAUUCCGUUUUUGUGUAGUUUUUAUACUGUUUGAGAUUGAGCUUAUCAUUUCAAGAAGGAUAACUGUUCCCAUUACCUGAUUUGAGCUGAUUCGGCGUUUGUCUGUUCUGCAGUCUAGGACCUCAAUGAUCGUUUGCACCGAAUUCCAGUAUAUAGCUUGCUGAUUUGAUUUUCUUUUUUUAGCCGUUUAUCAGGUAGAGUUACAGAUUACAUGCAAUAUACUCAAAUAAAGAAAACUGUAUUUCUUUCUUUCUGAGUUGAAAUUAUAUUUUGUCAAAUCAAACAACUCAUUGGUCAAUUUGUCAAUCUCUUGAACUGCGUUGUGCAAGUAAGAGAUACAUUUGGUGUAAUGGUCAAGUUCAAUAGUGAUACUUUUAAUACCAAUGCGUUAGCCCAACACACAAGCUCUUCAUUUAAAAAUAAGAGAUACAUUUGGUGUAAUGGUCAAGUUUAAUUAAUUGACACAAAUACUAGAUAUACCACAACUUGAACUUGCACAAGCUUUUUCCAUGCAGGUUUCUUGUACAAAAUGAGGGUUUUUUGCAUGUGUUUCUGAUAGUGACACAUGCGCCUUUGUUAGUAUAGCCUUGGAUCGGGGUUUUGAAAAUUCAUGUUUUUGUUUUCUGUCAUAUUGGUAAUGAAGUUUCUGUCAUAUUUUUAUAUAUGACAACUCCUAUUGGAUUAUUUUCCGUUCUUAAUUUUUAACUAAUAUAAAUUUUUCUGUUAUACACAUUCUGUUUUUUUUGUAGUUCGACAUCUGGAUAGAAUUGCAACAGCUUGGUAUGCUUUUUUAUCUGUCAUAAUUUCAAUCUUCCACUAAUUUCUAUAAUGUAAUCUAUUGUUAUUGAAACUAUUAACUUUUAAUAAUGUAUCUGGGGUUUACUUGAGGCAAUCAACAUAUAUUUGAAUUUGUUAUAAUUUUCUAUCUGUGUACCAUGAUCCUCAAAAAUACUGAACUAGAAAACACAAACUGAGGCAGUCAAAUAGUUAUUGAAUUUAUUAAAUUUUCAAUUUGUGUAGCAUGAUCCUUCACAGUAUUUAACAUUAAAACAGACAAUGGUUACUAUUCGCGACAUAGUAUAAGAAUUGAAGUGAAUUGAGUUUAGUCAACUUUAUGUGAAUUCUACUUUAUGUUUUCUUAUUUAAGAAAAUUCAGAAUUUCUUUUUUAAGCAUUCUUAUAUUUGCAAUAGUAAAAUGCCAGUUUCGAAUAUGUCACUCUUGAAGUAUCUGAUUGAACAUCUCUACAUUUACUUUAGCAAUAGGGUAGCAUGGCUAAAGAUCUAAUAUCUCUGGAUUUACUGAUAAAAUGCCUAACAAUCCUAGCCGUCUGGUUUUAUUAAAGAUUGAUCCAAUGGUUUUUGUGCUAUCCCUAUAAAAGACCUUUGAACCCUCAUUUUUACACAAAAAGUUGUUAACCAGCAUCGUGUGAAACCCUAUUUUCCUCAUUUUUGAACUCGUAUAUAUGGGAUUUAUGAAACCCCAUAUCUCAAUUAAUUCUUUUGCUUCCUUAUGUAAACUCAGAAGAAGAUUUAGCUGGAUUUGGUCAAAAUGCUAAAUUAGAUACCACAUAUAUCAUUAAAUUGUCAGUGGUAUAAGACAACAUUAAUUUAUAUCGUCUUCAUUAUUUCUUUGCAUCUGAAUAUGUGAUACCUGUUCUAAGUGCUUUCUUUUCAUAAACCGUAAACAAAGAGAUGAUUGUAUAUGUAUAAAACAUUGAAUUAUUCAAAAGGAGAGUAGUAUACAUCACAUCAACUAAUUUAAUUUUGUUAUUCAUCUCGGCUUUUUCUCACCUUAAUUUCAUGAUACUAUUGAAUAUUAGGAAUUCGCUCCAAGAUUAUCCGUGUUGUUUUUUUUUCUUUUUUACUGAUUCUGAAUAUUAGGAGUUCGCUCCACCUUAGUUUCAUACCUAUCAGUUUUUUACUGCCCCAUAUCUGAAGUCUGGACAUAAGAGUAGAAACAUAUCAGGUAAGCUUUUUCUGUUCAAGUCCUUCCUCUUUUUCACACUUGAUAUCUCUCACUGAUAUAUUUUUUUUCUUUUUUUCAAGUCCUUCCUCUUUUUAGCACUUGAUAUUUCUUACUGAUAUAUUUUUUUUCUUUUUUUCAAGUCCUUCCUCAUUUUGGCCGAUUCCGACUCCGACAAAGACGACGGCUCCAGGAAACGCCGCAAAGACAAAAAGGCUGACUUCACAAAGCCGGUCAGCUUUGUCUCCACCGGCAUCGUCAUGCCCAACCAGGAAGCCGAGAACCAUUUGAAGCAGCGAACCGGCGACAUGGACGGCGCUCCUACAUCAGGUUUUUCUGUGUUUUUAAGUUAGAUCUGCUCAUCGUUUUGUUGUACUUUACUUGCUUCUCUUCCUUUCAGUUGCAAUUUACUAUUUCUAUUCCCCUUGUUUUUUUGUUUGAUUUUCAUAGAUUUGAUGAGAUUCAAUUCGUGUUGUUUAUAUUUUCCCUACAUUUUUCAUUUUGAUUUCAAGGUAGCUUGAUAGUAUUCCAUCACUGUGUGGUUUAUGUGUCAAUUUUAUAGUACAGUACGUCCACGGCUUGCAGUACUGCCUUGAUUUCUAGUUACGAGUUCAAAUACUUCCAGAUUUGAGAUGGAGAAAGUUGUGUUAGUUGCUUAGUUUGAAUUAUGAGGAUGUUAAAACCUUUUCCCUAAAAAAGAUAGAUUUUGCGUAGUUGGAACCAUAAUACGUUUCAUUAUUAUAUGUGUCUUUACUCAUCAAAUACAUUUAAGAGAUCAAGAUAUAGUCAAAUACCCUUCUCUUUACAUGCUUUCCUAUAAGAUAAAUAAGAUUGAUGUUUGGUGAUAAAUCUUGCAUUGCUAGUUACAUUGCUAGUUGCAUUGCCAGUUAAAUGGAUUUCAAUAGUUACAGGGAUAGCUACAUAUGCAUUUUAACAGUCGCAGCAACGGGUCCAUGUCAUGUUAAAGGUAGUUACAUUGGUAGCUACAUUGAUAGUUACAUUGGUAGUUACAUUGCCAGUGACAUAGCUUUCAAUAGUUAUAGGGAUAGCUACAUAUACAUUUUAACACUUGCUUUUAAUAUAAAUUUUCGUUCUAAUACACAGCAGGAACCGCAACUGCAUCACGCUGCAAUUAUUAUGUAAAUGACUUAUGUAACUACAUUAAGCUACCUAUGUAACUAUAGAUGGAUAGUUACCUAGGUAGUUACAUAUGCCUUUUAAUAGUUUUAAGUCCAGUUACAUGGAGAUGUCUGUUAAACGUUAGUUACAUGAAUCAGUCACAUGACCAGCUACAUGGCUUUCAACAGUGACAUGAGUAGUUAUAUUGUUAGUUACUUCAUACUUACAUUCCAGUUACAUUGCCAGAAACAUGUCCAAGUCACAUAAUAGUAGUUACAUUGCCAGUUACAUAGUCUUUCAAUAGUUACAAUGAUAGCUACAUAACNNNNNNNNNNNNNNNNNNNNNNNNNNNNNNNNNNNNNNNNNNNNNNNNNNNNNNNNNNNNNNNNNNNNNNNNNNNNNNNNNNNNNNNNNNNNNNNNNNNNNNNNNNNNNNNNNNNNNNNNNNNNNNNNNNNNNNNNNNNNNNNNNNNNNNNNNNNNNNNNNNNNNNNNNNNNNNNNNNNNNNNNNNNNNNNNNNNNNNNNNNNNNNNNNNNNNNNNNNNNNNNNNNNNNNNNNNNNNNNNNNNNNNNNNNNNNNNNNNNNNNNNNNNNNNNNNNNNNNNNNNNNNNNNNNNNNNNNNNNNNNNNNNNNNNNNNNNNNNNNNNNNNNNNNNNNNNNNNNNNNNNNNNNNNNNNNNNNNNNNNNNNNNNNNNNNNNNNNNNNNNNNNNNNNNNNNNNNNNNNNNNNNNNNNNNNNNNNNNNNNNNNNNNNNNNAAAUACGGUGCGGACGUCCGCACCUGAGAAAAGUUACUAUAUAUAUAUAUAGACGCUGAAAACUAUCUAGUUACAUAGUUUCUUUUGCUUUUGUUGUUAUUGGAUUUAAGUAGGAGAAGACAGACUAUUGACGAAAGAAGCCGGUGAAUCUAGGGCUCCGGCGACGACGAUACCUGUAAUACUUAGGUAAAGUAAUUCGAUUUCUAGCUGAUGGAUUGUGUGGGUUCUUCAAAAUUGAAUCUAGAUUUUGAGAUUUUGUUUAUUUCAUGAUGAUUGAUCAAGUACUUUUGAUGGUGGAUAUUCUUUGCAAUGAAUUUGAUUUCCGUUUGAGAUAGCUUGCUGAAGCAGCCCAAGGUGUUCUUAAGGUAAUCUUUUCAACUUCAAUUUUAUUUGGUUUUCUUUUUUCAUGGUAAAUUUGAAAUUUGGUUAUGUGGUUUUGAUAUAUUGGCAAUUUUAGAUAUGGGUAUCAAAUUUUGGAUUUGGACUGCUUUUUUGUGACAGAGAGAAAGAGGAUUUUGGUAGCUGUGAUUGUCAGUGUGUGAUUUUUGAGCCAGAUUUCUAAAGCUUCUCCCCUUUGUUCAAUUUCAUGUGAAAAAUGAAUUUUUGAAGUUUACACUUAGUUUGGGUUUUGGCUCUCAAGUCAUGUUUAUUUACAGUUUUUAUCUGAUCCAUUAGAGUUUUAGAAGAUUGGUUUUCGUGCUUGAGAAUUGUGCUUCAAACUUAGUGAGAAGUUCCUAUUUGUUUGAAUUUGUUUCCCCAAUCCCCAGUCUGUAAACCGGAUUUUGAUAGUACUUAUCAAUGAUACUGAACAAUAUCUCAAUUUGGAUCAAACCAAUCAGCAAAAGGAAAAUAGAAAAAAGGGAAGAGCUUUAACCUUUUCAUGACUUCUCUGUAUCUUUAUUGAAGUCAUGCCAAGGAAAGUGUGACAUUUAGGAAUUGUGCACCAGUUUUACUUGAGAACCGUUGGGUUCACUCGAAUGUUUCCUUAACUUUGAUAAGUAUUUUUGCUUCCUACCUUUUACUUUUAACUGUUUGGUUUGUUGUUCUGCAUGUGUUUUGGAAUUGGAUCUUAGAUGAGGCUAUAAGGGGGUUAUAUUUUUCCAUGAUUGCUUACUUCACCUAAGUUUUUUUUUAUCUCGUUUUUUAUAUCGUGAAUCUGAAUUUCGAUCUUCUUUGCUCUCUUUUUGAAAUUUGAACUGUUUCUAAUCUAUGUUGAUCUCUUUCCGAUCUUGACGAAAUUUGCAGUGUGUCAUCAGCAAGAAUAGGGAAGGUAAUUCUGGGUUUUCGGGUUACAGGUAUAAUUAUUGAUAUGUUUUCUUUCAAAGCAAGUGUUUAAUUAGAAUUACGUUGGGGUUUAUAAGGUGUUAUUUGAUCCAAUCGUUAUUGUACGCAUGCUGUCUUUCUAAUUUUGGUGGGUUUUGUGGGUUCAGAUUAUAUAUGGCGUUGAUAGUGCAAUGUGCAUUGGUUAUAAAUUGGGUGUUUGUUUGGAAAGUUUGUGAAUAUAAAGAGCUGGUCUUAAAUUGGUUUAUGGAGUUGAUCUUCUAUAGCGGUUGAUGAUAGGAACUGCACUGAUUAUCCUAUAUAGGUGAUCACAUGUUGAUGAUGUACUGUAUUUUUGUAAACUUCUCUCUAGAAAUGUAGAGAGGGGAUGAGAUUUGUGUAUAACGUGCUUUGUUAUCAAAUGAUGUGGAAUGUCCUUUUGCAAUUUUAAGUUGGGAAUGAGUGUUUGCUAUNNNNNNNNNNNNNNNNNNNNUUUUUUUUAUCUCGUUUUUAUAUCGUGAAUCUGAAUUUCGAUCUUCUUUGCUCUCUUUUUGAAAUUUGAACUGUUUCUAAUCUAUGUUGAUCUCUUUCCGAUCUUGACGAAAUUUGCAGUGUGUCAUCAGCAAGAAUAGGGAAGGUAAUUCUGGGUUUUCGGGUUACAGGUAUAAUUAUUGAUAUGUUUUCUUUCAAAGCAAGUGUUUAAUUAGAAUUACGUUGGGGUUUAUAAGGUGUAUUUGAUCCAAUCGUUAUUGUACGAAAGCAUGCUGCUUUUCAAUUUUUGGUGGGUUUUUGUGGGUUCAGAUUAUAUAUGGCGUUGAUAGUGCAAUGUGCAUUGGUUAUAAAUUGGGUGUUUGUUUUGAAAAGUUUGUGAAUAUAAAGAGCUGGUCUUAAAUUGGAUUGGGACCGACUAGAUAUGAAAAGUGAAGCUUGGAAAGUGAGUUUUAGGUUUGAUAUAGAUGCUGUUGCAUCUAUAUGGAUUUAUCCCAACUGUGAAAUUUUUGAUUCCUCAAGAACUUAUCAGCUGCAGAAUUUGUUCUUACUGUAAGUGCCCAUGUCAAUUGUGGUCCAAAGUUUAGGAUAUUUAGGUUCUGAGACUUGACGUUUUCGUUUUGAUAUUGUUGCCACUGAUGAAAAAUAUAUCAGGGGAAUUGGUGUCACUGAUCUCUUGCCUCAGUCUUGCAAUGCUGUGAGUAAUUUCUGAUUUCAUUAUAUGUUUAGCGCAGUCUGAUAAGGAUUUUAAUCAAAAUUGGUUGCUUGGAAUAGUUUAUUUGAUGCAUUUUAACUUAAUAUUAUGUGGCCUCGCGCCGCCUUACCCUUCUUAAGGGAAGGGUGGGCUUGGGCUGCAUCUCGCUUGGACCUGGGUGUUGGGCGGAGGGUUGGGGGUCGCCACAUAUCUUAGCCCUCUCUCUGGCCACCUCCUGAAGCUUCCAGAGAUCUCGACGCCAUCUCUUUUUUCCUUUCUGCAGCUUUUCUCUGUCUUGCCCAUUCUCUCGCUUCUCGCUCUUGAAACCUUCUAGAGCAGCUCCUUUUCCUUCCUGAAGAAUCCAGCUCUUUCCUCUACACAAUUUAUAGUACAAGGAGAUCACGUCUUCAAUUAAGCUCUCUUUCUCUGGCUCUCGAGAGAUUUAGGCCACGACACAGCACAAAGAGUGAUGGAAGGAGUUUUUUUCUAUUUCGCGAAUUUCCUCCAAUCUUCUUAUCGCUUUCCUUCUCCAAAGUCAACCAAACUCUCUUAUUGAUAGAGUGAGAGAUGAAAAUUGAUUUUGGGUUUUGUUGAUGCAGCAAUUUUAAGUCUGAUAUUGGGUUUGUCAUCGACAACAAGAAGGAAGGCGAUUUUGCAGGUCACGGGCUUCAUUAGCUCAACGAUUCUACAUCGAUGUGCAGGUUUGCGUAUAUGUUUCUUUUUCUUUUUUUAAUGAUAGCAGAAUCUUGAUUUUAAUUGCUAUUUGUUGGUUGCUUAUGUGUGUAUUGUUGCUGUGGUUAGUAUGUAAAAGAGAGAACAAUUUUAAAUUGCUGUCAUAUGAAGUUAUCUAUCUAAGAUUGAUGUGAAGUAUGGGAUAGAGAGAACAAUUUUAAAUUGCUGGAAGAAAAAUCGUUAUCAUCUCUUCAAAAGUAGUAUUUUCUCUCCUCAAAUGAAGUUCAUGUCUUUUUGCAUUUGGGAUUCCAAUGAUUUUGCAGAGGAAGCUGAGCCAGGGAUCUUUGUGUCUAAGAAAUAUGCAAGGAAAAAACAUGGUAGGUAAUUAAGCUCAUGGUGAAAUUGUUAUAAUUAGUGAUAAGAUACUAGGUUUGAUCAAUUCGUUUGAGAAGAAUUAGCAGUAAGGUGAUGCCAUUUAUGAUUUUGGGAACAGAUCUAAAUUGAAAGUCUGCAGGAAAGGAAUACUUGAUUAGCAAAGCGAAGUGUAAGAAUAUACUUGAGUAGCAGUAGUUUGGAUGCAAUUGUGUUUCUUCUCAGGUUUACAAUUCAAGAGCCAUAGCCUUGGCUGGCCACAGCUUAUUCAACAAUUAUGGGCAUGAGCUUUUCAAGAAAUCAGUCAGAAGGUAUCCUCAAGGAUUAGUAAUGUUUAAGCCUUUUUGAAUCAUGAUAUUGCACUUCAGUUUUUUAUUUGUAGUGAAAUUUGUGGAUGCCUCUUUUCUCAGUUAUUUGAAAUUAUAUGAAUUGGUUGGAUCAAUGGUCAUAUCACAGUUGUGCUAUUCAUAUACUGAUACUUACAAGUGACAUCGAACUCAUGAUUUGUAUUAUGCUCAGGUGGUCUGACCUUCAUGGCAAGACCUUCAUAAACUAAAUAUGCACAAAUUGAAUUGACAGUAAAUUGAGUGUAAUGAAAAUUUCGCAUAGGAUGAAAUUGCAGUCUGACCAUCUUUCUAAAUGACAAAUAUUACAGCUGCUUUUGUAUUUCUUGCUGACUUUUGAUUGAGCACUUACUAAUUGAAAUGACAUAGUAUUGAACCAAUCAAAACAACUAUUUGAAGGAAAAAAGAUUACUUAAGGGAUGUGACUCGGGCUUAAUUUCAAUUCUUUCAGUCCCUAUAUAUAUGAGGUUGUUUUUGAAAAAUAGGGAUAGACUAAUAAAUGACAGUCAAAUCCCAGACAUGCAAAGGCAUCAUGAUCAUGAGCUAAGCACCUGAGCUUUAAGUUUGUAUUUAUAACAUGGGAGAGUAUGACAUACAUGCCUUUUGGCAUGAAGAUUUCUUGAUUAAUGUCAACUUUCGUUUCAUUCUUCAACAGGUCACUAGAGUGUACAAGGAAAUAGAGCAUGCUGAGAUUGAACUUACUGUGAGUUUACUGCUCUGAAUAAUGUAUAUCUGAUCAUGAAAAUGCACCUCCAUGAAAAAGUUCUUAGGGUUAAUUCAUUGAAGACUAUAUUUGGUUUUUGUUGGUCAGGGCAUACCGUCCUCUAAAAAAGAAACAAACAUCAUAUAUCUAAUUGAAUCAGGUAUUAAUAAAAUUAUUCUUUCCGAUAACAAAAGGAAAAAGAACUGAAGCAUGGACGGUAAAGGUUGAAACAUCAUUUGUUACCAUCUGCCGGGUUUGAGUGUGUAAGAUCGUUUUCGUUUUUGCUUUUUGGUUCUGGUGCUUCGGUGAAGAUCGUCUGAUAGUUGUUUCCUUUCCUUUUUUUUUUUUUUUGGUUGUUGCAGGGAGGUAUGGGUUCAUCGAUUGAGUGAUCAAUCUAGAAAUGAUGUUUACAGGUUCAUCUUUGAUUUUGGUUUUUACUUUUUCAUUAGUGAAUUCAUCUUCAACAUCUAUAUAUAAUCAGUUGCUGGGUUUUCUUUUCCUCUGUGUUCCCUUGUUCUUGAUUUGCAUUUCCUUGACUUGGUGUAAUGGAACGUUUUGUUAUGUUGCAGACUUUCAAUUUUCGGUGGAUUAUACCUUCCAAUUUGGAUAGCAAUUGUAAAGAUUGGAACUCUAUUUGAGAAUCAUGUAUAUCAAUGUGGAAAUUUAUGUUCUGUUUAUAAAUGAACUUAUGAUAACCUUGGAUUUUGUUCAAUUCUUUACAAUCAAAAGAAAUUGAACUUUCUUAGGCUGUUAAACCUGCACUGGACUUGAGUUUCAGUAAGUAGGAAUGAAUUUUUUGAAAUUAAUGACUAUUAUGGUGACUCUUUUGCUGGUCUCAUACUGUUGGAUUCUUCACAUAUGCAAGGAACAGUUCUCUGAACGCAUUCUUGAGCAACAUUGAGUUGCUUUUCAGCAACCUCUGCAAAAAGCACAUUCCAUGAUUAAGUGGACCAUCCUUCAACUGGUAUGCAUUGGUUUAGUUUUCAGUUUAGUAAAUGGGAUAAGCAUUCAUUGGCUGAAAUAGAUACUGUUAUGGCUGGCAAGAAUAACUGUGUAAAAUCUAGGGAGGUAGAUCCUGGCACUGAAGUUAAGAAGGAUGUUGGCACUGAGAAGCAGUUGGAAGAGAAUGAGGCUGCUGAUAUCAACAAGGAGGUUGAUCGUGUGGAUGAGCCAGAAGAGGAGUUUUUCAAUGUGAGUACUUAAAUCGUAAGGCUGUAACUUUUCAACAAUCAGAAGAGAUAAGCUUUGUUAUUUCAUUUCAAUUCUUUUUUUGGGUAAUUUUUUUUUUUCUAUUCAGAGACAUGAUGACUAUGUGAUUUUAAGCUAAAAGGAUAAUGAUGUUGAGAAUGCACUGCAACAUAUAACUUGGUUAAUUUGGAAGGUGAUGACCUAUUUGUGGUUUGGUUUACCAAGUUGUUAUUGCUCAUGUAAUCAAAAUGUUAGUUUCAGAAGUUCUUUAAAAGAAAAGAAAAACUGUCUCCUGAUUUGUUUAGGCUCUAUAUAUCAGAUUGAAAAGAGUGACAUUUUUAUAGUACCAGUGUGAGGGAGCUAAGUCGAAGGUUCAAGAUUUGGUUCCUAGGAUUUGGUAGAUAUUUAUUUCUGCACUACCCCUAUAUUAAGUUUUACCAUAACAUCAAAAUAUAAUGGAACUAAAGAUUUAUUUUCCUUUAAGGAAGACCAAAAAAAAAGAGACAAAUAUACAUAUACCUUGCACUCUAUGCAUUGCUGAUUUUUAUGAAUCUCUUCUACCCUUACUUGGUCCAACUAAUGUGUUCUCUUAUAGUUUGUUUUAUAGCAGGGCAAAUAUUAGACUCAUGUGGUGCGCUGUAUGCUCUAAGAACUGCCAAUGCCACACAGAAUGGAGGAGGAAAUUCUACAAAAGCCUGUCAUAGGAGUGCAACUUCUUUGUGUAUGUGUAUUACAUAAUCUUUCAGCUUUAAAACUUAUUCUACCAUAGUUACACCAGUGACAUGUGUGUUUCUAGAUACUUAUUUCCUUGGUAUUAAAUCAGGAAAGGAGUUAAGAUUACACCUGAGAACAGAAUAAACAAAAUGGGGCAAAAUGACUGUACUGAAAUGAACAUCCUUAUUACAUAAGAUAUAUUAAUUGUGAGUUUUGAGGUAUGCUUUUCUGCUGUGUAGAUGGGAGGGUAAUGUUAGCAAUGUUAAUGGUAGAACAUGGUUUGAUAGCUUCAUGAAACCUUCUUCUAUAUUCGGCAGGGCAGCAAACAAGGCAGCACAAUGGAAAAAUUGGGAGAAGUGCUAGGAGAACCAAGAAGCAGCUACCAUGGGAGGUGACUUUGUGUAUCUAUGGUUUCCCAACUAACACUUCAGCUGUCCAGGUACCUAUACUAUGUAUUAUCAUUGACUUGAUGAAAAUCUGGAAAGUUGCAUUAUUUCCUCUGGAACCUAAAUUGGGUUUAGGUUUAUCUAACAAAGUAAUUCUUUUUCUAACAAAGUAAUUAUUUCUUUCUUUUUCUAACAAAGUAAUUCUUUGCCAGACUACCGUAAAAAUGCUUUUAUCUUUUUCCCAUUUUCAUUAAAUUGAUUUAUAUUCAUUUUGAUUGGUGAAGUUGACCUCGAAACCAUUGUGCAAAUUGGUUUUGAAUUCCUGAUUUUAGUUUCUUUUGUUUUAUUUUCCUGAAAUUGAUCGAUUCUUCUUGACGUUUUCAGAUUUCAUAUCGAUUGCUGUUAUGGCAAGAGUUUCAUCAAGGCUGACAAAAGGUAUUGCCUCUUUCUUGCUCUGGAUGAUUGAUUUUCAAUUCGUUUCUUGCUUGCAUAUCUGAAUUCGGUGACUGCUUCAAGAAUUUUGGGGUUUUGGAGAAAUGGGUUUUUGCUUCUUGCUGGGAAAUCAAUGUUCUUUUUGGUUUUUAUUUGUCUGGUUAUUUUGCCUCUGUUUUGGUUUUGAUUUGAAGAUUCUUCUACGCUUUACAGUAUAAUACCCGAGGUAACCUUCUUACCUUUUUAAUUAUUUUUAGUUUCAGUACAUGCAACUUUGUGGUUCAGAUGAGUUUGGGAUUUUCCAAUUUGGCAAUUUAAGGACUUCAGGGAAUUGUAGCUUUGAAAUUAUGAUCCUGUGUUCCUCAUAUUUUAUGCAAAAAUUAGUUGGGUUGGAUAAUCAAUUUCAAACCUUAACCAAGGUUUUCAAAUCAGUUGUGAGUUGAUUUGAAGCUGAGAAAGAAGGAGAUGCCUAUGGGUAAUGGGUUUUCAGUUCCAUUAACUGUUUUGUUUUGUUUUUUGGUUUUGCAAUUGUCUCAUCGAUUGAAAACUGAGUUUAGUAACAGUAUAUACUAAAACACAGACCAUGAUUGCCGCAGUGUAAAUCAUUAAAAUACUCCAAAUCAUUUCCCUCAUAAAUUAUUAACAUAUAUGCAAUUGGUGGUGAGUUCCAUUGUUGGAAUUGAGCUUUGAGUUUUUGUUUUUGGUUUGGUUGAGACUUCUUAUUGAUCAUUCACAGCUGCCACUCUGGAGCACAGUAGACAAGUAAAUGGGCAGUCUUUAUCUGAUCACUCUAAUGAUUGUCGGAUAUCUCAUUUAUGUAGGCUUCUUAUUCAGUUCUCAUUUCAAUAGGAAAUGGAAGCAACAGUCACCAGUAAUAGAGAUGUGUAUGUUGCAGCAGUGCCUCUAAGAGCCACAAAAAAAUGGACCUGUCCGGCGCUCCUCACCACUAUGAGAAGACGUAGGAAAUUCGGGACCUACCUUUGUAAGAUUAAUAAUCUUUUCAUAAGUGCAGGUAAUACGCUCUGUGGAUUACUUACUUUAUUACUUUAACCAGCUUGCAGAAUGAGCCUAUGGGAGCAUCUGAUGAUAAUUAUGGCGAAUGUCCAAAACCAAAGUAAAUGCAGUUAACAUCUCAUACUUCCAUGGUAAUGAAAUAAGCAUGUGCUUGAGAUUAUUAUUGAUCAUAGGACAUCAUUACAACCUCAAUAUGAUUAUUGCCAAAUAUUACAAUCACUUUUUAUUAUCUGUUUGAGAGCUUGAAGUACUAACUGAAUUUUUCUCUCAUAUUUUGUGUUUUCUUGCAUAUACUUUACGAUGACAUAUCAGGAUGCCCUCAGGGAUCUCAGGGUUGGUAUCUUAAUUAUUCUCAAUCCUAUAAAUGAAUCAAUCUUUAUAUAUAUAUGUAUACUCUUAAACGAAGAUUUGUAGUGUAUAUCUGCAUUCUUUAACAAUUAAUAAAUCUUUAUUAAAGGAUGCCUAACUCUUAUGAUGUUAACUGUUGAAAAGAGACUGGUGAGAUAAUGUUCUUGGACUGACAAUUUUUUGUUUUGAGGUAGGAUAAGAAACCAACAUUAAGUUUUGAUCCUGCUCAUGGCUGGGUUAGAAAACUUGCACACUUAAGUCAAACAAAAUGUGGUAUUUUUACUGUAAUAUGUGAGUACUUUUAGUGCAAUUAGUACUUGGAAAGCAUUAGUAAACUCUGAUAUCUGAAACUUACUUACAUACUUAUGAAUUUAAUUAUUUGUAUUUUAUAAGUAUUUUCGACAAUAUCUUUUCCUCUGUUUUUUUCCUUAGUUUCUUGAGGUCGGUUAGAUGCCUUUAUGACAUUCUUUUUUUGACCUGUCCAAUUAUUGGAUUAAUACCUACAGAAGAACAGAAUGAAGUGUUGAUCAUUCUUUUUCAAUUAACUGCCUGUAUUUUUGAUUUUGAAUGCAAAACAUUGAUCAUAAUGCACAAAACUCCGUUGCUUUACACAAUUUGAGUACACUAUUACAUACAGAGAAAUAUAUGAAAGUGCACAAAAUUGAUACACAACAACACUUUUGCAGGUGAUGAGGUGAGCAAUCCUCAUGUACAACAUCAAAACAGAAGCAGAGAAGAGAUGAUGUCGUGUGCAUAUCUGCUCUAAGUGGCAAGGGCAGAAUUGAAGGUACAUCUGAUUGAUUAUGAAUAAAUGCUUCAACUUUAUGAUUAGAAUGUGUUUUGUUUAACAUGACUAAAUUUGAAUCUGAUUCUAAUUUGGUUAAUCUUAGAUGUGUAUAGGUUAUGAGGUUUAAUUUAGAUACUAGUGUUGCCGCAAAAUGAAAAUGGACAAAUCUACAGAAAACAUUGCCAACAAUAUUGAUAUUAUGAUACUACCACUAUUUAGGGGCCUCAGCAAUUGUAACAUUUUGUAGUUUCCCUAUGCAUGGUUAAUCAAACAUGUCUAACUUCAACUACAGCAUUAGAGGAUGCUUCAUCAUCAUGUGGUAUAAUUUGAACUUCAUUUUUGUGUAUCAUACUGUGCUGACAUCUUCUUAGGCGUUUCAAAAAAGAAGUUUUAUAAUAUGGAGAAGAAGCUUCUAACCUAAAAAGGAGGACACCAGUUGAUAGAGAAAGUUCAAAAUUGCCUCAGGUGGACAUCACUUGAUAGAAGAAAAUUCAAUUCAGAACUGCGUUUUAACUUUGCUAAGUCAACAAUUUGGUAUAAUGACAACUGUAAAGUUGCAUGAACUUGGGUUCUGUUUGUGUUAGCCUUUUGUUGCUUAUGUAGCUGCUUCCCUUCUAUAGUAAAAUUAUUCUGAAGAUGAUCACCUGAAUAUAUGAAUGACUUUGUAAUUUACUUGAAAGUUCACUUACAUGGGAUUUUAUUGAAGAAAUGUCAAUUUUAUUUAAGAUCACAUUAGCAAUGUGUUUAUUUUUAUUUUAUUUUUAAACAAAACCAAUUUACACAACCAUGAAACCCGCAGCAAAGCGUGGGCUCAGUAGCUAGUAUGAUUGAUGCACUUGACUAUAUGAAUAGCUGCCUACUGACAUGAUACUUAUUAUCAACAUGGAUUUUUCAACUUGGUCAUGCUCUUCAAGUUCAUUAUUGCUGUAUCAGUUUUGCAAUUUAUUCCUUUCAUUUGUACAGGGCAAUGCUGCUGGGAAGGUGAUGAUUGCUUCUUUACUUUGGUUUUUAGUAUUGUAAAGGUUAAAAAACCUAUUAGAUUUUGCUGUUAAAUGUGCUUAAAAUUCUUUUUGGUGAUUAAUGUGCAACUCUGGAGCUUAGUGGAAAGACAAUCGCGUUUAGGUCCUAUAAAUCUGGUAAGGAAUUCAUCUUUCACACUGAAUUUUAUUUUCACUUUUAGAUCAGCAAUCCUUUCUUUAAACCAAAAUUAAUUCAAGCAUCUGUUUUGUGGAUUAUCCUGAGGUAAAGAGACGAACUGAAGAAUGAGUACAAGUUUGACUGAUGGAGUAUGAGUUUGAGUAUUGUAGUCACUCGAAUGUUUCCUUAACUUUGAUAAGUAUUUCGCUUCCUUUUUACUUUAACUGUUUGGUUUGUUGUUCUGCGUGUGGUUUGGAAUUGGAUUUUAGAUUGAAGGUGGUGCUCUGUGUGUGUGAGGUUGUAAGGGGGGUUAUAUUUUUUCAGGUGUGCUUACUUCUCCUAAGUUUGUUAUUUCGUUUUUUAUAUUAUGAAUCUGAAUUUUGAUCUUCUUUUGAUAUCCGAACUGUUUCUGAUCUAAUUACAUGCCCUAUUGUUAUUUUCCUUGUUCAAAUGCUGGACUUCCUGGAUGAAGGAGCUUACGCCAUCCAAGAAGCUCAACUUUUUCAUCUGGAACAAAUUCAGGUAGCCGGCUUAUCUCUACAAUGUUGUCUAUUUACUUCAGAUUCCUUGAUAAUUAUGUUUUUGAUUAAUUGCACAUUUUGGUUUUUAUGUAGUUUUAGAUUCAGGCUUGCUUAUUCUCCUUGCAGCUGUUCUAAAAUGUAUCGUCUUUUCUUUCAACUUUGCCUACAAUGUUAUUGUUUCUUUCUGGCUCAGCUUUAUGGUUUGAAUGGUGUGUUUUACUGUGUUACCAUACUUAAUUGGCUUAUCAUCCAUUCAUGGUUUUUUCUGUUUUAUAAAGUGGGGGAGUAGUUUCUGUAAAUCACCAAUUAUGAAUUCAUGGUUUUUCAUGUUUUAUAAAGUAUUCUGUAGUGAACCAAUUCAACCACUGAUGUCUGCCUAAUGAUAUAGAUGUUUGACCUGUUUAAUAAUCUUUUCGUGCGUUUGAACAAUGGUUCAUGAGUGGUUGCAUGCCUUGUGCUUAAAUCCACUAUCCUUUUGAGAAUGUUGAACUUUUUGUGCUUCCCUGGAAAUUUCGUGGUUGAAGGGCUGGAUCAGAUUCGUAGACAGAUUAUUCCUAGACGGUAAGUUUAUUGUAUUUGGAGUUUUCAGUUUUUCAGAUUUGAUUGUUCCUUUCAUGUUGGCUAUCGCUAAUUGUAGUCAUACGACUGAGUUGGGUUAGUCAAUGUCAGUGGUCUAGAACUUCCUAAAUUUUCUAAAAUCAAUUUAGAAAAUUAUAUCAAUUAUGUACUCCAAAACCAUGAAGUACAGUUGGAAACAUAACUGUGAAUUUUUGGCACUUUAUGUUUUAUUCUUGUUGAUUGCAGGCUUUAGUGAUGCAAGGUAAACAUGCAGAAGCAGUAGUGGAACUGUCAAAGAUAUGCCUUGUUUGGCGGAUUUUCCCUCCCGAGGAGUCUUCGGUAUGUGCUCUAUAAUUCAUCAAACAACUUUACCCAACAAAGCAACAAUUUUUGACUCAUAGCACUAAUAGCCGCUAUUCAUGUUCCUAUAUUAUCUGAGAGCUAUUUUUCUUAGGGCAUUUGCUUUAUAGUUUUUCAGUAUAGUCUUUGCCUGUAUUUUUUACCUUUGUUAUGGUGUUUAAAAAUGUAUUCUCUCUUUGUUUAAUGGUUUUUGUUUUACAUUUUCUAGUUAAGAAAAUUAUCUUAUGCUCAAUCCCAGUAAAUAAUUCAAACCGACAUUGCGAGUCUUUUUUUGUAAUCAAAAACAAUUGUGAGUCUGUAGCUAUAUAUAUAUAUAAAGACAUAAUAUUUUUCAAUGACCUGGCUAGCCUCUAAUCAAUGUACACAUGCAUCAUGAGAAAUUGACUUUCCUUCCUAACUUUGUUGUUGCGUUUGGGAUCAGUUUCUUGAUGAUUGGUUUUUACUGUGCAGCCUGAGAUGGAGAUGGUGGCUCGAGGCUUGGAUAAACACUUGAAAUGGAUCAGAGGGAAUUUCUUAUGAGCAUGCUUGUUGGCAUUUGCAGCGAAGAGAGCCAGAAAAGAGCAGCAGAAGCGCUAGAUUUGGUGUGUUUGCUUCUUGGCAAAUUUUGUUAUGCUAAUUAGUAGUGACUUGUUAUAUUAGGUUGGUUUGAACUUUGAACUAAACAUACAAGCUUCACUGAUAUAGCAAUUAGGCAUAACAAGAUAUUGUGUUGGCCUUUUGAUAUUGGAUGAUAGAACCCAUAAUCAAAUCAAGUGCCAAAUGGUGGUGUUCCUGACCAUCCCACCCUUCUCUUCUCUGUCAGACUAGAAAAAGUAAAAGCCUUAUCUGGAUUUCCCUUUUUUGGAUGCAUAAACUGUAUCUGUAUGUUCUGAUAUUACAGAUUAAUGACAUUUUCUUUAGCAGAUGAUGAAAGUCAUUUUAAAGUAUAGUGUUGCAGCUUGCAAGCAUCAUUUGGUUGUCUGUUAUUGGUUUCUAAUAGUGUGUCCCUUUUCUUUGCAGGUAUCAUGGCAAAUAGUCUUUAGUUAGAAAAUAACCAUCAAGGAAGCACAUGGUGAAUCAAAUCUAAUAACCAUAAGGAAACACAUUGGGUAUUUACUAUUGUGAAUAAGCUCUAAUAUCAAUUAAGAAAUAUAUCGUUCUUUUAGUGUUGUGAAUCAAUUAUACAUUGUAUUUGCACAACUCGUUAUAUGUGAAAUCAUAUAUUUUUUCUUCAAACAUGUAUCAUUUCACAUGGGCAUUUCCGGAUAAUUCAGUUCGCACGGGCAAAUUGGUCUCGCAUGACCAUUGUGCGUGGACAAAUUGGUCUCACAUCCAUUGUGUGCGGACAAAUGUUGUCGCAUACGGACAAAUGACACGUCGCACACACCCUUUCUCCAGACAAAUUUCAUCCCACGUUUGACCACAUAAUCCCACACACCAAAAGCCACGUUCUCUACCAAAGAGCUGACAGCGGACAAACCUCCUCAAAGGACAAAUUUUGUCGGACAAGUUUUCACUCGGGUCACAAUGAUCAGUCUCUCGAUUGGCUAAACUCAAUUAUCCUCCUCCAUCUGUUUGCAAACUGAGGCUUGGAGGAUGAUUGCAUGUGCACGGGGUCCAACCCCCUAGUUACCAAAGCAGCGUGACCUCACAUUGCAUGGAUCGCAUGGAAAAGCUAUGCUCGUUCGGGUAAAGUUCACUUACGCUCGGCCAUGCACAAAAUGGAUCUACUCUCGAUCUAUCCGCUCGUGAUUAUGCAUCUACAAGGGGUCCAACCCCGUGCGGGCACUGCUCACUAUUCACAAAUGAGUGCACUCGGCCCGGGCGAUAUCACUCCUCCAAAGAUACAAAUACUAGGGCAAGCGCACAACAUUUGCAUGGGAACGGUUCAAUUACAAUUCAUGCGUGAGAACGCACAGCUGUGUUCACAUUGAGGAAACAAGGCAAUCACCAUUGCUUAAUUAAAGCCAGAAAAGACAAGGCAAGGAAACCAAAUUCCAUGCAAAUUUGGAGAACUUGUUAUAUGGCGCCAAGUUCCACCGAUCGUAAUGGAAAAAUGCACACGACAAAACAAGCUAUCGAAUACAUUCAUAUAAUGAUGAUUAUGAAUUUCAGAGCAACUCCACCUUCAAGUCUGACAAGCCAAAGCAAAGCUACGGGAUGAGAAAUUCUACUCUACACCCAGCAAUUUUCUUUGGGCACCCAUGCGGAACCGCCUAGCUCACUAAAGAUUCUAAAAUUGCUCGAUCGAGGAACACAAAAUUAGCUAUCAGCUUGAAAUAUAGCAGCUUGUUCGCCCAGCUCUUUUUUCGACGGACGAACACCAUGCUUGAUCAACAAACUUGAUCGGAACAAUAAACUAAGAGCCCGACGCUCAUACUUCUAUUCUCUUUACCAAUCUCAUAAUUGUAUUGCAGUUACGAACACAAAUUUAAUUUGUUUUAUUCUGAAUUUGCAGUUACAAACAAAAUAAUCUCGCCCACGAUCGGCCCCAUUUCCAUGAACGCUCAGCUCUUCAACCAUAUCUGCACGGUAUCAAGCUGCCAUCUAAUUAACCCAAAUGGAAAGUCCAUAUUAUGCAAAGUCCAUCUAGACUCACAAGAUGGGAAAGUAACAAAGUAAACAAUUCAUGUUUAGUACUUCAGUUUGCCCACAUACAUACAAGAGCAUCAUCAUGGUCUUAGACAUGCAUGGAAGGAGUCCAGUCAAGGACGUUCAGUUCUUCUAAUGCAUCAAGACAAAUCUACCGAUCGAAACACAAAGCAAAUGCUCUUCACCAACAAUUCUAACUAUUAUACAUCAGAGACAGCAAGCUACUCUUGGCACCCAAACAACAAAGUCGCCAGGGCAGCCAUGCAUCAAGCUCCGAACAGCUAAAUUGAACCUUUGAACACGAAAGAAUUGCAGCAGAAAUUCGACAUCAGCGGUCAACUUCGACCGGAAACUUCGAUUGAAGGAACUUCACGUUGAAGCGCCCAACAAUUUUCUAUGGGCACCCAUGCCUUCGAUCAGCACUCGAACCCAGCGCUCCAAUUUUCUUCACAGAUUACCGUUCGGAGUCCAACUCUCACCUGUUUCGCUCCUCCUUUCCGAUCGGAGUUCAGAGCCCAAUACUCAAUCAUCCAUUCAAUUACGGACAACAAGAAAUUGAAGCACAAGUUUCUAGUCGGCAUCUGUUCUAUGAACGACGACAUUCGAAACACCGUUUCAGAGCCUAUCUUACAGAAUCACAAGAUUACAAACAAUAGAGGCCCAUGCCUUCCUCCAUCUUCGAACGCAAAAGCUCAGCGUUCACCCAAAUCCCAAAAAUACUCGACUCCUGUCGUCGCCGGCAGAGGAGUCCACGCACAGCCCUCAAGCUUCGACUACUACGAUAAGAGCUCGCUUGACCAACUCCGUAUCCGACUCCGAUCGAGAUCGAAACCAACACUCACAAAAGCAGUUCAAACACAGCACAAUACACACCUGGAAGUACAACGCCACAAAAUUUCAGAUCAAUAGGAGUUACCAAGUCUUGCUGAAAUUCAAUACAACACAGCUGCCCCGUGCUACCUGGAAAUUACAUCAACCACGUACCCAUAUUUUACAGAAUUUUAUAGUAAAUAAAGGUUCAGGUAUCUUUAGCUUAAUGACAGAUUUUAGGAAGACAUAAUGAAUUUGACACUAAUUCUUUCGCCUAAAAGAACAGUAUUGCCUUACAUGUCAUCUUUGCUUCACACCGGAAAUGUUUAUGGUGUUCAUCAAAAAUAUAUCAAUUGGUGGUCAAGAUUGCAUGACAACUAUAUCAAUUGGUGUUCAUCAAAAAUUACAAUUCUAGCAGCACCAUCAUACAUCCCCGUAGUGCCGUCGUGUCGACGUGCAGCCCCGCAGUGCCCUCGUGCCGUCCCACAACGCCGUCACUGCCCUUAGAGUCUAGAUAUGCAAACAAUGCAAGUAUGCAACUGCACAAGACGGGGGUAUGGAAGAUAAGCAAGAGAUUUAGCAGAAGAUCCCAUAAAGGACAAAUAGUAAUCACUAACAUACUAUCUGAGGUUGAAUAUGGUUACAAAAAUAGUCUUAACAAGACAUUACAUUUCCAAUCUAAUUCAAAAGUUCUUCAAUAGCACUUUAGAGUUGUCCAAUCAGCUUGUCUGUUGCUGAGGUUGGUUGUUUUGGCUCAUUGUAGAAAAUACAGUGAUAUGCGAUAGCAAAAAAGAACCAGAUUGAAGUCAGAUAAAAAACAAUCAUGAAUCAUGUUAGAUUCUCAGUUUAGAAUAGAGAUAGAUUCAUAAAUUAAGUUCACUGUACCAACAAACUACCAUAAGGACAACUAACUGAAAGAAAAAAGGAAGUGUAAAUGAGCAAGGACUUUUAUACAAAAGAAAAAAAAAUUAACAGUCUGCACAUCAAACUAAGCAACUGAACAGAAUGGUGUUGUAUCUCUCAUAAACUAUCAUCCAUAGCAACUAGCAAGAAUCAUCACAGUAUGCCUAAGUCCUGCAUUUGAACUUCAACGUAGCAAAAGAAACAUUAAGAAAUGAAUAACAAUAAAACCGUUACCUGAGUAAUAACCAAAAUGUAAGAAUUACAUGCAAUAUUAGACAUAUUUAAGACUAAAAGCAUUAAACACACCUGGUGUUUAUAUUUCUCUUCUCCAUUGACCCAACUUAUUUUAAGUGCAAAUCAUCCAAAUAAUAACCAUUGUAUCUUAACACACACCUAAACAAAUCAAGAAGACCCCAAAACCACAAGUCAUUAAGAACUCCCCCAGAGAUACCUGAAUUAAAAAAAAAAAUGAAGGAAAAUAACCAAGAGAUUUGGUAUGGAAUGUCUAUUUUCAUGCAUGAUCCUAACAGUAGCCAGGAAACUAAAGGCUGCGAUACCUCUAUGUACUAACAAGUAGCGACCCCAAUUUGAUACAAAUAGCAAGUAGCAAGUAGCAAGUAGCAACCCCAAAAUUGAUCUCAAAAAUCAUCAAAAUCAAAGAUAUUGAAAAUGAAAUAGAUACAAACUAACCAGAAUCAAAUUACCAAGCAGCCUUGCUCGAUUGAUGCUUACAUCUCGAGACGAGGUGAUGCCUUGUGCGUGCAGUCAACCAACUUGUUCCCCCUUCAUUCAUAUCGAAAGCUCAAAAUCGCGUUUCGCACCUCGAAAUCUAAACCCUGAGCCCCUGUUCGGACCCAAUUGAGUAGUCUGAACUUUACACCUUUGCCACCGAUUACGGAGAAGAGUCGCUCUGUACACUCUGCUAGCCGGAGUCAGGGAAGGAAGAGAUUUAUUGAAUUUUUACCCGGAGAGUUUUUUACCCUUUUUUUUUAACUCACUCACUCAGUUUCACGUUGACCGUUAUACAAGUAAGCAUUAAUCUAUGGCUUAUAUGACUUCAUUCUAACCAUUAAAUGGAAGGCUCUGAUAUGGCCACGUGUAAAACUGUCGUGUACCUCCACAACCGUGUAUAGAAGAAUCUCUGUUCAAGAAGAAAUAUAGAACUUUGAUUAAAACCGGGGGCAUUUAUGUCAUUCUUGUAAAUUAACGGAAACUUUUAAUGGUUAACUAACAAAAUGAACAAAACUGUUUAGAAAUGAAAGUUUAGGGAUAUAUCGAUUAAAUUUGAAAACUGAGGGACAAGAAUGUUUCUAGAAGUUAAAUUUAAGAUGUCACAAUAUUUAAUCCAAAAAACAAUUAUUUGUCCUCGUAGUUGUUCAUGAACAAAAGAAUCUGCUCAUUCCACCUAAUGGGGUUAGUCAAGUGGAAGUAUGCUAGGCUACAAGUGGAGCAAACGUUGCAAGGAUGCUCCUGAUAAUAAGAGGUCUAAGGUUCGAACGUCAAUUUGUGAAAAACAUUCCUUAAGGAGGGGCCAUACUAAAAUUGCUCCUGGCUCCGAAGUGAUAGCUCACUUGGCCACCAUUUUUUUGUAAUAAAAAAAAAUGGCUCCUUCCUCUGCCAACUAUUAAAAAUGGUGGCUCUUUUUUCUUUGAUCGAAUAGUAACUUCAUUAAUUAAGAACAUGUUACAACGAGAUACGGAUGUGGACGCACCUAGACUUCGGAGUAGAAGUACCGGAAAGAAACAAACAUACACAAAGACAUGCAACAGCACAACACAAAACAAAAAUAACAACGACAAAGAUAUUGCUUCAAAUCAAGACAUAGUCACAAUUUAGGUACGCGUGACCGUUCCGCUGUAACUCUUUUAAAAUGGUGGCUCUUAUUGAGCGAUUAAAUCCGAUCCAAGCCAAGCCAAGCCUUAUGGCAAAGUUGAACACCAUUCCUUAAAGUUGUUACAUAUUAUUGAUAUUAAUGGACAAUGGAAGUAGAGAAGACUUGAUUGCAGAAUAAACAGCACGCCAGCCAUUCUGCGAAGGGUGCUCCUGGUCCCAAAAGAAAGACCUCCCGGGAUUACUGCACACUGUGUACUUGUUUGCUCCACUUCUCUCGUCCACACUCCCACACGAGUAUUCGCUGCUCACCCCAACACAGCAUGGCAUCAGUGGAUUCUCUCGUGUUGUCGAAUUUCCUGCAUCUUAAUUGCCAGUGAAAAAUAGAGUAGACUUGUCAAUGGUCGAAUGUGGAUUUGUUAUGCUCAAUAGUCCACAACUUAUUACAUACAAGUUACCUUACCAGCAGAACAAAUGCGAAUUAAAAAGGAAUUAGAUAUUGAUUUUGUAAGCUAAAAGUUUACGAAUAACAAUAGAAGAAUAUGACUCGAUCAAUUACCUUGUUCCAGGUGUUUUUGUUGUUGAAUUGCAGAUAAAAAUGCGUUAUAGAGAUCCAAGAUUACAAUGGUAGAUGCCUUAGUUGUCUGAUUCUUCUUUAACUCUUCAACCUUUUUGUACAAAAUCUGGUUGUGGAAUCUUGAACCUGCGUUCAUAGUUUCACUGCAAUUCUGAUACGAAGAAACUAUGGAAGUUACGGCUGGCAAACAUCCCAUGGGCUCUAUUGCUGUAACCAAUAUUUUUUUCACUCCCAAAUCAUUUAUACGUUUUAUGUUCACCACAAGCUGGUUAACAAUCGAUGUCGACACCGCUGGCAAAUCCUGCCAAAUAAAAUCAUGAGUGGAAGAGAAAAGAGAGAACCAAGAAUACGUACGUACUGCAUGCUUAGAAAAAAUUGAUAUUACAGGGUAGAACUAGCAUAUAUAUGCAUGAUGUGUAUAAAAUUAAACUAUGAAAUGCUCGGAUCAAGCUCUUUGUCCUAAAUUACAUGUAAUGGAAAAUCAAUGAGCCAGCUAGCUAGGUAGAGUUAGCUUAACUACUCACCUGACUGUGGUUUCCUUUAAGAAAAUAAGCAGCAUAGUCGUUUCCAGCUACUGAUACUAAAGCGAUGGACAAGUCCAAGUCACUUUUGGUAUACAAUUUUUCUUCGACUAGUUGUUGGAGAAAAUCAAUUUGGGUAGUCAUGUUUGGUGCACUGACCAGUGUCUCGAAAACACCAGUUCCUCCAUAUGCAAAGUUCAUCCCGUCCCCGAGUUUCGAUUUCUUCACACGGUUUCUCCAUUUGUAAGGUACUGGAGAUCUUAUACGCAAAAAGGAAGCUGCAUUUCCAUAGAAAAAAGAAGCAUAUAUCUCUGGUAAAUUAAUGACCCAAAAAAAAAAAAUAAUAUAUAUAUAUAUAUGGAUAUUGAAUGCAUGAUGCAGUGUACAAAUUAUUUUGUUCCUUGACAUAACAUGUUGGUGGUGUUAUUCACACACCCCUUAUUUUGUUAUUCACACACCACAUCUAUAAUGAGAGUCAAUCAUGAACCAAAUUCAAAGGUGGUUUGUAAAUAAAAUUGAAUUACAAUAGUCGAAAAAUGGAUAAAGUGUGAAGAGCAAAAAAUUAUGGUGUGUGAAUAAUAUCAUGCUAAAUAAUUGUUUCUAAAUGCUCGAACUUGCCUUAUAUCUUGGUCCCCGAGUUAUGAAUCUAGUUCCGCCCCUACUUGCUAGCUCAACUCGAUUCAUUUUUUAUUGGUAUCGAGUCAUGCUAGCUCAUACCAAUAUGAUGUAAUUUUGAUUAUUCUAGCAAAUGGCUCGAUUUGAAAAUUGGAAGCUAAUUUGUAAGCGAGGCCAAGUUUAGAAGCUUUAGAUAGCAUUUGUGAUUUGAGAUAGAAUUGUGUAAUAAAGGCGAAAUUAUACAGCGCACCCGGGUGCGCCGCGCACCCGGGUUCUUCACCGUCAGAUUCUGACACGCGGAGAAGUCAGUUGUUGACAUCGUUAAGUGGCUGUUAGGGUUUGUUUGGGUAAAAAUACAGGGGGUGAAAAAGAGUAGAAAAGGUUAAGGGAGACUGAGCCCUCUUAUUUCGAGCAGCAGCCCCUCUUUCUUCCAUGUUUCAUCAGAUCGUCUAAACAACACUAAAGAUUGAGCAGCCGAUUGGUGUUGGUGCUAAACCGUUUGGUUCCAAGUUUCAUCAGAUCGUCUAAACUUUCAAAGCAUUGAAGACUGAGCAGCGAUUGGUGUUGGUGCUAAACCGAUUGGAAGAUAUGGAGUUGUAGAGUGGGGGAGAUUUGUGUUUUGACGAAUAAACCGGUUGAGCAGCUCUGAAGUAAGAACAAAGCAUCAGGGAGACGGACAAUCGUUGUAAGUUCUUGAAUUGAUAUCAUUAUUCGUUUUGGAUUAAAUAUCUAUGUUGUUUGGGAUUUCCAUGUCUAGUCGGGUUCGCCCAAUAGAUUGAAUCUUAUUGUUCUUAUGUUCUAUCUCCGGAAUCCCAGAUUUCAAUGGAUGAUUCCAAAUUACUGAGAUUGAUGAUUGAUUAUUGUGUGUUACUUGAAUGAGCCACUUCAAAAUUUCUCCCACCAGCUCUAUGAUAUGAACUAAAUUGUUUUAGGUUUCUAUUGAUUACCUGAGCAAGCUUGUUUGCCAUUAAUUGAUUUCCAUCUUAUUAAAUUGUGAUGAGUUAUCCUUAUUUACAUGUUUGUGCACAGGUGUGUUAUGGAGGGAAUUGAUUUGAGUACCACCCAGACUGAAAACAGUGAUGGUUCAGAUGAGGCGAAGACCAGGGAUAGUUUUGGGAAUGGUAGUGAUGAUAGGAUGGAAGUAAGCGAGAGUGAAGACAGGUCAGACGAUGAGCAAUGCACAAUGUUCAAUGGGAAGCCUUACAAGGACAUAGAGCUUGAUGACUUGUCUAAUGUGGUGUUCAAGAGUGUGGAGGAAGCAGAGAUGUUCUACCUACACUAUUCAGUUGCAAAGGGUUUCAGCAUAAGAAAAUACAAAUUGGCCUGGAACAGUGAGAAUACAGUAAUUAUCAGAAGAGAAAUGGUAUGUGCAAGGGAAGGGUGCGCAAUAAGGGUAAGAAAAGUAGGGUGUGUGAGGAAGAUGUUGACGCAGGUUUGGAGGAUAGGUUGAUUCACAAAACUAAGAAAGAGAAUAAGCAAAAAGUGUUGCACAGAUCAGAUGUGAAGGAUAGUGAGAAGAGUUGUAGGGGGAAGAAAAUGGUGAAGCUAGUUAGUUCAAGGUCGCGGCGACUAUCAAGGCAGAAAUGCCUUGCACAAUUCACCGUGAAAUAUGAUAGAAAAAAGGAGGGAUAUUAUGCGUCGUCGUUUAGGACGGAACAUAAUCAUCCACUGACUCGACUUGUGCAUAGACAGUUUAUGAGAACAAAUCGCUUGGUUAAGGAGCACGACAUUGCUCAGGUAAAUGCACUUAGGAAGGUUUCUGUGGGCACAGCUCGUCCUUACGAGUUCCUUGUUCAUCAGGCAGGAGGCCAUGAGUUUGUUGGAUUUACCAUAAGAGAUUUGUACAACAGAGUUCAGGAGGAGAAUAACAAGCUGUUGCUGGAUGGUGAUGCACAAUGUUCGAUUAUGUGGAUGAAUAUGAAAGCAAUUCGAGACCCUAUGUUCUACUGUUUGUUUAGUGCAGAUGUGAAGGGUAGGCUGGCGAACAUGUUUUGGCGUGACGGGCAGUCCUACACGGAUUAUUGUUCAUACGGGGAUGUUUUGAUAUUUGACAGUACUUACAAAACCAACAUGUAUGGGAAGCCUCUGGUAGUUUUGUGGGAACGAACAACCACAGAGGUACUGUUAUAUUCGGUUCUGCACUUCUUGUUGACGAAACAGAAGAAACAUACAAUUGGGUGUUAACUGCAUUUUUAGCAUCAAUGAAGCAGAAGAAACCUGUUUCUGUUAUAACUGACAGCGAUGAAGCAAUGAGAAAAGCAUUGGGAAAUGUAAUGCCCGAGGCAAGACACCGGUUAUGUGCAUGGCAUGUUGGGAAAAAUGUAGUGUCGCACUUGAAGGACGCAGGCACACGUGGUCAUUUCUUUCAUCUAAUAUUUGCUGGUUUGAGCAUAGAGGAUUGGGAAACUUCUUGGGAGUACUUUGUUACAAUGAAUAAGUUAAGAGGAUAACUCAUGGAUUAGUGGGAUGUAUAACAAAAGACAGGUGGGCGGAAGACAAAGGUGACGACAUUGUAAAAAACAUAAAACAAAUCAUUAAGACUAAAUUAUCGUCAACGCAGUGUUCAGCUUAAAAUUACAGUAUACACACCUCUUCACCUGGAUACUCACACCAUUCAGUUUCAUUAGGUCCAUCAUCGAAUAUUGGGGAUAGUGGGCGUCGUCGCAACAUUUCAGUAUCCAUACCUAUACCGUCGUUCAGGUUCACUUCCACAUCGUUAUCCAAAUUCAAAGAACUUUUCACACCGCUCCCAAACACAUUUCUCACCGCAUACAAAAACGCCGUCGUAGGCCAACUUCGGUCAUGUCAUGGGAUAUCAUCUCUAUUUCAGUGAACAUGCUGCUAAACUUAUCCAUGUUAGCUUCCAUGAUAUCCAUCACUGAAUUUAACCUAUCUACCUCGUUUUGAAGACUAUCUAUUUCAUGCAUGGCCCUCAACAUAUCAUCCGACACAGUCACAUCAACAGAAUUGGAAAAAACCACUGCUGCUUCACUUCCACCAAAUUCAGCGGCUACAAUAUUGCCAACAUUAACAAAUGUGGAGUGGAAGCCCCCUUCUCCAAUUACCCAUUCUGUCAUUUGCUUACACUUUUUUGACGUCCAUGCAACAACUGGGAGAACUGAUUUACAAACAAUAGACGAGCUAUAUCCAACUGCAUCAAAAUAAAAUAAUUGUAAAAACACCAUGCAUCCACUCAUGUAACCAGUCCGGUUAUUCUUAUAGGCAACAACACCAUCUAAUAGAUGUCUGAAACACAAUGAUGCCCAAUUCUUGCUACCAAUGGAUGAGGCGUCACUCAAUGCAACAAGGAACCUCAUGUCAACCGUGUAAGGGGUGCUGGGGCACAACAGUACAACUAGAGUAUACAUUACAAAGAAACUUUUGAAAACAUCAUCCGCCUCCUCCCUUGCAACAAUGAUUUGUUUCAUACUGUCUAUACUUAUAUCUUCAUUCCCACCACACAACUUCCUUCCCAGCUCCUUCAUGUCAUCAACAUCGACACACCCCAACUCAACUCGUGUCCCGAUGUUCCUAACCCCCAUCACACGUUCGAAUACAGUGGCAUUUAUGGACAAAUAUCUCCCCUGAAUCUGAAUAGAGCAUCUCCCCCUGUUGCACAUCCAAGUUGUCGACAACCAUUUGACAUAAGUCCCGGUUCAGUUUUAUGCAUCCCAUCUCCAUUAAUGGGCCGAAUCCCAUUUGCACCACAGCAUUUCUCUUACUACUUGAUAGGGCUUCACAAGUUAAUUUGAAAUCCUUUGGGUAACAGGCGGUUUUAAUCACAACAUCUUCUCCCUGCAAAAAGGUCAUUAACUAUACCAUUGCAGUUCAGCCCACUAUUCAAAUUUCAUAAACACAUCAGGUCACAAGGACUCACCGCUUUUCCGGCCUCCAACCUUCUCCGUUUAGCGAUAACCUGAAAUUGAAAUUGAACAGCGACUUAAUCAGCUUACUUCCUCCCUCACCCGUACCAAAUUACCCAUACAAACAUAUACAACUAUUACCUUCAUAUUGCAAGACCAGAUCCGAAACACACUCGCUAAUCGCCCAAAAUCAACAAUUGUGCUGCAUCUUCAAUAACCCGGUCCUCUUCUUCGGGCGACUUCGUCUCUCAACAUGAAACACGACUUCUAUGAACGGGAAUAGCAUAUGAGAGAGGUAGAGGGAGGGAGGUAUGUUGUGUGGAGAAGAAGAAUAUGAGAGAGGGAGGUAUGCUGUGUGGAGAGAGGAGGUAUGCGGCGAAUUUUUCAGCUAGAGAGGGAGGUAUGCUGUGUGGAGAGAGAAUGGUAAAUAAUGUUUUAACCCUGUCCUCGUAUAACGGAACCCAUCAUCACCGUCUAUCAAUUACUGCCACGUCAUUAUUUUUUUCCGGGUGCACCGCGCACCCGGGUGCGCUGAAUAGGUUCCCGUAAUAAAGAGGGGCAUCGUCUUUACUCUUUAGAACUAAGGAUGAGUAUCAAAACAGAAAUUUAGGACUAGCUAGGAGAAAUUUACGAGUGAUUAGCAAGUGAAAAAGAUGAGGGAGAAUUAAAGAAGAAAAUGAAGGAACCUAUAUAAUCAGUGAGCACCCGACCAUCGGAGAAGCGGCCGGCCGGCUUUCCGGGAAAAGUGAUUCCAUAAGGCGCUACCCAUGAACCAGUGGCAAACUUGCCGCUAUUCCCAGUAUCGGCAUAAGAAUCCCUGAAAACAAAAAGCUUUACAGACCUCUUCUCGUGGUGGCGGUGGCGGUGGCCGGAGGUUAUGGCUGAAUGAAGUACUUGGGGACAAGUGGAGAUGUAGAGAAGAAAGAGACAGAAUGAGAGGAUGGUGGUUUGCUCCAUCUGUAAGCAUGCAGCAGCUUUGCAAAAUAAGACACACUGCAAGUGGUGGAGGUGUUUUUAUACAGGAAAGAUGGCACACUCCUAACUAUGGUAAUUCAAAAUUCAAUGCCCUCCAUGACUCGCAUUUGACCUUGGAAAAUUUUCCAUUUGAAGAACUUUUUGAUUAAACAUUUGAGGAUUCAAGGGUGUCAAACGAUUUUACUUAUGCCAGAUAAGGGGGGGAGAAAAACUUAAAUUUUGGAUCUCACAUUCUCAUCUGUAUUCCAAAUUUUCAAAAUGACAAUUUAUCUCACUAAAGAAGAAAACAUUAAAGAAAUUUCUAUUAGGAUCUCUAAUUCUCUCACUCUGACUCCUCUCUAAACGUCUCUCUUCAAAGUCCAAGCUUACCCUUGACACAGGCAAAAGAGUCAGUCGGAAAAUCAAUGUUUGGUUAACUUCGUGUAAACCUGUACCAUAUAAGCAUAUUUAAGCUAAAACAGCAAACCCUUGCUCACAGCAUAUGCCAUUGAGACACCUACUUUUGACAUUAGUAAUAGAAUCAACCCAAGUUUGACCAAAGACAACAAAAAGAUACAACCAAUCAAAACAUAUCAACAGGAAAAUAUACAAAUUCACAGCUGCAACUAUUCUUUCUGUCAUGAACACAUGAUUUCUACCAUUCGUUCCUGUAUUUAAAAGUGAAGAAGACCAGUCUGUGAAUGUUGUUUAUUAACCAAAAAGAAACAUUUUUGGCAGAAACUACUCAAACUAGUACAGCAAAUCAGAAAACACAAAACAGAACUGAAGUGAUGGGAAACUUAAAACAGGGUUUAUGCACGACUCUUUCAUUUAACAUGGUCAACACAAUAUACAAAAGGGAAAAAAUACAAAAACAAACUGAAUAGAACUGAAUUGCAUUGAGAAAAAGUAUAAUAUCCUACUAAAACCUCUAAGGCUCUAACAUGAGGAGCUGAUAGGAGCAUAAAAUGUGACGAUUUUAUAGUUUAACCUUUGCAUUUAACUUGGCUAUUUUCCUUUAAAAAUAUCAUUUUAACUUUGUUAUCUUCUUAGGUACUUCGCGGAGCAAGAUAAUGCAAAUAUGCGCUCAAGUGAUGCAAGCAAGGCUUCCAAUACGAAGUAGAGAUGUCAAGGAUGGAGUUUGAUCAUUCACAUGGUCAAAAAUAACAAGGAAAUGCGAUGAAACCACUUCACCAAAACAGAAGCUGCAAACACAAAGCUGAAAACUGGUUUCUGCUUAUUUUCUCCGGUAUUCAAGGCCUAUUUCCAUGCGGUUCCGAGAAUGAUUUCACCAAGAUAACUGCCCAGAUUUGUAGAGGAGAAUUUGUAGAUCAAUUUGGACUCAAGAAUCAUCCAAAUCAGUGAUGUCAUCUUGGAUUUAUGAAGCGUCGAAUUUGGACAGAAAAUCAGCAGUUCCGGAAAAGCUGUGCAGCAGUCAACUUCGAGGCAGUGUUUGGGCUGGAUUCUGAGAAGAUUUCUUGAGGGUUUUUGCACGAUUUUAAAGAGUGACAUCAGUACUAUAAUUGGCCCAAAAUCCAAGCCCAGAUUAUAUGUGGAAGACAUUUAAAAGAUAGCCCAAACAUUGAUCCUAGUCAAAGAAAGAAACAUAGUCUGAAAAAGAAGCUUGGAAGACUUUGAGACUACUUAAGGCAUAACCCUAAUACCAGAACGGACUCUAAGCCGUCAUACUGCAAGAGAACCUUCACGUUGCUGCAUCGCACAAGAAUCCAUCAAGGGGAAGUCUCCAAGAUCAUCGUCAUUUCUUCCAUUCACAGUUUUCUUCUUCCCUAUGUAAUUUUUAACUUUCGAGUUUAUUUUCUCUGUGUGAUUUCUACAACGAUGUGUGGCUAAUUUAUCUUAGUUAGGGUGGAGGUUUGAAGCCCCGAAUUAUGCAAUAAACUUUGUUUUACAACCUUGAUUUCAUAAUUACUUAGUUAUGGAUUGUCUGUUUGGUUUUGGUUUAUAGGGAACUCUUGCUUAUUUAUGUUCAUGGAUGCAUACAUAGAACAUUAUGAACUUGUAAGUGGGGCAAGAAUUAGGUUGUUUAAUCUCCUAAACGGUUAAUAUGGCUUAAUUCAAGGUAGUAAAACCUAUAGGACAAUAGGUGAAACCAAAUAGAGAGACUUAAUUGCAUGCUAGGUAGGCGCUCCACACUAGUUUUGCAUACUUGUUCAAUCACUUCCAUUGAUCUUAACGCUUAGAAUAAUUUGUUGAUAUGAUAGCUUCUAUACCUUGAUUGGUUAUUCGAAAGGCUUAAUAAUGGUGCGUUCAUCUUGCUUAAGUAGUUAAGAGAAGUUAUAAGAAUUUACGCAAUGCGUUCACGGUUUAUUCUUGAUUGAACCUUUUCAUAACUUGGUAAUUGGAAUCUUGGUUGUGUGGACUUUGUUUUGAAGCAUAUUCGGUGGUGAAUUUCCUAAAUCCCUAACCUCUUCUCUGUCUUAUUUCUCAAACUACAAAAAUCAAUCUAGUUUUCUUAUUCUUCUGUCUUCUGUUUUUCGUGAUUUAUUUAAUAUAGUAAACGAACUUCAAAUCCCCUGAAAUUUUGUGUACAUGUUCUUCUGUGUGUCUAGGUUAGGUCUAUAAAUUUUCAUCUUCUUCUGAGUAGUGUAGGUUAGGUAGUUAAGUAUAUUUUCGUCUGCUGUUAGUUAGGAACAGUAGAGUUUGUGACAUUGUUUUUGUGUGUAAAAUUAAAUACCCUUAUCUCUGGCAAUGAACAAUCCUUGCUUCUUAAUACUACAAUUGACAAUCUUUUGCAGGGUUAAAUUAUGAGGCUAUUUUAGCCGUACCAGGAGCGCCCCUAAAUUUUCAUUUAUUUCAGAUUUUCAAAAUUUUCUCAACUCUUCAGGAGACACUCCGCAUGCACUGUCAUAACAAAUUUCAGGGUGAGAACGGUAACAGGAGAGUGAGGAGACAUCUAUUGAUUUUCAAUAACUUUAUAAACUUUUGCUUCUGUUAAGAGACACAGGAACAUUGACAUAAAGUAGAAGUCUGGUUACAAACAUAAUUCAUUUUUGGGUCAAACCUCUUCAAUUUUUUUUUUUUUGACAGGGUUUACCCUAAAUCUCUUCAUUCGUUUGUCUCUUAAUUCCAUCUGGUCGUUGUUGAUCUGCUUUGGCCCCUGCUAUAUCUUGGAGGGCUAGUCUUGGCAACAUCAACAACUAUCAUCCAGCCAUUAAUGAUCUGUAAGCAACACUAACAAAAGUAGAAUAAGAUUUGGUUUCUCGGUGUGAUGUAUUUGUUUCUAAAACAGAUAAACAAAGAUACAAAAGAAUAUGACCGGUGUUCGACUGAAUUUGAAGAAGUCUAUACAAGAUAAAAGGGAAUGUUCUUGCCUUGCCAUUCAUCUCAUUGAGUGCAGCAGCAGCAGCUUCCUCCGUAGUGUAUUCUAUGAACGCAUAGCCUUUGGACCUUUUAGAAAUCUUGUCCAUUAUUAUUUUUACUGUACAAAGUCAGAUCAUAAGCAUGAGCAUUAACAUUGCCAAGAAAUUGAAAAUCCCAUUUUUCUGCUAAAAAGAAAGGUAUAUUUAUAUAUAAGUAUUACCUUCAACAAGCUGACCAAAGCCUUGAAAUGCCUCUCGAAGGGUUUUCUCAGAUGUAUAAAAUGAUAAUCCUGUAAGAAACUAAGUUGUUUUAAGCAGUUUUAAAGCAAUUUUGUAACAAGGGAAAAAGAAAUCAAGAUACAAUGGAGAACUGGUAAUGUUUCCAUAAGGGGUAAACAGUGUUAAAGUUCAACCUCAGCAAAGUAUAACAUAGGAAAAUUAAAAUUUUGUUAGUUUAUUUGGGGAAUGCUGCUGUAAUAACAAUAAAAUUUAACUUAAAAUACUGCGAGUAUCAUGUAAAAUAGUAAAUACUGAAGGAGCAUACGCUAUGAAAUGAAGAUAGGGCAGGUCUCACUAAAUGGAAGGAUUUGUAAGGGAUGAUUUGAAUUCCAGGUUUUAGUACAACUUUCAAAAUAGGACUCUAGAAAUCUUAAUUUCUUCUGUAAUUAAAACCACCAAAAUCUGUAUUUGAAAACAAGGGAUUUGAUCAUAUCAAUAUAAGAAAAAAUUACAUUUCUAAAGACAUUCACAAAAACUCAUGUCCAAAUACUCUUGUUGUAAACCUUCCUCUGGAGCCUAAAUGUUUGACAUAGGAAUUGAAGCAACAUACCAGUCACAAAAAGCUUCUUUGUUCUUGUGGGGGUUGUUUGACUUGCCUCCGCAGAGAUUGACAAAUCCUUAGAUUUCUUUAUGUCAUUACCUGAUAAAAUAAUAUCUGUCACUAGCAACUUAGCAGUUUCGCCAUCAAAUAGAACAGGAUCUGAUUCACACUGGAAAAUAUUAAUUGGCAAUUGGGUUCAUGAAGAGAAUUUCCAGAUAAAUAGUUAUGGUAGUUUGUAAAUGCAUACCAAUAUCUGUCUAAUUUUCUGAAUUUCUUAAAUAGAGCAGCAAUGAUAGCAGUGGAUAAGGAAUCCACUAACUCCAAAAAAAAAAAAAAAACACCCAGCCAAAGUAUGAAACCAAGCAACCAAGAUGCUCUAAGAAACUCGAAAGUCUACGAUUUGAACAAGUAACAAACAAAAGAACUAGGAAAGUGAAAUUUACAAACAAAAGAGCUAUCUAACAGUUGACAUAGCUCCUCCUCCCUUCCCUUCUUAAAAGUCUUCUGCUUUUUGUCCAUUGAUGCAUGCCAAUCUUACCAGAAUGAUUACAGUCUUCCUCCCACAAAAGAAUUGUGCUUUUCAAUCAACAGACAAACCCCAGAAGCUGAGAGCUUUGAUUAUCCCAGCUCAACAUAGUCUCCCAGAAAAGUGUUGGCCAAAGGUCUAAAGCAACUAGAGAAUGUAAAAAACAGAUGGUCUCCACUCACAGCUACUGCUUUGCACAUCACACCAAUGAGGACAAAGGAAAAAAAAAAAAAAAUCAAGGUCUUCUUCUCUAAAAUAUGUCACAGGGAUUAGCCUCCCAUGAUCAAUAAUCAUUCUCACCCUAGGUGGUACUUUGGCCUUCCAGAUUGCAGUAGGGGGAAUAAAUUGAGCAAGGUAAGAAAAGUUCCCAGAAGAUUCUAGCAAGUGCCUUCAUCUAUCUAGCCUAGUGAGACCAGCACCACAUACCUAUCUAUCUGAAAACCACAAUAUCUACUUCAAUACUAAUAUUUUUUUUUUUAUAACCACCACCAUAUUUGCCUUCCCUAGACAUGGUACAUAUUUAUUACGCAUCAAAAAUCUGGUAGAAAUAAUGUCAUGCUUCAGUGGAAGGGGUAGCAAUAAACAUUAAAUCACAGUUGAGAAAACAGUCAAGCUCCAUAAACUAUUCCACCAAGUCACUUCCAAGAUACGGUGAUUGAGAGCAGACUAACCACAAUAGUGUAUUGAAUAAUUUCUAUAGAGAAACCCACUCAGUACCAUAAACAUGGACUUUGUUGUAUGCGUACUUCUUCCUACUCUAGAAAACCAACAGAUAUUUUCUAUUGCCAGAAAACCAAGAAUUACAAAACAAGAAAUCAAGCUUAGUAUUGUUUGAAUUCAAAACUAAAAUGAAGCUGCAUUUUAGGGUGUAUCAGAUAACCUAGAUACUUUUUGGCUCAUUUCCCCCUUCUUCUUUCUCCAUACUCAAUUACAACAUUUUCUGCCACCAUUUAAAGACAAAAGGAAAUUAGGUGUUGUCUAUUACAAGAUCACACAAUCAAAAACUUGAGACCUUCCCUCUUGUCAAAUGCCUAGUCUUGUCACAUGCCUGGCAAGUAGAAUGUGCGUGCUCCCUUUGCAUGCUGACCCAAAAUUUACCAAUAUGAACUCAGGCUAGGCUGUGUUGCUUGCUCCUACAAUUAUAUUACUUAGGAACAACAACAACAAAUGCAAAUCACUAAUAUGAGGUUGGGGUUGCAACGCAGUUUUUCCUUUACUGUGGGCCAAAACAUAGGCUAUUUCCUUGUUCUACGGAGAGCAUUAGCUUACUCAAUUGAUAUAAAUCACAAGUUUUCUUCUGAAAAAUUGUCUACUGCGUCAUAAAUCUCACAAUCUUGCCAACUCCGCUUCAAUUUGCAGAUAUAGAAAAAAAGUCAUCCGCCACCAUUUUGCAUUUUCUUUUACUUCCUUGAUCUAGUGUUCAAUGAUACAUCAAAAAUUGCUACCACAAGAACAUUAUUGUAUUCGAUUUUAGCAGACAAUCUUGCCAACUCCUCUUCACUUUUGGGAGGGUAUGGUGAAAUUGCUCUCUGGUACUGACAGACACAUACAAAAUCAAGACAAACUGUGACUCUAAUAUUACUAAGAUCCCACAAGCAAGACAUUCCAUGGCAUCAAGUUGGUAUAAAUUAUAAGUUAAAAUGGUUUUAAAAGGCAUAUUGAGAAGCAAAGUUCUAUCUAGCAAUGAAAAGAGACAAAACCAUCUAAAAAUAACAAACAACCAGAUAGUUUUAAUGACUGAACAGUAAUAUCCAAGUUAAGAAAGAAUAAAACCUCCAUAGUCUUUAUUAUCCGAGUCAUAACUCUUGUCUGGCUGAACAGAUAAAACACCAGGAACACCUGCAGUAUAUGAAGCAUUUAGCACAAUAUGAAAAAAAAAAGAAAAAAAAAGACGCAAAUGUAUGAACUAUACUAACUUGCUAGAUUGCUUGCAGAUUCUUCAUCUAGUUCACAACAGAACCCAAAGUUAGAUUGCCAGGACACAUGAUAUAUACACAUUUGUGCAUCUUUCUCACUACAGACAAACAUACCACACCAAUCAGCAAAAAUAAGUGCUAUAAGGAAGCAAACAGCAUUGAUAUCCACUUGUAGAAAAUACUUACUUUCCCAAGACCUUUGUUAGAAUUUGAGCAUAAUAAUCAACCAUUUGUGCCUUUGUAACCACCUCAACCCCCGGUUUAUCCAUUCGAACAAGCCAGUGUUUGGUAUUCCCAAGUGGAAAUAACAUAGUAGUUGCACUUUGAACAUUUGAAAAACUGUAAUCCUUGUUUACAGAACCAAAAUCGGGGUCAGGCUUAACCAAUAAAACUCCUGGUAAACCUACAACAAAGACAAGCAUUGACAAUAAUGAACAACCAAAUUGUCUCAAGUACUCAUUAGCACAUUUUGGUGUCUAGCAAAAAGCAAUGGAACUGAAGAUGAGUAAAAAUGAUAAGAGUUUUACGUGCAAGCUUCUGGGAAGUUUCAUAAUCAACAUGACAGCAAAAGCCGAAAUGGGUGUCCCAAGAAGCAUCAUAUAUACACAUCUGAGCAUCCUUCUCACUGUAGACGCCAACAUUGAAGUGUAGUUCAGCUGGAGAGCUAAGCAAUUCCACAAUAUCAGACAAAAUUUAAAGCUUACCCACUUGCCCAUAACACUUUGCACUGUUUUAACAUAGUACUCGAUAACUUGUUGCUUGGAAAUGACCCCUUGUGGAGGAGUCUCCAUGAGCACCAUCCAGUGGCGGGAGGUUGAAGGUGAAGCUGCACAUGCUUUAAUAGAAAAAGAGUUGGAACAAGUGAGAGAAAAGGUUGGUGGGUUUUUAUGGGUUUGUGAGAUGGGGAAUCUGAGGUUGGUAAAUGAAGGGGUUUGGGAGUGAGUUUUGAGAAUUUUGAAUGAGUAGCAGUUGUUGGAUAUGGUGACUGUUGUUGCGGAGGGAGAGAGAGACUUCAUGGUUUGCCUAGUACUUACUCUGCUCCUCCCUUCUGCACAAGCAUCCGCAGUUCUAUUAUCUAAUCCGUCACCAUGUAAAACAGUUUUCAGAGAUGUAAAAAUCACAAAUCAUAUUUGAGCUUUAUUUUUGUCACAACCUAAAGCUAGAUUAGGCCACCAUUCUAAAGAAAAGUAUACCGUAAAAGUAAGAAUUAAAUUCAGUUUACCUCCUUGUGGUUUGGGGGUGACUUCAUGUUAGUCCUUACACUUUUAUUUUCAUCAGUUUACCCCUUGAACUCUUCAAUUUCUGUCUGCCGUGCCCAAAUUCUCAUAUUCCGUUUGAAUUGACCUUUAAUUAUCAGCAGUUAAGGUCCGAUUUGGACAUAUAAGGUCCGAUUUGCCCAAAUUCUAGAUACUGGCCUCACAGUUAAGGUUAAAAUUAUCAGCAGUUAACGUCCGAUUUGGACAGAAUAUAGGACAUUUGGUCACGCUUGAGGAAAAUUCAAAAGUUUGAGGGGUAAACUGAUGAAAUUGAAAGUAUAGGGAUUAACAUGAAGUUACUCCCAAACUUCAUGGGGGUAAACUGAAUUUAAUUCUAAAAGUAAAGUAAAAGGCAAUUGGGAAUAGUUUGUUUAUUACAUUAGAAGUCCUCUAUUUAUAUAGAAAUUAUAACAGGUACAACGACAAUUACAAGUUUACAACGUAUAUAAUCCUAAUAAUAUCUGAGUGUAUAGUUACAAUUGAUACAUAUUAAUUCCUUAACUUUCUUUCGUUAAUUACUUUGACAAAGACACAUAAACGUAUUUUUUCCUUCAAUAUUCUUCCUUGUGCCAAGUCAAAGACGAAACAAUACAUGUGGUGUAGCUUCGUUAAAAUUCUUUCCAAGUAACAAAACCUAGUGGGGGAAAAAAAAACCUUGAUCGGAGGGGAAAAAAAGCACAACGCACCUAUUACAUUUGAAGAUAGCAUGUGUGCAUUAGAUUCACCCUAAAGUCUACGCCCUCCUCUUGAUCCUUACAUCAAUCAAGGGAGCUUGGAAAGUCUUCGCAUUUCGAUGUUACUCACAUGUUUUUCAAAUGUAGCCCUAGGCAAGGAUUUGGUAAACAAAUCUGCCACAUUCUCCUCAAACGUUAUUUGAUUCACUUGAAUCUUGAGGAGAGUCUGUUGUUGCUGACUGUAAAAGAACUUUGGCGAUAUGUGUUUUGUACGAUCACCCUUGAUAUACUUCAUUUGUUCAAUGCAAGUUGCAUUAUCUUCAUAAAGGCAAGUAAGCUCUUUAGUGGUAGAAUUCAAAUCACUAGUGUUGUGGGAACAUAUGCCAAGCACUCUAGUUAAGUCUUACGCAUGCAUUCUAACAACUUUCCAAGGCCGUACACGUGGACACAAAGAUACGGUCAUGCCGAGCCGUGCUCUGGCUUCGGCCUAAGUGUGCUUUAGCUGUCACCAGCUUUCUACCGAGCCGCGCUUGUUGUGCCUAUAAAUAGUGGCAUUGCCCUCACCUCAAAAGUAACUGACCUCAUUCCCUUCUCUCCAUCCUCAUUUUGACUGCAAUGACUAACUUGAGCGUCGGAGGGGGAUCGUUCGGAUCCGUUCGGCCUCCCCUCUAACCUCAUAGGUCACAUCUCGCAAGUUUCAAGAAAUUGCCUCAGCGGUCAAUUUGCUUCAACGGCCACAUCUCCCCAACGGUCAAUUCCACACUUAGCUAAUUUAGCAAUUUCAUAUCACAGCCCAAAACAACUAAUCCCUCGAAUAUGUGUGAUGAUGGAUCUUAACCAUAUACACUCACAAGCUGCCUCAUGUAAAGCAAUGAUCUCUGAAUGGUUCGAGGAGGUAGCUAGAAGAGUUUGCUUAGUUGAUCUCUAAGAUAUUGUCGUGUUCCUAAUGAUGAAUACAUAACAGUUUGGGAACGUCCUCUAUAUGGGUCAGAGAGGUACCCAACAUCAGGAAAAUCAACCAAAUCAUCAUUGGGGCUUUCGACAUUUCAUUCAGGAUGUGCAGUUCCAUCUGCAGUCCCUCUUGUCUCUUUGUAAGGAGUAGAAUAGACCCAAGUCAAUGAUUUCUUUUAGGUAUCAAAAUAUGUUUUUGAUAACAUUUGGUGCUGAGAUAAAUCUAAUUAACAAGUUCACUGAGAAUGCAAUAUAUGGUCGAAUACAUUGAGCUAAGUACAAUACUGGUCAUAUUGCACUUAGAUAUGAAAUUUCAUAUCCCAAAACAUCUUUGUCAUCUUCAUUUGAUCGAAAUAAAUCUUUAUUUAUAUCCGGACUUCGACUGAUCAUGAGAGUGUUAGCAUGAUAUACCUUGUCCAUGUUAAAUCGUCUAUGUAUAAACAUAUGCAGAGCGGUAGAUUAAUAUUCCACAAAAAGAUGGGUAAGAAAAAAGGUGGGUGUUUCUAAAUAUACCCAUAAAAUUCCAGCAAUUUCUAAUUGCACCUAGCGCCUUGCCUAUAAUAUCGUUCCUUUAGCAAAACCCGCAUCCUCUUGCGGUUUGCGAUUUUUCAUUCUUGGCACCAUAGCCUUGGUUUUGUGGGGUUUAAUUUCUCAGAGGAACGCGCGCUUAUUCUCAUCAGCCAAUAUGCAGGUACGGAGUUGAACAUGAGAACCCUAAUUUGAAAUGAACUAGUUGAAAUUGAUUAGUGUAUCGUGUGGUUUCAGGCGAGUGACAGGUUCAACAUCAAUUCCCAGCUGGAACACCUUCAAGCCAAGUACGUGGGAACGGGGCAUGCUGACUUGCACAGAUAUGAAUGGGCUGUGAAUAUUCAGCGUGAUAGCUAUGCCUCCUAUGUUGGUCAUUAUCCCAUUCUUUCCUACUUCGCUCUUGCUGAGAACGAGUCCAUUGGCAGAGAACGCUACAACUUUAUGCAGGCAGGUUCCUCCUUUUACACUUUUAUGCAUGCUUUUGAUUUGUAUUGGGUGUGUUUUCUUGAAUUGUUUUGAUUCCCUAUGCUUUUGAUUUGAUUGUGUGUCUGUAAGAUCCUAUAAUGGUUCGGUAGUAUAGAUUUCAAUUCGAGGUUUGCACUUCACAAGUUUCGUAUAGUCGUAAUUUUAAUAUGUUGUAUGGAUAGGCUGAUUAACAUGUUAUGUGAGAUUGGUAGAUUAUAGGCUUGUUGGGUCUCCUUCUGGUUGAGUACAUUUCAGUAGAAAUUGUCUUUGGCAUGGUCUCUGAUGGUAGGCAGAGCUCUUGUGACCAAUUUGAGGUAGCUUAGCCUUCUUGGAUAUGAGUUAUUGUGGCUAAAAUGUGGUAUGGUCAUUAGCUCAAGUAGACAUUGAUUGACAUGUUAACAAUGUUAGUUAUGGAAGAAUAACUUAGAGGAUGGUUGGGAAUGUAAUGUGUGAUCGGGACUAGAAAGGAGGGUUUAGAGGUUAAUGCAUUUGUGCCAAGUUCCAGAAAGUAUAGCUCAGGAAAACAUGGAGGAAGUUCACUGGACGCCCCUCUUACUUUAUUUAAUACUUAUUGAAACUUCCCAAUAGUUAGAUUCAUGAUUAAUGAUUUAUAGAUUACUGCUCGUUACUUAGAAAGAGUAUAUUUCGAAUAGGUACCAAUAGUAGUUGGAAUAGGUUUUGUUUUGUCCUCUCAGCUUCAUCCACAGCAGUCCUAUUUAUUGAAUAUAUUGCUAUCAGUGACUAACCUUCGCUUAUGUAAUUUAAGCUGUGAUGUUUCCUAUCAUAUACUGUUUUCUAGUGAAUAAAUAUGCUUUUGUUUUCUCAUACUGUCACUUCAUGAUGAAGUUUUCGGCUUAUAGUUGACUUUGGAUCUUAAUAUCCCUUGCACACAUUUUAAGCACAAGUUAAAAUUGAAAUAAAAUGAUGUGUUAAUCUUCUUGGAGUGUGGUAUGAGUGGAGAGCAGCCUGAUUUCAUCAAAUUAGAGUUGAGCUUCUAAAAAAUUGUAUUAUGUCAUCAAUUAGUAUACCUUUUGAAGCUUAUGCCACGACUUAGUUUUGAAACAGGGUCUUGCGAGUACUAUCCUUUUCUUUAAAUUACUGUGACAAAUACUAUAAAUUUAUGAUUAAUGUUAGUGUGUCGAAUGUGCACCCCACUCUUGUACUCUGACCUGUCGUGCAAGCUCAUAUCUGCUCCUUUACUUUGGGCUAAUUCUGGGUAACUAGCUCGAUGCAUAUGGUGAACUUAUAUCUUAUGUAGACAUUAGAUGAGGUCUUGGUUAUAUUUUGAGCUCCAAUAUACUUAUGUUCACUGAAAUCUAUUUUGGUGUGCAGAGAAUGCUUUUGCCUUGCGGUCCUCCCCCAGAAAGAGAAGACGAUUGAGAAUCUUCUUUUAAAAAUAAUGAUGUGAAUUUGAUGUAUUCUGUUUGCUGGAACGUUGAGUUCAAGUUGUAUGUUUGUUGUUGCACAUGGAUGAAUGGUUGGAAUGUAAACUUUUGAAUAACAGAUUUUGUAUGCCGUUGUGCCUUUAUCAGUGAACAGUUUCAAUCAGAGUUGUGUAUGAGACUGGUUUGAUGAUCAUUGGUAGAAAAGGCUUGUCUCAUGCGCUGUGGCAGCUAUGCGAUGCUUGUAGUGAAAUGGAUUAAAAAACCAAGAGACCUAGAAAAACCAGGCUGUGGUCUUCUCUUGGUGAAGCAUUUUAUUUACACUAAAAUAAAUCAAAUGUUACUCAAGUUAUCCAAAAUAACUACACACAUCAUUUACAGGAUGAGCACAAGAUCAAAUUAUAUAUCAGUAAGAAGCGGUGCUUCAGCGUCGUCUUUAGAGCACGAGUCAGGAUUAAGCUUGCAGGCAUAACAAAGGGAUAUUACCUGAGCACAUAUUAACAUGAUUGUUAGCCAGGAAUGGCAGAAGAGAACGGAAGAGGAGAAACAAACAAGACUUGUAAGAGAGAAUAUAAGUGCUUAAUACCAUGCAUAUGGAUGCACAUAUUAUGCUAAAGCCUUUGCAGUCGAAAGGAGCAUUGCUAGAUAGAAACCAUGCUGUUUUAUACAAGAAACAAUUCUUCCCAUUAGAACCAGGAUUAAAUCAUCGCUUAUAUAUCAGUAUCAGAAUUAGCAACCACUAACAUGUCAAUGGACUCAUUGCAAUGGGAGAUAGCAGGCUUGAUAUGGACUGCACACCAGCUAUAAAUCCUUGCACCUUUCCCUUCAAUCAAAAAGAGAGUAUACAAGAUGAGAAACUGAUUAUAUUAAAAAUGAAUAACCAAGUGUGAUAAUUGAGAUUGCUCAAAACAUGAAAGGGAAAAUCAUAAUCCACCAGAUAGAUGUUUGCUAACCUGAUCAGAUAAGCUUGACGCUUUUGAAAUAAUUGCGAACGUCUGCAGAAUCAGGAAUUCAAUCAAUGGGAAAGUAGAAACUAAUACUUCAGUAUGAUAAGCUUAAUAUAUAUGAAAUAAUUUAUUAGUCAGUAUGACAUUUGAACUUCCAACAAAAGAACUACUGAUUCAACAUAUCCAGCAGGAUUACUGAACCGCUGGCUUGUGGAAUAUGUUCACAAAAUCAACAUAUUUAACAUAUCCUAAUAAUCUCUUGUGGAAUAAAGAAUUCCUUUAUGUUUACUGUAGUGGAAGUAAACAAAUGUACUUACUGAUGGUUUCACAAGGACGUAAAUGACUCCAAAUGAAGCACUCAAGUAUGGUACCUGCAUGUAUAAUGUAUUCCCAUUACUAUCGAUAACUAGAGGGACUAGGACUCUUAAGAAAUAGUAACUUUUGCUUUUAUCAACUGAAAUAAGAGCAUAUAAUCCCAUAUAUCGAUUUCAUUUCUUUUUUUGUUGCUUUAACAAAAAAAAUGACAAGAUUGGAGGUGAAUCUCUGGCGUUUAUCUGAGGUUGGUUUUCAGGUUACAUACCCAAGAAGCCCAAGCCAAACCAUAUAGCACUGCCUGUACAUUGAAAAGCUAUAUUAGAUUUUCUCUUUAGUUGCCUCUGUUUUUCUUCUAUUGGGAACAACUAAAUAAAAUCACUUACAUAAGCUAUUGACGCACACAAGGAUAUGCACAGUAUCACUUUCUCUCCAACUAAUGGAUUGACUAAAGGAAGCACCAACAUCUGGAAGCAAGCCAUAGAAGCAAACAGUUUAUGACUUUAUGCAAAAAAAUAACACAAGGAUUCCAUAACCCUCCAAACAGAUAAAAAAAAUAAAAAUUGAAAGGUUGGCUCAAUCGAUCCAUCUUAUUAUCUUACAAUGAAAGUAUGAUUAUCAUUCCUAAAAAAGUAGAGACAAUAAUAAAAACUGACAUGGGGCGGCCAUUAUCAGUUCCGUUUCUAAGCACAAGGAAGGUGGCAUACUACAAAAUGGUUUGAACUACAGACUGUGUAUAAGAGUAGAGCAUUUAUAAGAAAUUUCAGGUACAUAAUGAAGUAAGUCAAUAUGAAUAUAUAAUGCGCUUAAUUCCCAAUAUAAAAUUGUACUCUGCAUUUAGGCAUUGUUUUGGAACUAAAUGAAAAGAAUUUGGAAAAAGAUAUGCUUUCGGAAGAGACUAUACCUGAGAGACAAUUGAGCCUAUUCCCACCAUCAUUUGGAUCUCUGAGAAUUGAUUUUUGUCAAAACCAAAAGUUGCCUUCAGAUAGUACUGUGCAACAGUGCAAGUAAUUAACUGUUAUACAUCUAUCUUCCAGUUUUUGGAUGAAAGAGAAAGCAAGAUACAUCUGUGGAUGAUAGUAAUCUAGGAAGACAUUUGCGAGGUCUCAAUUUUCCAAUGUGGGGGGAUACUUCUCUCACAUUACAUUAUAUGAAACAUGUUAACUAUGUACAGAAAAGGCAAUGGUAUUAUAACAUGCUUAAAUAUCUUAAAGUCAAUCCACAAAGGGCAUUGGUAUUGUAACAUGCUAGGAUAAUCCCAACCCAUCUCAGAACUUUCAUUGUGCUCUUCUAGCCAUCUGGCAGUGUGACUUAGAUAGCCUUAUAGUUUUAAUAAUAUAAUCAAAACAAGGCUGGGUGUAGAAAACACCAAACUAAAAAUCUCAAAUUGGUUAAAGUCGAAGGUUCAGAAAUCUAAUUUUAUAAGGGGGCAUAUACAUGUAUAUCGUAUAAGCCCCGUCACAAUAGCUUGCUUCAUUAAAAAUCAAAGAAGCAAAUUUGAACAGCAUCCUUCAUAAACGAGAGUGUGCAGUUGUAAUCAAUACACGAUUAGUCAAGUAAUUAGGACCACUGUUGGUGGUUAACAAAGUGGUCGGAAAAGAUACCAGUAAUACAGCGCUGAUGCCAGACAUUCCCAUCUCAUAGAAGAAGGAUACCAAAGAAAUGCUCCUCAGUGUCGAACUGUAAAUUACAAUGAAGCUGUUUAGAGAACUAAAUAACUUUUUGAUACAUCUAUGAAGACAUAAAAGCACAGUACACUAGAACCCAGUACCUGCUCAUAACUACUUUUGCAGCAUCUCUCAUUGAAACAUAUCGUUUAUGAAUAAUCGCAACUCUCUUGGUCAGGCAAGACAAAUCUUGGUCCAUUUGAGGGGCCAAUUUAUUGGUUGUCUCAACCAAAAAUAUUUGCAUAUAAACUGGACAAAAGAUCAUGAGCGCUAUUGAAACCUGCAAACAACACAUGUGAUUAAUAAGAAUAUGAGAUGAAAUUAAAUUUUAAUGAACUUAAAAGUUUCUAGUUAUUUCAUGAACUUACGGGGAAAAUGUAGAUCUCAGGAAGAAAACGGGCCAGAACAUUUCCUAACACAUGAGAUGCAGAGAAGAGACCUGUGAUCCAACUAAAUACUGCAGCCCUAUUAUUCUCACUGACAACAUCUGCCUAAAAGGGGAUGAAAAGUGUGAAUACCUCACAUCCAGUCCAUGGCUGACAAUCAGUAGAGAAUUAAAACUUACCACAUAAGCAAUGGCGAUGCAGAAAAUACUCCCCUGACUCAGAAUAUAUGAAAUUGUACGAAGCACAUAGUAAGCAUAAACAAAUCCCUUGGACUGGUUCCAAGCAAGUAAUGCUGCAAAAAGAGCGCACCAAGUUAUGUCAGCCAAAAGCACAGAAUCAAAGUGUGAUAAAUAAAUAACAGGGGGGAAAUAUGACCUCAUUGCUUAAUGGCUUAGAUAUCAGCAAUGACAGCGAGGUGUUUACCUCCAGUUUUUCCUUUAGGCUAACCAGAAGCGCUAGAUACUACUCAAAUUUUGUGUUCCAUUUCAUAGGAAUAAAAGGUCUAGCAAGAAACAUACGUACCAAAAGGGAAUAUGGUUGUUGACACAGUAAGAAGGAGCACUGGUUUACGGCCAUUCUCAUCAGCGAGUUGACCAAGAAUCGGUAACACCACCAUCUUGAAAAGUCCAACAAUCUACAAACACAGAUAAUAUCUAUAUUUAAAUUGUUAACUCACAGAAAGUGUAUAAUUAAUCAUAUCUGAGUUUGCCAUAAUUGACAAUUAAGUUUUAUCUGUCCAUUAAUUUCCGACAGAAUUGUUUUUUGUAACCAUCUGACUACCUACAUGCUACAUCCUUCACACGUACAUUCUUCCUUGAACAGAAAUAUCUAUUGAAUCAGUCCCAUUCUUGAGUAGUUAGGAACCUAAACGAUCCAAAAAAGGCUCAAAUCCAAGUUAAUAAAUAACACAUGCAAGCAAAUAUGAAGGCAAGGCCAACCUGGAGCUAUCACUCAGAAAGCUCCAUUUAAAAGAUAUAUACUUAACUGCUUUCAGGUUAGUAGUAAAGUACACAUAGGAUGAAACACAUGCAGAAUGAACAUGGAAAGAUCCCAUGAAUAGCAUNNNNNNNNNNNNNNNNNNNNGAGAGAGAGAGAGAGACCGUUUGUUGGAUGCCGUUGAUAUAGAUAGGUUGAGAACAAGUGGAGUGGGCGGGGCAGAGAGCAGUAGUGGUAACAUCAACGAGGACAGAAACAGUCAUUUCUUCAGCGAUCCAAUGGAGGCAGAGAGGCAAGAGCAAGUGAAACAAUGGCCUCAGCUCUUUGAAACCACCAUAAUAACUAGUAUUGCAAGCCAUUGCCAUGUACUUAUUGUAAUGAAGGCAAACAAUUAACUACGUUGGCCUUAUCCCAAUGAAUGACUACCUCUGCUUGCUUCCUUCCUUUAUAGCAAGAAGGUAAGGAAGAAGAAGAGGAAAGGUGGUUGUAUAUUGCAAAAAGCGGGAAAAGAGUUAGUUGUGAGCACGGCACAUGGUAGCGUGUGGGAUGGACUCGCUCGCUCGUGUCAUUUGUAUAUUCUGCAGCUCUCCCCUUAUGCUGACUGGGUUGGGAUGCGGGCCGCUUCUACGUUAUGCGUCCCCCCAUUCCCCAACCCUUAUCUAUCUCUCUAUUUCUAUUUCUUGAUAACCAGCUCUCAAAUAUAACUUACGCUCAAUGAUUAUCUUUCCACUCUUGAAUUGACGUCCAAAGACCAUAACUACUUCUUUAGUUAGCUGCAAGUCAAGUGAACAUCACUUUCUUUUGUUAGCUGCAAGGCUAGCGAACAUCGUUGUUCCGACAAAAGAUUAUCUACUCAAACCACCGCCGUCCCUAGAUGGAGGGCAGCCUGCUCGACAGGAUUGGAUACGUACUUUGGGGAUGGCGGUGUCGCUAAGCAGAAUUUGCUAAUCAGAGUACAUUCGGUACCAGGGGGCAGUGAGGUUACUAUAAUUUAUCAGACCAAAGUCACUUCAAUAGGUAAAAUUUGUUAAUCAGGAGGACUUCAGAAGACCGUAUUGUGCAUUCGGUGCUGGUGAAUUAACCAACACAAUACUAAAACGGUCAGCAUAGUCAGAUAACCUACUUUUGCAGCAUAAAAAAAUUUCCGCACUCCACGUUUAGUCACCACAUGUUGGUUGCAAUAAUGUGGCAGUAGAACUGACAUAGAACAACAAUGACAAUCACACGGCAUCUGAAAAGGGUGACCAAUGCACUUAUCUAGGUAUAAUAUACUUAAAACUGCAGGAUACAUAUUGUUACUGCUGCAACUCAUAAAAAUAAAAACCAUAAAUGGUGAUCAAUAUAAAGAACUACAGACCAAAAUGUUGUAUGAUACAUAAUUUAGUCUAUUUUAUUAUUGUGUAGACAUGCUCUAGUAAAGCAUUUAAAGUAUCAAAUCUUGUUUAGAACAACCUGGAUGCAGACCAAAAUUCUCAGAAGCAUACAUCAGCUUGCGAAGUGUCUUCCUAAGCAGUAAGCACUGUCGCUCUUCGUUCGGCUGAAUGCACCAAAUAGCAAAAAUCAAUGUUUUGCUUACUCCUUAAGAGCCUGCAUAAUAUAACCAAACUAUGUGACUAACAUGUACAUACAAGAGAAUAAUCCAAAGGCUGGAGUAGAAAACUUCAGAUAUUUGCCAGACCAAUACAAACUCAUCUCGUAAACUUUCACCAACUACACAUCGAGUAGGUAAGAAUCUCAUAAAAAUAGUUGGGUCUACAGAAAUACAUAUAACUGAUUUGUCUAUAUAUAUAACUUCCAGUAGUGGUAGACCAGCUCAAUCCAAUGGUACAUGCAAUUCAAUAGAGGGAAGCAGCUAACCUACAAAUGUACAAAGUUGAUACCACAGCAUGGUCUACCACUACCAGGUGCAAUGUACGUAAUGUACUGCAGACUUUCCCUAUGCCCAUUCAGAAUUCGACCCCUACGUGUGAACCAAAUCCAUGAAGUCCACAAGUCCCUUCUAGAAUGGACUAAGCUAAUGCAAUGCACUGUGCGUAUCUUAUUGAGGGUUUCAAGGAGCAUACCUUCAUCCAAGCAGAGCACAAACUUUUCAAGCUCUGUUAAAUCUCUUCAUCAUCAUUGUCGUCAUCAUCAUUGUCAUAGAUUGCCAAACCAAUGGGAGCUUCCUCACCAUUCUAUCAUAGAUGGAUGAAGCUUCCGAUGAAACCAAGGAUUGGGGGGAAUGGAUAUUGUGGGUGUCCUUUGAAUUGAUCCAUCUCAAGCCCACCUUGGUUCUCCAUGCCUGCACUCCUGCCAAUGAAAACAUGUACUGGCUCUGGAAGCCAAUUGUACUUGAAGCUCAAAUUCAUGCAUGCAGGGUGCAGGCAUGGCCCCUGCCCCUCACCGGGGCCGGGCUAACCCAAAACUUGCAUCAGGCUGCUGUUGAUGAGACUGUAAGAAAACAAGUUAAAUCUACUUAAGAAGGCACAUAUAUAAUACAAGCAUAUAUUCUCCAACAUACUUUUAUAUUUAGGAAGAAAAAAACACUCAUACAACUAUUUGUGAUUCUGCCUUAUAAAAUCAACUUUUCACAUUAUCAGAGUAAACAAAACUAAACAGAUAUUAGAUUAUUCGACACAUCACGUUUAGGCUACUCAUUUAAUGGAAGUAGUUAGGUUAAUCUCUUCAAGACAUCAUAAUGGCAACUUCUAAUGGAGGUACGACAGAUGAUUGAGAUAAUUAAAUGACAAAAGUAAAUAAGAAAAUGUACAAGAACAGUACACUUUUGAUGACACAUGCCAGACCUGUAUAAUGAAAAUCAGCAAUAAACAUACAAUCUGAUGCGGCAGGCAAGUUCAAACUACACCAAGUAAGUUCAGUUAAUUACGACCCUCGUCUAAUAAAGAUUUCCUACAUUCAGUAAUAAAAGCAAUCCCAAAUGCAUCAAUAGUUAUCUUUACUUUGAUAUCAGCUUUAUUCUUUCAGGAUUUCCAAGUGAAUUAUAUCAAGGCAUUCCAAUAAUCCAUGAUCGACAACUCGGUGAAAAAACUACAUCGUAAGCUUUGAACAGAAGAAAUAGCGACAAAUGUUCUGGAGAUUUUUAGCUAUGUGAGAUUUAAAAACACCUCUGCUGUGAUACCAAACGUUGGCAGGGGGCCAAAAAUUUUCAAUUGUACUACACCACGACCAUAAAAAAAUCUCAAAACGACCCAUCUAUGGCAGAUGCUGUGCAGAGUAAAAAAAGAGGAGGGGGUAGUGUUGAAUUAAACAAAAUAUCUUGUAGUUUAAACAGAAAAGUAUUAAAGAAACUAAAAUUUUUUGUAGUAAACAGAAAAAAGAAGAAAAAAAANNNNNNNNNNNNNNNNNNNNUCUAGCUAAGACACUAUGGAGAGUCAGAGAUCAGUAAAAUUGAUCGAGAACCUGAUGAUGAGGUUCUGUUGUGUGACUUUCCGUACAACAUUGAUCAGAGUUAAUGAAUGCAGGGUGUAUUCCAAUUAACUCUACUAUGCUAUAUAAAGAUUUGCACUAUACAUCCAAGUCAUCACCAUUAUAAUCAAGGCUAUCUCCAAGAGGAAUGUGUCAUUGAGGGCCUUCUGUCCACUUCCCCCAAACAACAGUACAGGCAUAUACUAGCAAAUUGAAAAUUCCGCAAAACUGAAAGUGCUUAAACAAAAGACAAGCAAGGGUACUUUACUGACAGUAGAGAAGAGCUGAAGAAUUACCAUACCUGUGAAAAAUGUUGGUGAACAUGUUCAUGAGGAUGCAUAAAAGGCAUUCCAGGCCGCUGACAAGGAUACUGAGAGGAUGGCAGAUAUAUUCCAGACGUGGAGCGUACACCAACAUGAUUAGGAUUAAACGGUGUCAUUAUGGUUUCUGGAUGACCAUAACCAAUACCACCAGGGGGCGACGGUGCAACCCAGGGCCCAGGUAAGUGUUGUGGAAGUGGGCGAGGUUGAUGUUCAGUAGAAAUCUGAGGCCCAUGAGUAGAACCAAGUUGAGGGAAUUCGGUGUUAUAGUUCAAUGCAGGAGUAUACAUGGGCUGGAUGGUGUAAGGUCCACCACUGAAUCCGAAACCGGGAUCGAAUCUUUGCAUGUACCUGAAGAGAAUAUUUUCUGUAAAACUGUUGGGCUAAUAAACAGCAGACAUUAUCUCCAUCUCAAAGUUAAAUGAUAAGAGAAUUCCUGCAAUGAUUAGGACAUGAAGCAAAAGACUAAAGUCUACACUGUAUACCAUACCUGUCAUAACUUCUGUCAUAAUCUGGAUCCUUCCUGUCAAUCUCACGGUCCCUAAAUAUGGCCACCCUAUUAUUUGGUUUGUACCUCCCCACUGGCUCCUUCUCUGUCCUACUUCUAGAAGAUGAUCUACUGCUACUUGUUGAACAAUCGAUUAAACCUCUACUAGAAUGUAAAUCAGAAACAUUUGAUUUAUCUUCCACUUUUGGCAUCACCAGGGGAACAUGUUGUGUAGUGUCCUGUUGUUUUGGUUCACUUUCUAAUUUCCCGCUUGUACUACCACAAAUAUUAGCAGCAGCAUUAAAUAUUCGCGCACGGGCCCUGUUAUACUCCUCUUUCCUCUCCUCCACACUUUUGGAACUGUUUCCCUUUGAUGAAUUUGAGCCAUCACUGUUAGCCAUUUGUGACCGUUUCUGUGGCCUCUGUUUUAUUGCAACUUUAGUGACACCACUUUCUUCAGACGGCAAACUAACAGGGAUGUCUGCAAGCCGAAUCAAAGGAAGUCGACACUCGGGAGUUUUACGAACAAUAAUUCUGGAACCAGAACCAUCAGGUAAGUUAUUAUCUAACAAAACCAUAGACUGAAGUGCAUAAUGCUGAGCUACACGGUGUGCAGCCAAGCGUAAAUAGGAAGUGGGCAACUGCUGAAACUCUAGUUGCUGCUGAAUAGGAUCACGGAUAAACUUCUCGACAUCUUGCUCCAUUCGUAAAACUGCACAGAAGAGAUGUGAAUAUUUAGUGUAAUGACAUAUUAUAGCAGCAGAAAUCAACACAACACAUCCUGACUGCACACAAACAAAAAUAUUCUUCACUACUUUUGACAAAACAGACACAUCAGAAAGUAUGGCACCAACAACAUUUACAAUUGUAUACAACAAGAGAAUCCAAAAAAGGUUCUACAUCAACAAUCACCAUUCAAGCCUACCCUUUCGAACUGAAAAAGAAAGCCCCAGCUAUCUUGAAUCGUCCAUUAUAGCACAAAAAUUGAGAAACAUUAUGGCAAUUUCAUCUUGUUCCAUUACUCUAUUGCUUAUUUCUUCCGCACAAGUCUUGUUUAAAAAUACUUCACAAAUGACGAUACAUCUCAACACGGCAAGCAAGCAAUACCACACACGAAACAAGUCGAGUGCUAACCAUGUAAGAUCCCAAAACAAACACACUAGAACAACUUAACAAAAGCAAUCAGCCGAAUCGGAAGGGUCAAUUAUGGCGGCGCUUACUUGAAAGGCGCUCCCGAGGGUUUUGCAGAGCCUCCCGAAGGAACUGGUCGACCUGAUUGAGGGCGUCCUCAGAGAGCUUAUCAUCAGAAGCAGAGGAAACCAGAGACGACGCGUCGUUGAUGAGGUCCUGCUGGGAAGGCUUGGGAUCCUUGUUGGAGGAGAGCAUGAGGCGGCUCAUAGCCUCGUCGACGCCGGCGACCUCCCAUGACUCCGGGGCCCCGAGAUCGUCCGCCACAGAGCCCUCCAUGGCCUAUUAAUCGCUCUCUCUGGAUAUGAGAUCGAAACACGAAAAGGGGAAGAAUCGAGGCUAGGGUUUGAGGAGAGGAUUCAUCAGAGGACGUAUGUGUAUGCUGAGGAGGAUGAAACCCCAACCAGAAUUUGGGGUUUUGAUUUCAUGUGAAAAUUUUGGGGGUUAUUUUAGGGUUUGGGAACACGGGAGGAAGAGAGAAUGAAAUAGAAUUGCAGGGGGCGAAAAAGGGAGAGAGAGAUAGGGUUUGACGAUGGAUGGGUUGCGUUUGGGGGUGGGUGAGAUUUUCUUUUUUCACGUCACACGUGGCUUUUAAUACCUUCUUUUUAUUUCACAAAUUUCAUUGUCUUUUUAUUUUAUAACUUUCAUCAAUAUUUUCCAACAAAGAAAAAAACGAAUAAGUCGCAACAUUUUUCUUUUGUCACAACUUUAAGAAAAAAACGAAUAAGUCGCGACAUUUUUCUUUUGUCACAACUUUCAUUUUUAGGAAAUGAGUGGUCGAAAAAAAUAAUAUAGAGGUAUACACAGCCAUUUGAGAUGUGUAACUAUAAUCCUACAUAUGAAAAAUUGAAAUAUAUGAGAGCUAAGCUCAAGUCUAAGGCUCUUCAAGGGCUGCGCUUUGGUGGAAGGUCGGCAACCCGGAUUAUGAUUUUGGUAUGUGUGUUCUUAGUGGCGACAACAUUGUCUAGAUGUUGUUGACGGCUAGCUAGUGGAUUGGGUCAGGUUUUUGGGUUCCAACCACGGUGGAGGGACAAGGGCGGCCGUCGGAAUGGUGACGGAUAUGACUAUCUCACAGAGAAUAUGGGAAGAGGUGUGGGCUUAUGGGCCUACAUCUUUUAUGGGCUACAUGACUUGGAUGAUGUAGUCUAUUGGGUUGGGCAUUAUAGUUCAAUUCAUCUUUCCCCCACUUAAUUUGGAUUAGGUUGGUCUCUGUUGGUAGUUUGUUUUUCAUCCCUUGUCAUAUUUCAUUCCCUUGAAAUGCAGCCCUCAUACAGUUUGUUUUCUCAAAACGUACACUAAUUGAGAUCUUAAGCGCCUAUAGAAUCAAAUAACAGUCCCAUUUUCGGGACUAGGUAGGGCUUGUGUUGUUUUCGUGUUUUCAGCAGCUUUUUUUGUUGCAUCUUUAGACUAGUUAAUGAUACAAUUAGGGUACAAUUGUAUUCCAUAAUUGUUGGUAGACUUGGACUUUUUAUCUUGUUGACUAAUUAAUAAUGCGAUAUUAUUUUCAGCAAUGUUGUUUAGAAUAGGUUUGGCUGCAUUUACAACUUUUUGAGUCUCACAUUGUAUUAUGAGAUACCCACUCUCUAGCUUGAUAGAAUGACGUCAAUGAACGGAGCUUCAUUCCUUCCCCUAAACCUAAAACUAACCGGGGCUACCCGAAAAAGCCCGCAACACUUAUAAUGACAGGCUUGGAUCUUGUUACCAUAGAAAAAGCUCAGCCAGGGCCCGGCCCAUGACCUCUAGAUCUCUAUGUUCUUAACUUUUUUUUUUGGACAACUCUAUGUUCUUAACUUUGUGCACCAUUUUUACCAGGUUUUAGACCUUGGCCGCUUUAUGCGGACAAUUGCAACUAUUGGCAACACUAAUUAACUCUGAAAUAGAAGUAUUGUCGGAUAGGCAAAUGCCACAGAUCAUAUCAGAUCAAAACAAAUAAUUAGCACGCGGGGAGAUAGAAUCUAGAUGAACUAUCAAGUGAUCACAGCCUCAUCAGUCAAAUAAAAACAAAGCAAAUCUUCAUUUCCUCUAGGCAGAUGCGCAUUCUCUGGCUUCACAAAAACCACAAUUCUUCAUUGGCACCUUCUCUUGCCUCAACUUCCUCUCGAUUUCUUAUUAUUCUAUCUCAUUCUCUGCACAAUGCAAGCAUAUUGCAUUAUAAAAUUUCCACCUCAUAUCCUAAAUAAAUGCAAUAAUCUUUAAUGUUAUUUACCUUCUUUCUUGGCCUUCUUUUAUCCUCUUGUUUACUUCUUUUUCUUGGAAAAGCCUGGAAAAAAGUAGGAAUGAUGUUAGAUGCACUGAUGUCCUCAUUCUGCUAUUUAGUUCAGUUCCUUACUUCCUUAUAUAACCAACCUGUGGAGAAGCAAGGAUUCGAGCAUAUAAAGCAGGGGUGUCUUCUUCAUCAAGUUUCCCAUCACUGUUCAGCACAGCUUUCAGCCGACCUUCAUUCAAUAAUUUCUCAGACCGAGCAUGUCUCUGCAAUAAUUGGCAAUGUUAUUGAUCAGUUAGAAAGGGUUUUCACAAUAACACAUAAAAUGCUGGCACGUCUUCCCUUCUACCCAAUGACGCUACAGCAACAUAAAAGAAGUCCCAUAUUUUUGUUGCUUACAUACACAACUAGUCAAGAACUUGGGAAUCCCUUCAAGGUCCUCCAAAUUCUGUAGGCCAAUUGAAUAUACCCAGUCAUGGAUGUUGUAAUGCUUACUUUAAACAAAUAAAAGUAGAAUGAAAUGAAACAAAUAGUCCACGUCAUCAAAUAAACUUGCAUAACAACAUUGUUUUUUUAAAAGAAUCUUGUAUAACAACACUUAUGAUCCUUCCAUUAUUCAAUCAUAUGGAUCUACCCCGUGGAUUCUAAUCUCCCACAAUUUUCUAUUGUCUGCCAUUUCUUGUUUUAUUACAUAUGCAACUUCACUUCAUCGUAUUUUGUUUACUUCAAUUUCCUGAUCUUUCAUCUUCUUUUGCUUAAACUGUAUCUAGUUAACUUCCAGAUGUGACUUUGCACACUCCUAAAAGCCAAGCUAUUCAGGCACACUGCCAUUGAAUAAUGGUUCUAAAAAAGGUAAGCCUACGUUACAUGCAAUAGUACCUAAAAUUACUACUGGAAAAAUAUAUAAAAUUUAGCAGAACUUGAGGGAGGGCCAUUGCCAGAGUAAUAAGCAUCCUUUGACUAGAGAGACUAAUUCCCUGCUAAAGAGAUCCGAAGAGAAAACCCAUGUCAAAGGGCUUGAUGGUAUGCGGAUUACAAAUGAAGAAGAAUAGUAUCUUAACUGUCAUUGGACUUUUCCCUUUGUCUCUACCUCAAAGUUGUCCAACACUGGCCAUGGAGGAGAGAAAACUGGAACAAGGCAUGGAGACAAAACCUCACCUAGAAGAGAGAUGUGGUACAUGGGAGGACAGGAAACGGACGCACUUUGGAGAGACUGGGAUGCGGCAACAAAAAGCAUUCAGACUAACAGCCUAGGGUAAACAGCACAAGCAAACCUGCGCGAUUGACCCAAGGGAUAACACACUCUCCUACAUUUUGUUCUACACGGUUAGUUUGGAAUUGGGAACAAACAUGUAGAAUUACAUGAACUGGCUUUGAAAUCUUAUUACCAACAGGUUCAGCAUCUCACAUACUAAUUUCAAUGUUAUCUUUUCUCAGUUGCUCCGAUUAACCAUCUUAACCAUUAGUUCCCCUCUAAGUGGAUAUAUCGGUACCGCUUUUUCUCACACAGUUCUAGAAUAACACCACUCUAUAAUUCCUUGCCGUUUUGCAUCGCUUGAUUGAUGAAAAAGAUUUAAAAUUUAGAACAGCUGAAAGAAAUGAAAAUGAUAAUGAUCCUACUUUCAGAACCACAAAAGGAGCAAACAGAAAUACCAUACAUCAAACAAUGUGUGGCCUAGGACGAACUAAUAAUGACUUGAUUCCAGAAAGAGAGAUAAACAUGCAACACAACUCACCUUGGACUUCAGAUGAGCACUCAAGGCCUCUUCAUUCAAACAAACAAUUCUAGGGCAUAUCCUGCACUUGAAAGUAGAUUUGCGUUUCACAACAUAUUCUGGGAGAUCUGCAGACGGUGAUUCCUUGUCAGCAGAAAUGUUGGAACCUUGCUCUUGAAAUUCAGAAUCACUUCUACCAAACACCAGGUCGUGUUUAGGACUAUCUCCUUCAUUUCCAUCAUCUAUUGGGAAACCUACAUAAAAAAGAUGAUGUCAGAAAUCCAAAGGGUAUUCUUCCAAAAUUAUAGGUGACACAUUAGUUAAUAAAAUCUCUUGGUGUAGUUGAUCAACAUAACAACUCCACUUUCAAAGCUUGAGAGAUUGAUGGUGUCUUCAUUCCCCUACCUGAGGCUGAGGUGUCAACAAGGGUUUCAUUGGCGGAGCUAUCCUCGGUUUUAUAUCCUGAAAAGAAAAGGAUAGAUGAGGAGCAACCCAAAGAAAGCGAUAGUAUUAGAGAGUAAUGAAGGAAGAAACCAACCAGAGGAGACGUCUUCUGCUUCUGCUUCUGAGUGGACUUGUAUUUCAGAAUCGGAAGAAGAAGAGGAGGAUUGAUUGGAGGCGCCAUCUCUGUCGCCGUGUUCCAUCCUAUAGAAUCGCCGCUUUAUCAUUUUGCCUCUUCCAGGGCGGCUCCAUCUAUUUUCUUCUGUAUUAAUACCCAUGGAGGGACUUGGGCUGGGCCUAUGCCCUUUCUAUUAUUAUUCAUCUAACUUAACCCAACCUAAACCCAACAAACUCUAUACAGAUACAGAUUGAUCUUCGCCAUUUUGAGGGUGGAACAAGAAAUCAUUUUUCAGAAUCUAUGACUGCACAAGAAGCAGCAAUACAUGUAUCCAAAUGCAUUCCGAAACACUAUUGAUUCCUGAAGACAAUGGGGUCAAGUGCAACCUGGCAAGACUACUGAUUUCUGACUCAAUCUUGUUUGAGGGUAAAUUUAUACCCCUGGAUUUGUAGCGUAUCGAACCAAUUAUGUGGUUCGUCGUGGAUAUGAUUGAGUAUCUUUGGAGAUAUUCGCUAUCAAGGCUAAAUCAAGCCUGCUUGGAGGUCAAGCCAUCUUGGUGACAAUUCAGGUCAUUAUCGAUAUAUCAUAGAUCCGGUAAUUAAUGGAGGAUUGUUUGUUUAUCAAGAUUGAGCUAUUCAUGGAAGAUCUCACAAAGAGGAGGAAUCUGGACGUCAUGUACAUAAGUUACCCCGGCGAUCAAGGUAUGAAUGAUGUACGUAGUGCUAUCUAAGGAAGGGUUUAAUCACUCUUGAUUCCUUAAUUGCCCAAAAGAAGUCUAGCCGUGCAUGAUCUUUGAUGCAAUUAAGGAUUACAUUCCUUAUAUGAAUGAUAUGGCUAGUACUCGUCCAAGGCAUGCAAGUCCAACUAUAUUGCAAUAAGAAGCUUACUGUCCUUAGUUGGAUUGUAGGAGUACACGUCCAGAAGAUCUCCAAGAAUCAUAUAUUGAGGUAAAUAUCUUUACCUAGACAUCGUAUCUGGUCUGAUACGCGAACCGAUACAUGUGGUUCAAUUCAAUAUCUUUCUUUUCCAUUGGGUAAUUACUGGCGAAAUAUUUGCCUUGGUAUGUAAGUUAUUCGCGAAUGAGAAGAACCCCCCCCCCCCCCCCCCCCCCCCGACCAAUUCAACAAAAACUGCAUCACUGCAAAUUGAUAAACCCUAAACCCUAGGAGCACCCAAUCUACCAAAAAGCCUCUCCAGGGAGCACCACCAAAGCCUCGUUUCGAGCAAAUCCCCUCUUCACUCACCAGCCUUGUCCCGAGUAAAAAGUCCACCCCCAGUCCAUAAAGCCUCAUCACGAGCAACAAUCCAUCCAUUGUUAGAGAUUCGCCUCUCUAGCAAAUAUCCCUUUACUUUAUUUUGUAUUUUGUUAUUGAGUAAAUCCUCAUGAGCCAUCCUAGGUCAUUGUGAAGAACCCAGCAGCAGAACCGACAGUUUCUGCUCACAUCUGCUUGAAGAGAAGCGCGCGAACCAGACAAUAUUAAGACAGGCACACUUCCUCAAGGUGUUGGCACGCUCGCACUAAACGGUUGUUCGAAGGACCUAAAAAUCUGACCCGAAACAUUUUGGCACGCCCGUUAGCGGGACACAUCAGUAGCAAAAUUACAACUGAUAACAUAUAUAGUAAGCAAUAUCCUAAGUGUUCCUUGCCGGAACAUUCGCACUGUAAACCUCACAAUCCUUUGAAGUGCAAGGGGUUGACUAUCGAAUUAGUUAACCAGCGUUUCGGUAUAGAGAAACGAUGACUGGAGGAUCUGGAGUUGAGAAGUAUGUUUCUCAAGAAUAGCUCACGGAUGCAUUCGAAAAGUUGUCUGCAAGCAUAACCGCGAGCACGGUCGCGAGCGCCGCAAACAUAAAGGCGUUACAGGAUUCAUUGGAUGCUAGUAUUGCUAAAAACGAUGCCCGGUUUGACCAGUUGUGGGAGAAAGUAGGCGACCAGGCCAAGCACAUUGCACGCGUCGUAGAGACUACUCAGAAGUGGGACAAAUUUUUGAGCAAGAAAGACAUCGAGUAUGACGGUGCCAACCCACAAACAGAGGUGACUAAGAAGCCGAAGACGUUUUUUGUGUCCGAGAGCCGCAGUGAACCCCAUAUUUGGAGAAAGCAACUUGAAGCCGCUAAGGUAGACUGGUUGGCUUCGAAUAAAGCUUUACGGUCUAGUGUAAAGCUUUCACAUGACAUCUUCCCACUGCAAAACAGCGAAGAGGUUUUACAACGUCAAGAAGUAGAGCCUACAGCUGAAAGGCAUAUUUUUGCCAAAGAGGUUGAAUCACCUUGUGACCAAUCUAGUGGCGAAAGCUUUUUCUAGACGAGUCUGCGUCGGAGAGAACCGAUUUGCCAACUUAUGGCGAAUCCCAAACGGAGCAUGAAUGUGAAGAAGAUAUCCAACAAAGCUGUUUGAACGAAGAAGUCAUUCUGUUUGUAGACGAAGAUGUAUACAUGGACACCGGCCAGAGACAUGGAGGGAAAAUAAUUGAUGACACCUCUGCCAAUAUUCAUCCUCUUGCCGAUUGGACACAAGUUCAUUUUAAAUACCAGGCGAAGCUGGAUGAUCAAUUUUCUAUUCAUAGCAAAAGAAAGCAUGUAGAAAUAUCAAAUGAUCAAGCUACUAGAUGUGUUCGAAAGGAUGAGCAAAGUCAUGGUCAACUUGUCCAAUCACAUCAGCAGUCAAGUUCCAAGCCAAUUAGUGGCUUUGUUUAUCAAAACCAGCUAAGUGGUUAUAGAUCUACCGGGUACCAUGAGAAUAAUCAUGAUCAUUGUGGUUCUUGUUCUACUAUUGGACGUUACCGAGAGAAUGGCCAAAAUCAUGGUAAGCUUGGUUACCAAUUAAGCUUUGUGCCCUUUAAGCCAAUUCGUGGCUUUAUUAAUGAACCUAACUUGAGGUCCUGUAUGAAGUAUUCAAAACCAAAUUGUGGUUUUAAUGAAAAUUAUAUUCAUGAUCCAUCUUCUGGCCAGAGCAAUUCUAAUGGCCAAACUAUAUGUUAUGAUGGUGAUUUUGAGUGUCUUCAGUACCAAGUAAGUUUGGCAUGCAACGUUCAAACUCUAACCUUUCCAGGAAAAGAGUUCCAUGACGAUGAUACUUCACAAACAUUUCGCCAUGCUACCUACAAUGAUGGCUUAUUCACUUUUGACGGAUGUAAGUUCAAAUAUCUUCAGAGCGACUUAGUCGAGCAAGCUUGUAGUUAUUAUACUCCAAGUUCCUGCAGCAGAAAUUUAUUUAUGAUGAUACUGGCCAACUUUGCAAACAACACAUGAUGUUUACUUUUCUGAUAUGCCUAUCUUUGAGGUAGGGACUUACUCACCAUUCGGUGGUGAUUAUGUUUAUGCUUUUUACAAAGAGCCAAUUUAUGAUCAGUGCGACGAUAACUACAAAUUGAUCAUUGGCUCCAAUAUCAUCAAGUCUCACACACAGGAGUUCUAUUUUGAGUCUUGUUGAUAACAAUAUAGACCAGCAAGUGGUUUCUUAUGACAGCCAAUUGGUGGCUACCUUUGAAGACAUCAUGCAUUACGAUAUGAUAGUUGGCGACAAGGCUGAUCUCUACUCCAUACCAUCUGCAAAAGUUCAAUUGAAGAUCAUGCUUUGUCAAAUGACGAAGGUGCAUGGGGGGCUAAGCAACAUGCCCUACAAGCAGCCUCUUCUAAAUUUUCAAGUGAGUGACACAAAGCAUCUCUGCUCAACACUUGGAAAUUCUCGCAAGAGAGAAUCUCAUGCCGCGAAUGUCAAAACGUCAAGGCUUGGAGUGAAGCAUUGGUGGCCUCCCCGUGGCCUUUCGAAGGGUAGCUAAUCAUGUUGAGUUUCCUUCUUUCUUUUGCUUUUCAGUUCCGUUUUAUUUCUUGCAUUGAAAAAUAAAAAAUCCAAAAAGAGAUUCUGUGUUUUGCUGAAAUGCAAGACAAUGUUCUUACCUAACAAGAGGUUUGAAGUUCCUAUCAUAUGCUUAGAGGCAUACAUCUGAGGCCUUGGAUGCAAGAGACAAUCACUGUGUCUUUAAGUCACUGCCAUUAUGCCAACAAGCUCAAGCCACAGAAGAAAGGAAGACAGUUUGCAAUUCUGCAAAUUACAGCUGCAGCUACUGUACAUCAACUUCACAGAUUAAACUGGUCAGAUUCAGGAGGAACCAGCGAGCACUCUUUAUAUGUACGAAAAGCCCUGUGAGUCUACUUUCCAGCAAAAUUUACGGUUUGCAAUUCAGACGUUCCAAGAGAGAGUUAUGGCAGUUUGAGUACCAGAAGGUCAGAAUGCGCGAAAUCAAUAUCAUGUGUUUGUUCAUGACCUUUGGAGCCUCUAGCAAGUAGACGUCAUAGUCUCAGCACUUUGAAGGCCAACAUGAUUUAUGUGUUCACACCGGGGACAUCAGAGAAAGCAAGGAAUUUUGGCUCAGUCAUAUACCGGUCCCCACUUUUCCAGAUUGAGACUCAGGGCCUUGAUCAUAUAAACCAGUAAUUUGUGGUUUUUAUUCAGAUGCCAAAUCUAGUGGCAUUAUAGGUUCAGUUGUGAAGAAAGAAUUAUGCAGACAACUUUAACCUAUUGAGGGAGAGAUGACUGAAAAGAAGAACUUGCCAAAAGAAGAGGACAAUUGGUGUUGGUUAUGCAAUUAUAGUUCCUCACAUCUAAAGAAUCUACAUGAUAAAGGCCCGUACAUAAGCUUCUUUGUUGGCCAAAAUCUGUGGCUAUGAACUCAAGGAUGUCAUCAACAUAUCUUAUGCAGCAGUAUCAUAUGGAGCUACCUCACAAGUUUCAUUCGCCAGAAGCCACAAUUAAAGAGGAUUACUCCAGUAUCCAUAAAACCAGUCUUAGUGGUUUUAAAAAUAUUUUAGUUUAUGCCAAUAUCUGUGGCAUCCUAUUCCAAGAAGAAAUCUUCACGCCAGGAGUACUUAGUCCCUAUGCACAGCCUACAAUGCCUAUAAUGUGUUCUUCAUAAAGAACAACAGGUUUCUGAUCGUUACCAGUAGGCUUGGGAAUUUAUUCUGCAUGGUCAUACCGAUGUCUACCUCGUCUGCUGCAAACAGAUCAUGACAUUGACAUUAUGUAAGGUAGAUUGGAGCUCACCCCAAUUCUCUUUUACCAUGCUGGGGGGCUACAAGUUUCAUAAAGGCAUAGGCUGGGCUUCAAACUUCAUUUUAGCAGCAAGUUCAACAGAAAGAAGAAGCCCAGAAUCAGACACAUGCAACAGCUGUCAUGGAUUACUUGGCCAAUAUCUGUGGCCUUGAAUACUUUGUUUGCUCAGAGAAGUGCAGGAACAGACCUUCAUCAGCUAAGCGACGUAUAAACAAAUGAGGUGGCUUGGCAGGAGAGAAACAGAUAUUCCAAAAAUUCUGUGCCAAUGAGAAUAUGCUCACAAGUUUGCUCAAAGAUGACAAGACCUCAUUUUUGUACUUCAAGUCCAAGCUUUGUUGGUCUUCAGAUUGUUUCAAGUUUCCAUUGAUUCUGCCAAAUACUAUGGCACGUGAUGAAAGUCCAUGAAGUGAAUACAAGACAUAUGCUUUAGAAAUGAGGACGGUGCAUCGAAACUGGAAUUAUGGUGAAGGCAUGGCAGACCUCUACUUGAGGUACAUGGUUAAGUAAUUCCCUUCUAAAAAUAUCUGAAUCGUUGAGGAGUGGUGGUUGCUCUCAUGCUAUAUGAGAUAUAUAUAGUGCUAAGUGAUGAUGCAUAAUUAUAUAUGGGGGAGGCACCAGUAUCAUAUUUCUUGGCAUACUUCAUGUGUGAUAAACCGGUGGAAACUUGCAAACAUAAUAAAUGCAUGCAUGGCUACAGUUUGAGAGGGAAAGAAAACUGGAGAACUAGACCAACCUACUAGCCAAGUUUUGAUCCUUGAGGAGUUAGCGUCUCCAAUUUCGCAAAGCUACAUGCAUAGCAAAUGUCCAUCUAGCAGCAACAAAGUUUGUGUUGCUUUAUGACAAAGGGGCAGGGGGGCUUCAAAUCUCAUAUCAGCAGCAUAGAUCUUUCAAGAGAAGUCACGGUGCAAUUAAUGUUACGUUCAAAGCAAGAUGGUGGAAGGAAGUCUGCAGCUUUCUUAAGGGGUUCUUGUUUGGAGUAAAAAGAUCAAUUUGUGACAAGUCCAUAGCAUUCGUUGCUAUACUACGUACAGAAGCAAAUAAACCUAUCUGAGGUUUAAUUAUGUUGGCUAAGUAGUGACAGUCAUCAUAAAAACCAAUUCGUGGUUUUUCAGGUUUUACAGUGGCAUUAAGGAGGCGAUGUUAAUCUUAUUUUUAUGCAUGCAUGAUUUCUGUUGUGUAUGACUAUGUACAGAAGGUCAGCAUCCUUUUCUCUUAGCUGAGUCCAUACUGGGGGGCUGCGAAUUAUCUCCAGUUUUAAAUCAAGGGGCUCACACAAAUACAAACAACUUUUUGAGUUGUUCCUAGAGAUUACGAUGAGCUUGAGCUGACAUAGAAACACAAUUUUAAUAUUCGCCGGAAGAAAUAUGGAGGAUAAAGAAUGUAGAUAGAGUUGGCAACAGUACAUAAAGACCAUGUUUAUGGUUUGGCAAAACGUUCAAAGCAACAACACAAGUCUUGUUGUGUCUGAUCACCACAAGGAGCUUGUCGUAUCAUGGAGCCAAAGUAAUGCAAGCAUACAAGGAUGUCAGUUCAACUCUACAGAGUCAGCUCAAUUACAACAGAUGCUACGAAAGGAAAGCCUAUAUCUGAGGCUCAAAGAUCGAGUUUAAUCGGCUCAUGCUCAUCCCAACACUUAACCAUUUAGUAGUUUCCAUUCGCCACACCCAAUUAAACUGGGGGGCUACAUUAUACACAUUCUGCCAAUUCCUGUGGCAAAUUUUUGAAACUUUCCAUUCUGCCAGUUCCUGUGGCAAAUUUUUGAAACUUUCCGGGUUUUGAGUUAUCUUUUCAUUCUUAGAAACCGAUCCCUGCGGUUUUAAUUUUUAUCUCAUGUUUUCUGGGACAUUCGACUUGCCUAUUAGGCUUUAUUAGCAGCAACAAGUGGCGGGAGACAUUGGUUCUUGAAGGCAAUUUACCAAGCAGUUCCAUACCUUCUGGAAAUCCAAGUCAAGCAUCUUGGCUUAAUGCCAAGGAUUAAGUUCAGACAUUCCACUGCUCAGAAAUCACAAGGAAAGCACAUGGAGCUCGUUAAGGAAGUUAGCCCCUACAAUGCAAAAUUCUGAAAUUUUCAGAUUUGGCCUCCUCUGAGGCAUUUUCGUGGCUCAUUCGCGCCCUUGCAAGGGUUUAUUGUCUGUUCGCCCUACACCAUUUUUGACCCAUGAUAUGGGACUACAACUCUGUAAAAGAAUUGUGCCAUUCGCUGCUUUGAAGCAUGAGUUAUGAGCUCCAAAAGUUGACACCUUGAAACAGCCUUUUUCCAGAAACUGAACUACAUUGGGUUUUUGUGGCUUUGUUUCUUCAAUACUUAUCACUGAGGUAUUGGUUUAUACAUCAACAUGUGAUGUCAUUGAGGAUAGUGGUAUCAAGAGUCAUCCAUAUCAGCCAUGGGACGAUCAAGAUACAAGUUCAAGAAGUCAGCAAAUUAAUAAGCAAAAGCUGGAAAUUUCAGAAAAUGGCUUUCUUGGAGCUGUUUUCUCAACUGAUCAGAAAAAUCAUCCGGGCAUGGCGUAAAUCGUGCCUAAAGUUGGCAAACUGUGCAGCGAAACUCAUCAUCUUUUUCACAUCACAUUUUGUGGAGUUGGUUUCUUGGCUUCUUGGAAGUUUCUCAUGAAGGAGUUGGUUCAAUUCUGCUGCCACGACAUCAUACAUCAAUGUUCCAUCAUAAAACAACCAGUAAGUGGUUCACAAAAGCUUAUUCGAUUCAUCUGAAGUUGGCUUCAUGAAAUGUGCCUACUUUGAGAACCCGGAUCCUCUCCUAAUGAGAGGUUGCCUAAUAUUGCCUCAUGAAUGGAUCUAAGCCAUUCAAUAUUUAACAGAUGGUCAAGAUUUCUCUUGGAUUAUUUUAGGUGAUAUUUAGGGCCAUCUCCUUCUCUGCUCAAAUUCUCGUCUCCCAUCUCAUUCUCUCUCUCUCUCCUCUUGCAGAGAAUGAAUUGCUGAGGAAUAAACCAAAACUGAAAAUUGAAGAACAAACCAAAGCUGAAGUGCGCAAGGCAUGUACUCAGAGACGCAAUACCAACUCCUAUGAGUCUUAUGACUCUUAUCUAAUCUGACAACAAGAACAUAUAGACAAAUCUAUAAUUAGUGACAGGGUUGGUGAUUGAGCUAUAAGGAACUAAGGGCUAGAGCAGUUUGAAAUGAAUUCGCCACUAGGAAAUUAACUGGAGGAAACCUCCUAUGGUGGCUAAUCCUCUUACCAGAGUGAUGACUUUGUGUCAUAUCGAAACUUUGGAAAUUCCCAUUCAUGCAUCCUAUUUUCUUCUGCAAAUUUGGGUAGUCAUCAGCUAAACAAUGCAAAAGUUUUGCAGCCAUCUCCACCUUUUCUUUCCAAAUCAAGUUAGGACUGUCAAAUACACAUGUAGCCACGUGUGUAUAACACUUCCAUUGGAGAAGAGUGUGGGAUAUCAUUUUAUAGUUGUUGGGUCUGUGGCAGAAAUAACAUCUCCUCUUACAUAUCAAAGGCCCUCACAAAUACACAGUGAUCAGAAGGUGGAUUGAGUACUAGUUUGAAAAUAGCUACUGAAUGACUUUCACAGAUACACUGAUGCUUCAAAACUACGUAAUAUAAUCUACUGUGUACCUAAUAACAAAGAUUGAGUCCCGGCAUUCCAAUAAGCAGAAAGAAGAUAUAAAUUAGAAAACUAAAUGAUGAGGUGAAUCAAACCCCUGGGGUAUCUGUUAUGGCUAUUUAACAUCAGAACAGAAAGAAAAAUAGUAUACAUAACUCCACCGCAAUACUGGUAAGUAACUAAAAGAGUAACGGUCACUAGGUAUACAACACAACAAGGGCUUUUGUGUUUUGAUGUAUUUGGUAGGCUGGCAUAACUGGACAGUCAUUGAACCUAAAUAACUCGUUAGAAAAUUUCUAGUAUGAUCCCUAGAAGAUAGAUAGAUAGAUAUACUGAAAAGCCAAUAACCCUGAUAUGUAUAACUCAAUUCCCACAUCACUAGAAACAUCACUUUAACCACCAAAUUAGUAAAACUCACACUCCACAGCUUCUUCAACCCAUUUUGAACUACAACUAAGCAAACUCAACCACAAAAGUAAUGCAAGUUUUCCGGAAAAUCCCAAUAAAACCUCUCACCACUACCACAUGAUAUCAAACCCAUGGAUAUAGUCAAUGAAUAAAAUACAAUCAAACUAGUGAACUCAUCAAAACCCAGAUCCUCCUAAAAGUGAGAACAAACCCUAUUUCUGGCACUACGAAUUACAACUCAGAAAAGAUGACAGAAACGAUGUACGAGGCUCCAAAGACAAUCAAUAGAUAAAUGUAUAACUUCCCUGACGCAAAAUAAUAAGAAACAAUCCCAACGCAAAAUAACACCUUAUUUUCAACAUAGAAAGAAGAUAUAAAUAAGAAAACCAAGUGAUGAAGUGAAUCAUCCCCCCGUGAAGUGGUGAUCUAAACACUAGAGCACCACUAACAGUUAUUUAGCCCCAGUCCAGAAAGAAAAGUAGUGUGAAUAACUCCACAGCAAUAAACCUCAACUAAGUGUUUAUUAUAUGAAUAUAUCCAGUAGUUUGGCACAACUGAAGACACCUAUACUUUGGACCUAGAUAACUGUCGUUAAAAACUUUCAAGUAUGAUCUUCCCUAGAAAAUAGAUUUUGAAAAGCCAAUAACCCUCAUCCGGUUCUCCUACUGUAAUCUAAUACGAACUAAAUUCGCAGCUCAACUGAGUGGAUAUUAGUUAUACAACACAACUGAGUGUUUUGUUGUUUUGAUGUAUGAACGUAUCCAGUAGUUUGGUACAACUGGAGACACCUAUUCCUUGGACCUAGAUAACUGUCGUUAAAAACUUUCUAGUUUGAUCUUUCCUAGAAAAUAGAUUUUGAAAAGCCAAUAACCCUCAUCUGGUUCUCCUACUGUAAUCUAAUACGAAAUAAAUUCAAACUUCACCCAAGACACCACUUCCAUAAUUGUUACCAUGUAAUAAUUAAGGGACUGAUGAAAGAAGAAACCACUCAGAAUUCGGGGCAGGACAGCAUGAAACCCUAGUCAAAAAUGGUUCCUCAACCUCAAGAAAAGAAGGAGCACCAAUAGUUUGACAUGAGAUUUCAUGCAUGUCUCGCUCAGAUUCUUACUGGUUUCUUCUUCAUCAUACCCAAGGGACUAAUCGAGAUCACAUCACAAGGACCAAUUGCCACUAAUAUUUUCAAAUCUUUCAUGUACCCUCAUUUCGAUGGAUCAAAUGGCAGCCAUAUCACAAGUAAUUGUUACCAUAUAACAAUAAUUAAGAGAUAGAUGAAAGAAAAAGCCACUCAAAAUUCGAGGCAGGACAGCAUGAAACCCAGUCAAAAACGGCUCCUCAACCUCAAGAAAAGAGGGAGCACCAAUAUUUUGAAUCGAGAUUUCACGCAUGUCUCUUUCAAAUAACUGGUUUCUUCAUCAUACCUUGUUAAUGUAUUCCCUCAUAUUCAUUAUAUCAUGUAAAUGCAUUCUCUAUGAAGAAGAUACAAAGUAGAGACACCUUAAGUUCAUCAUAUCAUGUAAAUGAAGAACACAUUUACAUUAAACAGACUAAGACACUAAUCCAAAUUCAUCAUAUCAUGUAAAUGUGUUCUCUAUUAAACAGACUAAAACACUAAUCCAGAUUCAUCAUAUCAUGUAAAUGUGUUCUUCAUUUAUCAAAUCACAAAAUCAUAUCAAGUAAAUGUGUUCUCUAUUAAGCACACCUGAGGAGAGAGGAUUCAUGAGCAAUGCUCCUCCAAGUGCUUGAGAGUCUAGAGGGAUGAGUAAUCUGCAUCACUGAUGUUACUGCCAGUAAAGUAUUUAUCAUAUGUCUAAAGGGGUAACAACCAUAUCAGCACAAACCCACAAAGCAACAUUUCUCAACCUAUAAGAUAAACCAACGAGGCAGCGAUGGCUUUUUUGCAAUCUUUAUAGGAUAAACGAACGAGGCAACAAUAGCUUGUAAAUUUGCAAUCUUUACAAGAUAAACCGACAAAGGCAGCAAUGAAUUUUUUGCAAUCUUUACAUGAUAAACCGACAAGGCAGCAAUAGCUAGUGAGCAAUCUUUAUAGGCAACAAUGGAUUUUUGCAAUCUUUAUAUGAUAAACCAACAAGGCAGCAAUAGCUAGUGAGCAAUCUUUAUAAGAUAAACCGACAAGGCAAAAAAGGCUUGUAAAUUUGCAAUAUUUACAAGAUCAACCGAUAGAGGCAACAAUAAACUUUUUGCAAUUUUUACAAGAUAAACUUACAAGGCAGCAAUAAUUAAGGGACUGAUGAAAGAAGAAACCCCUCAAAAAUCGGAGCAGGACAACAUGAAACCUUAGUAAAAAAUGGUUCCUCAACCUCAAGAAAAGAGGGAGCACCAAUAUUUUGACAAGAGAUUUCACGCAUCUCUCGCUCAAAUUCUUACUGGUUUCUUCUUCAUCAUACCCAAGGGACUAAUCGAGAUCACAGGGACCAAUUGCCACUAAUCUUUUCAAAUCUUUCAUGUACCCUCAUUUCACAGCAUGAAACCGGGGCAACACCACAGAAUCAAGGCAACAGAAACACAAAUCCAUCAAAAAAUUAUGAAUCAAGAAACAGGAGAAGUAUGAGAAUUACCAGAAAUGGAAAUAGGUCUCUCAUCUAUCUCCUUUGUUUGCAGAAUACUUUAAAUCUCAAUGGCAACCUUUUAGGGACAAUUUCUGACUAGUAUUUUCAAAACUUUCAGACCCUUAUUUUUAAGGGAUCAACGGGCAACCUUGACAUAAUUGUUACACGACUUACAUCGUAAGAUCAAAAAUUGAGGGACUUACAGAAAAAGAAAUCCCGCAGAUUUUGACCAAGAUAGCAUGCUGUUUGACCCCAAGAAAAGACACAGUCAAUAUAUCAUGUAAAUGAAUUCUCUAUUAAGCAUAUACAAAUUCAUAAUAUCAUGUAAAUGUAUUGUCUAUAAGAGACUAAGAACAAGGCUCAUACAAAUUCUCUAUAUCAUAGGGUAGCCUUCAUACAAGCCUCUGUUGAAUGUAAUACCAACAAGAGGAACUAGCAUUAUAAGAGGCAAAACUGUUCAGAUUAUUUGUGACUUCAACUAUAAUAAUACACAGAAGCACAAUGAUUCACAUUAAACUUCUGAGAAAAGAAGCCCUUCCAAGUAGCUCAUAUGUCCCACAAAAAUGUAUUAUGCAAGUCCAAAAGGAAUUACAAUAAGCUUCACACCUGCCAUCCAACUAUCUUACCAACAAAAAGUUCAAUUUCCUGCUACAAUCAGAGAAUGAUCCAAAUUCACAGAAAUUAAUGCAGGCUGAAUUAAAGUACCAUUGGAUCAUACAAUUACAACAGCACCCGACUUAUUGCAGAACAAUGCAUCUCCUUCCCUAUCUUAAUGGCUACAAUGUGGGGCUACAAUGUGGGAAAAAGCACUAAAGCCCAACAGUAAACCGACAAGGCAACAAUUUCAUUAGUCUCCCCCAACAAUGCUUUAAAUAUCAGAGGCAACAGUCAGGGACCGAUUCCCACAAGUCUUUUCAAAUAUUUCAUAUACCCUCAUUUCGAAAAUGCAUUCUCUAUGCAAAGUAGCGACACCUCAAAUUCAUCAUAUCAUGUAAAUGUGUUCUCCAUUAAGCGGACUAAGACACUAAUGCAGAUUCAUCAUAUCAUGUAAAUGUGUUCUCCAUUUAUCAAAUCACAAACAUAUCAAGUAAAUGUGUUCUCUAUUAAGCACACCUUUGGAGAGAGGAUCCAUGAGCAAUGCUUCUCCAAGUGCUUGAGAGUCUAGAGGGAUGAGAGUAAUCUGCAUCACUGAUGUUACUGCCAGUGAAGUAUUUAUCAUAUGUCUAAAGAGGCAACAACCGUAUCAGCACAAACCCACAAAGCAACAUUUCUCAACCUAUAAGAUAAACCAACGAGGCAGCGAUGGCUUUUUUGCAAUCUUUAUAAGAUAAACAGACGAGGCAACAAUGGCUUAUAAAUUUGCAAUCUUUACAAGAUAUACCGACGAGGCAACAGUGAAUUUUUUGCAAUCUUUACAUGAUAAACCGACGAGGCAGCAAUAGCUAGUGAGCAAUCUUUAUAGGCAACAAUGAAUUUUUGUAAUCUUUACAUGAUAAACCUACAAGGCAGCAAUAGCUAAGGAGCAAUCUUUACAAGAUCAACCGACAGAGGCAGCAAUGAAAUUUUUUACAAUCUUUACAUGAUAGACCGACGAGGCAGCAAUAGAUAGUGAGCAAUCUUUAUAAGAUAAACUGACAAGGCAACAAUGGCUUGUAAAUUUGCAAUACUUUCAAGAUAAACCGACAGAGGCAACAAUGAAAUUUUUUUGCAAUCUUUACUUGAUAGAACCGACGAGGCAGCAAUAGAUAGUGAGCAAUCUUUAUAAGAUAAACCGACAAGGCAACAAGGGCUUGUAAAUUUUGCAAUCUUUACGAGAUAAACCGACAGAGGCAGCAAUGAAUAUUUUGCAAUUUUUACAAGAGAAACCGACAAGGCAACAAUAAUUAAGGGACUGAUGAAAGAAGAAACCCCUCAGAAAUCGGAGCAGGACAGCAUGAAACCCUAGUCAAAAAUGGUUCCUCAACCUCAAGAAAAGAGGGAACACCAAUAAUUUGACAUGAGAUUUCACGCAUGUCUCACUCAGAUUCUUACUGGUGCUUCUUCAUCAUACCCAAAGGACUAAUCGAGAUCACAUCACAGAGAACAAUUGCCACUAAUCUUUUCAAAUCUUUCAUGUACCCUCAUUUCACAGAAACCGGGGCAACACCACAGAAUCAAGGCAACAGAAACAAAAAUCCAUAAAAAAUUACAAAUCAAGAAACAGGAGAAGUAUGAGAAUUACCAGAAAAUGGAAAUAGGUCUCUCAUCUAUCUCCCUUGUGUUUCCGAGGCCAAAAAUCCGAGGCAAAACAAAAGAAAUACAAAUCAAACCGAAGAAAAGCAAUAAUUUGAUUGUAAUUUCAUGGAUCCAGAUAUCAAUCAACCUUACCGGAAAUGGAUCGAGUCGCUUCUCUCUCUCUUUCUCUCUCUACAACACCCUGAGAAAUCCCCCAAACUCGGGUUUGAAAUUCGAACCAAGCUAGGGUUUUUAGGUCGGCAGAACAAGAACGACUCUUUCUAUAUAUUUCUUUCGAUCUCAAAUACGAGAGACAGAGAGAUGGAUGNNNN
rnacentral:lncRNA from 1 species